UUUUGUACCAAGUCGAUAAUUAAAUUAAGAAUUAUAGCUUAUUGAAGCCCACUUACGAUAAUUAAGGCUUGCAAAGAUAAAUCAAAAUUGCCUAAUCAUGAAAGUAAUAAGACAACUCGAGUUUGUGUAUAGUUGAGGUUAUUAAGAAGAGUAUUUUUUAGCACUUUAUAUUGGCUUUUAGUACUUUUUAAUUAAAAUUUUAAUUGCAUUUUUUUUAUAUGGAUGAAAUUUAUUAGGAUUUCUCGAAUCCUUGUAAAAUUCAACUUUGCCUUUCAUAGUGUUGUGAUUGGUGCAUUCCCAAAUAAGACAACACAUAAUAUAAUAGUGAUUAAAAAGUAUAAUAAAAGAUAAUAUUAAAUCUAUCUAUAUUUAUUUUCUAUUUAUUAUUUCUUAUCUAAAUAAGCAUGUAUAUCUGUGACAUUAUUUCCUCUUUAAAGAAUGAAUUCCACAAGGAACACCAAUCAUAUGUUGAAAGAAUCCAAGAUGCAGCAAAUUAUGUUUGCUACAUAUUUUAAUCUUUGUUCCCUACAAAGGUGGUUGAUAGGUCAUCUUAGCCAUUGAUAGUGCUCUCUAUCAAAGCAAAAAAAAUCACCUUAUUAUUUGAUCAUUAUUGAAGCUUUUAUAAAUUUUUUCAAAUAAAUUCUAAUAGGUGUAAUUAAUAAAUAAUUAGGUUAAUAUAUUGCAUAUAAGAAAUAAUCCAAGUUUAUAAUAAUCCAACUUGUUAUAAGAGCAAAUAGUCUUGAUAUUAUGACAAAGUAAUCAUAUCUUGUUGUUAAUGUCGAAUUGAAGUUGUUCUUGGCAAUAGGCAUAUGCAUUGAUCUUUUGUUGUUCUUGAGUUUUUUUAAGUUGUGUCUUCAUUGUUGCAUGUAGCUCAAGAAUUUAUUACUUUUUACUUUUCAAAAGUUGAUAAUAUUGUGGUUAUCUAAUCAUCUUAUUGAUUUUGAUGGUACAUAUCAAAUACUACUUCAAAACUUGAUUCACUUGAUCUGUUUAUCCAUUAGUUUGAGGGUAAAAAGUCAAAGAUAGUUUUACAUCUAUCUUCAAAAUCUUAAAAAGAAUUUUCUAAAAUCUUAAUAUAAAUUACAUCUUCUUAUCUAAUAUAAUAUCUUUUAGCAAUCUAUGAUAGCAAUAAAUGCUAUAAAAAAAAAGCUUAGUUAUUUCUUCAUAUGUAAUAGAUUUUAUACAUGAUACAAAAAGUGCCAUCUUAGUGAAUUGAUCUACUAUCACAAAUAUAGAGUCAAAAAAAUUUGAAACUUAAAGAUCCAUAAUGAAGUUUAUAAAAAAAAUGACCAUAGUUGUUUUUAAAAUAGGUAAUGGCUAAAGAAGUCCAUAAGAUCUAUGGUGAAUUUUUUUUGAUUUUGAACAAAUGUCAUAUAAUUAAAGAAAGUAUUUAACUGCCUUCCACAUUUGAAGCCCUAAAAAAUUUCUAAAUAUUAGCUCUAGAAUUUUAUUAUAUCCAAAAUUUUUGGCUUUUAAAAAGUUGUAAUGAGCUUGAAGAAUACAUAAUUAUGCUUCAUCUUUUGAAAUGUAUAAUUUUCCUUCAAAAUAGAAUAGAUUAUUUUUAAAUUCAAAUUUAAAAGUAUUAUAUAACUUAAAAGAAUUUUUCUUAUUAUCAUAAAUAAGAAGAUUAGAAGAUAUACUUGAUUAAACUUGCUUGAAAAAGAUUGAAUCAAUAAUCAAUAUUGAUUUCAUUGCUCAAAGAUCAAAAUACUUUGACUUCAAGAAAAUUAUUCUUUAUUGAUAAAAAGAUACAUAUCUUUCUUUCAAUAUUAAAUAAGAAUGUUUAACAAACCUUGUUGGUUUUUUGGAUCAAUAAGUGAUCUUAAAAUCAAAUCUUGAUAAAGACAUGCCCCAACAAACUUAGCGACAAUUCGAAACUUAUGUUGAUAUAAAAUAUUUAAGAUUCUUAUUAUUUGUAUAUAUGGUGACUUGAUUAGAAGCAUCUUCUAGAUAAUGACACCAUUCUUAAAAUGAAUCCACCAUUGUAAGAAGUUCUUUGUUGUAAAUCUUAUAAUUAAUUUUAAUUGCUAUUUUUUUUUUAAAAUAAAAAGCUACAAAGUAGCGCUUAUUAUUUGCUUUUAUUUAUAAUAAAACUACAUCCAUAGCAAAGUUUGAUGUAUAUGUUUUUUAUAAAAAAUACCAUAUAAAAUUUGAUACAAUAUAAAAUUGCUAUAGAUAUAAAUAAUGUCUUCAAAGCUUCAAAAGAUGCUUUAACUUCUUUACUCUACUCAAAUUUGUCUUUACAUGUCAAAUAUAUAAAAAGAGCUGCAACUUGAAAAAAAUUCUUAAUGAAGAUUUGAUAAUAAUUAGAAAAUUUUAAAAAAUAUUGCACAUUUUUUAUUGUUUUUGAGAUCUUCCAAUCUAUAAUAGUCUAAAUCUUCUUAGGAUCCAUCAUAAGGCCAUUAUUUAAAAUGAUGUAUUUUAAAAAAUCAAUUUGAGUGGUAUGAAGUAUACACUUUUCUAUCUUAGUAUAUAAUCUUAUAUCUCUUAAUUUUUUUUAAUAUACAAUGAAUAUGAAGUUCAUACUCUUUAAUGUUCUUAGAAUAGAUUAAGAUGUCAUUUACAUAAAAAAAAAUAAAGUCAUUAAGAAACUUACAAAAGAGAUUAUUUAUUAGAUAUUAAAAAUCAAUUAAUACAUUUAAGAAUCCAAAAGGCAUGAAAUUACAUUUAAAAUAUUCAUAUUUGGUUCUAAAUGUAAUCUCUUAUUUAUCUCCUUUUUUAAUGAAUAUCAAGUUGUAUGUUUUUUAUAGAUCUAUUUUUAUAUAAAUUUUUUCUUGAUUAAAUUGAUCAAAAAUCUCUAAAAUCAAAGAUAAAGGAUACCUAUUCUUGAUGGUGAUCUUAUUGAGUUUUUGAUAGUCCACAUACAUCUGUAGAGAUCUAUCUUUUUUAAAAUAAGAGCACCUACUAGAGAUUUAGAAUAGCAUAUGAAGUUCUUAUCCAAGUUCUUAUCAAUGUAUUUUUUGAAUGUAGCCAACUUGUUCUAUAAUAAGCUAUAGAUAGAUUUAAAUAGUAAUUGAACUCUUUUUUGAAGAUCAAUUGAAUAGUUAUAAGAAUAUUAAUCUAGAAAAAUAUCUCUCUCUCUCUCUCUCUCUCUCUCUCUCUCUCUCUCUCUCUAUAUAUAUAUAUAUAUAUAUAUUCAAAAAUAUCUUAAUAAUCUUAAUAUUGCCUUAAAAUAUGACUUGAAAUUUUUUGUUAAUAAAAAAUAACUGUGGCAUGUAUAGCAAACAUUAUCUCUUCUUUUAUAGCAUGCAUAAAAGUUCUUACACCUAUCAAUAAGGAUUUGGAUAUAUUAAACUUAUGGAUAUUUUUUUUGUCUAGCAACAUCUUGGGCUAAAUUACAUGAAAAAUUAUUGUUAUAAGAAAUCUAGUCUAUUUGAUGGUUAUAUUUUUUUAGCCACAAUAAUCCUAAAAUUAUUAAAUUAAAAAGAGAUUUAAUUAUAUGAAAUAUUAUUAAGCUAUUAUGACCACUAGUUGUCCCAUCUAAAGGAAUAAUUUUAUAAAUAACAUCUUCAAAAGACAACAAAUGACUAUCUAUUAUUUCUACAUGCAUAAAUUUUAUUUAUUUAACUAAAGAUAUGUCUUAUUUUUGUCAAUGUCUUUUUUAAUAAAAUGAAUUGAGGCUCCUAAAUAUAACAAUGCUAAGGCUUUAUGAUUUUUUGCUCUUAAAAAAAUCCUAUUGUAAAAUAAAGUGAAGGAUGUGAAGAAAAGAUAGGACUUUAAUUAGAUAUUCUAUAAGAUUUUAGUUCCAUGGUUCUUAUUGUAGCUAAAAAAAUUGGUUUUUCGACACAUUGUCAUUUUUAGCAACUAUGCUCUUCAUUGUGACUAUGUUGCUUCUUUAGAUAAUGUUGAGUAGUAUGCUUAGAUUUUCCACAAUAUAAACACAAUCCUUCUUGACAAUAUCAAGUCUUUUUUACUCAAUAAGAGGCUUGAAACAUAUUAUGCUAAUUUAUAUAGAUUUUGAUUUUAAUGAAUUAGUUUCUUUGAAUUUAGAAGUUAUUGCCAUGACUUAACUUAUACCUCUAUAACUAAAUCUUUGUUCUUGGCAUCUUUCAAAACAUUGAUUGCCACAUGCAAUGACUUAAGAAAAAAUUUAAAUAAUAAGUCUAUUCUUGACAUUGUCAAUAUUAAAUCUUUGCUGUUAUCUUUUAAUCCAUACCAAAAUUACUUAAUAAGGGCAUGAUCAUUCCAAUCCACAUCACAAGCAAGGUUUUGAAAUUCAAGAACAUGUAUGAUGGAUAAAUGUGUUUCUUGUCAUAAAGAUACAAGUUUGAUCUUUGCUAUUCAUUUUCAAUUACUUUCUUCAAAUGCGGCCAUAAAGACUUCUAAGAAUGAAUUUAAAUUAUAGAGUAGUCUUGAAUCCUUUUCUAUUAAAUAUAAAAACCAAGAGAGAGCACAUCUAGAAAGAAUUGCACUUAUGAAUUUAACUUAAAUAAAUCCAUCAAGAUAUUGAAAAAAAUGCAAUCUUAGAUAGAACUUUAUUUGUUGUAAAAAUCUUUGAAAUUUCUAUAUUAUAUAUCAAACUUCUCUUAUAUACUUAUCCUUAUUUCUUUCAUACUUGUAGUAGCAAGACUUCUUAGAUUUAGUUGUAAACUUGAUCUACUUGCUUCUCUUAACUGUACAACUUCUUUGAACUUCACUAUUAACUUCUUCUAUAGGCAUUGGAAUACUACCUAUAUGAUUGAAAUUAAAAAUAUAUGAGAUUUCUAUCUUGAAAGUGUUGAGAAGCUCAUAAAGAUUUGUAAUAGUUGCAAAUCUAUUCUUAUUUCUGCCAAGAAUUGCAUCUAUAAUUUUUUCUUUUAUAGAAAAUUCAAAAAAAAUUAUAUUCAAAUUUGAGAAGGAUAAUUUUUAAUCCUUAAUAUCAAAUAAAAAUUUCAAAAAAUAAAGAUGGUCUAUUUUUUUUAAGAAAAAAAUCAUUGUUAGAAAAUUAAAAUAUUAAAUUGAGGGUUGAAAAUUUGUAAUCUUCAAAAUAAAAUAAUAGAAGUAAGAUAGUCCACCCACUUCUAAAUACAAGACAAGAAAAAUGAAUUAAUAAUCUUAUCAAAUUGUCAAAGACAUGAAUUUUAAAGAAUCAAAAAUUCAAUAGACUCUUAUGUUAUUCAAAUAGAAUAGAUAUUCAUUCAAACAUAACAUAGUAUUGAAAUUGGAAUGGCUAUUGUUAAAGACAAAAAACUAUAAAGUCUUGAAAUAAGUCUAAAGACUAAAAAGGCAUUGAUAAGAGUGAAGAAGGAUUUAUUCUUACUUCCAUAUAUCUAAAUAAGUCUAAAGACUUAUUUAUGUGACUUUAUAUUUAGUCUAAAGACUUAUUUAUGUGACUUUAUAAGAUAUAUAUAUAUAUAUAUAUAUAUAUGUAUAUAUAUAUAUAUAUAUAUAUCUCAACUUGCAAGAUAAGUUUUUUAUAUGUAUGCCACAUAGUUAGCUUUUUUUACAAACUACUAAUAUGUAAUUAACUUGUUCAACAAGUUUUUAAUCUAUUAAUCAAUUACAAAUACAUGUAAAGUCAAAUUAGCAUUUAUGAAGCUUCUAAAAAGCUUCUCUAAAAAAUAUACUAAAAUAAAACUAAUUUUAUCUACUUCUAUUUAAUUAUAUGAGUAAAUAUUAAGAUAAGUAUUUAUGUCUGUGAUACCUACCAAUCAACUUCAAAUACAUCUAAAAUCAAAUAUGUAUCUAUGAAGCUUUUAAGAAGUUUUGUCAUCAGAUAAUAUCAAAUAUACCUAAAUUUAUCUUCUAUCUAAUAUUUCUUAUCUAAAUAAAUAUAUAUGUCUAUAUUACAAGCAGAUUUAGCCAUUUCUUAAGCCAACUUAAGAAAGUUGUGCAUAAAAUGGUUUUCUCCUCAGCAAAAUUACAUCUAAGAGUUUUGUAGUAUUUGCUUCUUAGAUUAUAUAGAUAUCAAUGGAUGCCUCCUAUAUGAUGUCUUGGAGCAAAAAGCAAUAAGUAUUGUAUGCAAAUUAUUAAAGCAUCUUCUCUAGUAGUAGUUAUAUUACAAAAUUGUGUGUGAAUUUUUACUUAAAAAAGUUUAGCAUUAAAAUCAGCAAAAAAUGACAUAGCAUUGAACUCAAAAAUAUUUUAGUACAUGUUAUCUAUUCUAGAAGAAAGCAUAUUAAUAGUAAAUUCUAUUAAUUUAAUAAUAAAGAUUGAAUUGUCAAGCUUUUAAAAUUCAAAUUGAAUUUUUUGAAUUCAAUAAAUAAAUUUAUAAACUAAAGUUUUUUUUGUUAAAUAAAUAGAAUGAAGCUUAUGUUAAAGUAUCAGUAUUUUAGCAUUGCUAUGCUAUUGAUAAAAUUAAGCAAGCAAUAUCUAAGCUAUAAUGGAAUUAAUGUAUUCAAAAAUACUUGAGAAUAUAUUUUUUUUCUUUUAUUUUUUUACUAACAUAAUGACCAAAUGGAAACCAUUGACUUAUUCAAGAACUAUAUUAGAGGCUUUUCUAAGUUGGAGAGGAUUUUUUCCUUGAAGAUGCAUAUAUUUCUAAGUUUUUUCUUUUAUUAAUAAUAUUUUCAUUUUGACUUUUUGGGUUUGAUAGUUCGUUCCAUUGAGCUUAAAUAUCUCUAGAAGAAAGUUAGAUGCUAUGGAAAAUCACACAAAAUAUCUCUCAAAAUAUAAAUAAAAUCAACUUGUCACACAUACCAUUUAUCUUUUUAACUUUCCAAUUUAUGCCACAUAGACACUUAGUGACAAAGAUGAUAAAACAAACACUCAACUUUAACCAUGCUCUAAGGAAAAAAUAAAUAUAAGACCUUUUAGUGACAUUAUCCAAGAAACACCUUCUUAAAGUUUAAUACCAUGUAAAAAUUGAUAUAAAUCAAUGAUUUAUAUUCUACUAUACAUAUGAAGGUUUUAGUUUGUGUUAUAGAAUAUAUAGAGAGGUUAUUGUCACAAAUAUACAUAUUUAUUCCAAAAAUUAUCUAUAUGAUUAAGAAAAAGUAGGUGAAAGUAUAUUAAUUUCAUAACAUCUUUUAAAGAAGCUUCUUAAAAGCUUUAUAGAUUCGAUUUUGACUUUACAUAUAUUUGCAAUUGAUUGGUAGAUUAGAAACUUGGUCAACAACUUAAUCAUGUGUUACAUAUAUUGGUGGCUUGUGGAACAAGUUAAUUAUGUGGCAUACAUAUAGAAAACUUAACUUACAAGGUAAGAUAUAUAUCUUUUAAAGCCAAUACAUGUUAGAGAUUCUAUAGAAUAUUGUCACAUAGCUUCUAGUUAGAUAGAAUAUAUAUAUAGAAGCAAGAAUGAAGCCUUUUUCACUCUUACAAAUGCAAUUUUAGUCCUUAAUCUUAUUUCAAAACUUUUUAAACUUCUUCUCUUUGGCAAUAGAAAUUCUAGUUCAAUUUUUACCAAAUUUGAAUAACUUUCUAAUCUUUUUGAAUGAUAUAAGAGUGUAUUGAGUUUUUUUUCUUUAAAAUUUAUAUCCUUAGCAGUUACAAGAUUAAUUACUAGUUACUACAUUAAUACAAUAAUAACAAGAUUGGAUCCUAUUUCUGCUUCCAAUAAGAUAUGUUUUAUACUAAUUUUGAUAAGUUUUAGUUUUAAUAAAAAAUUAAAAAAUAAAUCAAAUACAUUUACACAAGAGAUUAAAAUAGAAGAAAAAAUAAAGAAGAUAUUUGAUUUUUAUCCUAAUGUAGCAAAAACAGUAUAUUUUAAAAAAACUAUUACAAUUGUAGUAAUAAUAUAAGUUGUACACAAUGUUUUUAAUGUUUAUAUGUCUUUGUAUAUGGACAUAUAUUUAUAAUAUUCUUUGUAUUUUUUAUACUAUAUCUAUAUAUAUAUAUAUAUAUAUAUAUAUAUAUACACCAUAACUUUCAUUAAUAUCUUUACCUACAAAUGGAAUAUGAUUUUUGUUUAUAUUUCAUGCUUUGACAAGUAAAAACAUUUAUAUAUAACACUUUGUAACAGAUACAAUCAUUGGUUAUCUUAUGUAUAUGGUGUUCAUAAUUAAAAUAAGUAAUAUAUAUUAUUAGAUUUUUUUCAUAAGAAGAUUUUAUUGAUAUUUUUGAAAUAUCUUAAUUAUUUAAUAUUUUAGAUAGAAUAUAUUUUUAUAUUAUUUUAUUUUAUAAGAAUUUCCUAAAAAUUAUGAAUAAUUAUUUUUUGAAGAAUAUAUAUAUAUAUAUAUAUAUAUAUAUAUUUUUAAUUAUUUAUUUAUUUGAUUUUUUAUGAUAUUAAUAUGAAUAUAUUAAUAUUUUUUAAUUAUUUUUAUUGUAUUGUUAAUUAUUAUUAUAUUAUACCAUAUUUUACAUUAAUAUUUUGCUUCAAUAUAUUACUUUCAAAGUAUGGCCUUCAAUGCUUGUAUGUACUUAUUAUAGAAAAUCAUAUAUAUAUAUAUAUAUAUAUAUAAUCAUCAUUAUAUUUGGUUUUUAUUACUAUUUUUUUAGAUAUCAAUUAAAAAAAAUAAAUACUUAAAGCAAUAUUCUUGAUGCAAUACAAGAUAUUUUUAUAUACAUAUUUUUUUAAUCAUAAUUAGAUUGAUAUAUUAAAUUUUAUAUUUUAAAAAAUUAUAUUCUUAUGUAGUUCUUUUGCAAUAUAUAAAAAAUAUUUAAUUACAAUAAAUUAGUUUACUUGCCAUAUUUACAUGUAUAGCCACUUUUUACAUAGAAUUAAUUCAAAACAAAAUAAACAAAUGAACAUAACUAAAAUCAUUGAAGUCAUCAUUGCCUAUAUAAAUGCAUGUUACAUAUUAUACAUAUAAAAUGAACAACACAAUGAAAUAUAAAAAAAUAGGCACUAUGGAGGAUUUUAUAACUAUGAGUUAAGUUUAAAAGACUAUAGCUAAAGACUUCUAAAUAUCUUAAGCGUAUUGAAGAAAAAUUAUUUGUUAAAAAACCUCUCUAUUUAGAGAUAGAACUAAGUAAAUGACAAAAUCAAAUGAUUUUAUUUAUUAUUGUUUUAAGUAUAAUAGUUCAUAUCUUGAUUUUGGCAAUUGUGACAAACAAUUUUUAAAACCCAAUUUUUAAAGGCCUAAGAUAAAUUCUAGGAACAAAACUAUUCAUGCAAUAUGAUAAGUUCUACCUCAUCGUUUCCUCUUAUAACUUCUCAUCUAAUUUCUCUAAAAAUACUAAGCCAUCUAAAGAAGAAUUUCCAAUGAUAACCAAUCACAUUCAUCAAACAAAGUCCUAUUAUCAAUCAACUAAAAUCCUAGAGUUUUAUUUCCAAGUGUUCAAACCCUAAAUGCCAUUGAUGCAUGCAUCACAACAAAAACAAACAUGCAAAAAGUCAAUGGUCCAUGAAUGCCAUAAAUGUGCCAAACAGGUAAAACACGAGCAUGCAGGCAAGGCUGUGUGUUACCACGUUGUGGAUCCUAACCUCGUUUGUCUCGUCAGGGUUUCAUAUUUUAAAUCGGGGACACGUGAGCAACCCCGAAGAGCGUCGACGCUGCUGCUGCGGCUAGAGCGGGGCCUCGGCGGGGGGCGCCGAGAGCGUGUCGGCCGCAGCGAGGGCACGAGGACAAGAGGGCGGGAUUCUUCGACGUGGGCGAAUCCCUCCAUCCCACGGGUCCGGACAAAUCCCGUUUUGGCUCAUUUACUCGCGAAGGCGACUUUUGCAACAGGAAUCGACGUGCAAGUUCGUCGCUUCGGGGCUGCAGCCAGUCUGGCAGCCCCGACUUUCCCGACUUGCCUUUCCCACUAUCCGUACUCGCGCUUGCCACACGCUGUUGACCUUGCUCGCGUGCGUGGAUCAGUCCCGCGGGGUCGGUGUUGUUGAUCCACGGAUGGGUUGCUGCCUGUUGUAGCCACAGUAGUCCUCGAAUUUUUCUGUAUCUCGCUUAACAGUCCUUGGCGAAGGAGUUUUGGGUCUUCGUCGAUGUGCUCUGUUGACUUUAGAUUUGUUUACCUAGUUGGGUAGUCAUGUUUGGUGUGCGUGUUGUCUAAUACUGUGCCGGAGUAUAAUAGCGUGUAGGUAGAUAUUACAUGUUGCAUGCGAUUAGUUGAUAUCGUUGUACGAUUUCGUCGUUCCUUUUCGCAUGUUUUCGUUUGGCAUUUUGAAGUGGGUUGGAGUGUAAUGAGCAUUGAAGCCUGGGGUUUCGUUUUCUGUCUCUGCGAUUCGCUGCGGUUGUCGCGUGGGGGCAUUUAGUACCUUAAUUUGCUCGUUUUUUUCUUGUAGCGUAUUGUCUGUGUUUUAGAACAAUUUUUGGGUUUGUGACUGAGGAAUUCUUUCAAGUCAAGGUGCGCAGUUCAAAGCAGGAUGUGUCCUCUACGAGUCAUUCUGCUCUUCCUUUCUGCCAUACUGGCGGGUUACUUAGCCGUGAAGACUGUGAAAGCGCAACAGGAAUCCAGCAUCCUAGACCCAAGUGAAGAGUCGCCGAAGCAAGCAAUCGAGCACAAGGGUCUUUUUGCCGUAGUAAGCAUACACUCAACGCGUGACGUGCAAUUUCAUGCACUCAUUCUAAUCUUCCUAAAACAACAGGAUGUCUUACGCCUGAAGCAUAAAGCUUGGUACUUUUAAUUUGUAGAUUGUUCGAUCUCUCCACUUUCGUGUCCUCACAAACACGUCCCAUUGCGUUUAUUCCCGCGGACCCUCGGAUUACACGUCUUAGAUUUUCUGACAAACCCUAACGUGUUCCGAGGGCAUACUCUCUUCCAUUAGCCUUUGUUCUAUGAACUCAUCUACUUGCUAUUGUGCAGGUCUCCGCACGAGCUUCCUCCGCGUUAUCAGUAACGAUCGACAUGCUCAGUGGUCGCUAUCUGUACCAAACUCUCCGCAAGCAAGCGAACGGUGAAGCGGUGGCCGAUCAAUAACACAGUAUAGAGAUCGACCUGCACGGCGAUCGACUGUAAUUCUCACCAAUUCUCUGCUCGCCGUUGGCGUGUCCAUUGAUGGCAGCCCUUUGUAGGCCCUCAUCUUGUAUCUGCAAACCUAUCGACGCAACUGUGAUUCUUCGUAACUCACUAGAAACUACACUGAAUUAUGAGACCCUAAACUCAAACAUUACUCACAAUGAACACUAGUUGACAGAAAAAAACUCCAAUUCAGAAUAACUUAUCCAGAGAAAGCCUUUUGCGUUCAUUAUGAACUUUGUUUAGAAAAAAAACUCAACCCUAACGGUUUCUCUGUGAAAGCUUAGUGGUUUGGAAGCUGUGAAUAAAACAAACUCAAAUCUAGCCAAAGCAACCCUCCAAAUAUACUGGAUCAUGGGAAGCUUGAAAGAAACGUACUUGUAAUUCUAGAAUCACAUGGAAAUAAAACUCGGGCAUGUGUAUGUCUUUGUGUUGUUUGAACAAGAGUUUGUCUUGAGGAUUCAUUAUUUUGCAUCACAAAAUCUGUGCAUGCUCUUUAGCUGGAUGGUUGAUUGAUUAACUAAGUUGGGCUUAGAUGUGCUAAUUUGUUGCUCACAUAUGAGCCAAGAAGGAUGAAAAUAAUGGGGUGUUUUUUUAACGAAUGUGAAAAAAUGCAUGUAGUUAAAAAUCGCAUUCUUGGAUGUGUAUGGGAAAAGGUAGUAGAAUCUGCACCAGGAUUGGGUCAAGACUAUCGUUCUUCUAAUCUUGUCAACUUGCUUCUGUUUAGGAUUUGUUUUUAUGAGUCAGCGUAGCCACAUGCUGGACAUAGUCAAUACAUAAAUAAUUGUUUGAUUAUGAUUGACAGAACUGGUACACAAAUGCACGUGCGUGGUGUUUUUUAUUUUAUUUUAAUUUUAAUUUUUUCCAGCGGUAAGAUUUUAGUAGUUAUCUAGAAAUCAUGGAAGCACUAGUUUUUCCUCUAGCCAUCCAAAUAUAAAACAUAUUUCUUCAGUGUUUUAUUUCCAUUAAUUUUUGUGAUGGAUACAACAAACAGGUAGGUAUAACAAACCUUCUAUUAUUUUCGAAUCUCAUAGUUUUUUUAGAAAACUAUAUGAUACUGUAUAAUACAAACAUUAGAAGAUAGAAGAAAAAUUAUGCAAUAUUAUGCUGUAAGAUGAUAAUUUUAUGAAAAGAUCAUCUUUCGACUGAGAUGUGGAUUGUACACAACUAUAAUUAUAAUGUAAUACUUUUAGAGUACUUAAUUUUGACUUCUUAGUCGUCAAAGAACCAACGUGACUAAUUAAAAUUUUACAACUUUGAUGUCUACUCAUUUACUAAUCUACUAAUUUUUACAAACUUCAAAAAUUGCAGAUGUAGAAAAUAUUGAAAAAAAUCAUACUAUGAAUACAAUACCAUUUACUAAUGUAUUGAUGUGCAACACCAUUUACUUGUAUUUUAUGAUUAAUGUCAACAAUAUUUUAAAAUUAAAAUAUAGAAUACAACAUUUUAUUUUUUAAGGACUUAAAAUAAUCAUUUAGAAAUACUAUAAAUAUACAUACAUACAUACAUACAUACAUACAUACAUACAUACAUCAAGAGGAAACCCAUUUAGCAAGCUAAAUGAAACUAUUAUGCAUUUCAUUGUUUUAUGGUUCUAUUAUUUGCAUUUUUAUUUAGGUUUUAAUCUAUUUUUAUGUAUAUUUUCUUCAUAUUUUGCAUAAAAAUAAAAAUAAAAUAAAAAUGUAUAAACUUUAAUAAUUAAAAAAUAUUAUUUUUUCUAUUUUUGUAACAUAAUUCACGAUGUUACAUUUUACUACUCAAAUAUGAACACGGAGUGAGUCGAGAACAGGGCUGUGGUGUGAAAGUGGUCCUAGUGUGAACAGGGAAACUCCAUGAAAGGAGUUAAUUUGUCUAGCAUAAGGCUGCAGUGUGAACGAGGCUAAAGUGUGAUAUGUAUAUACAUAUAUAUAUAUAUAUAUAUAUACAUAAGAGAAAGGAGACCCAUUUUGCAUGCUUAAAGAUUGUUGAAGCCUAGAAGAAUUUUUUUUAGAGAAUCUGCAUUACAAAUAGUUUUUCAUAUCACACUAUCAUCACAAAAAUAUUGUGAAAUUUUGAUGUGAGAUUGGUUGAAUUUUUUGAGAUAUUUUUAUUUAUGAUUUUUCCUAAAGACCUUAUAGAAAUUUUUUAAAAAAUCACCAAAAAGUUGGAAAAUGUUUACAUUAAAUACAAAUUAGAAUAUUUUUAAAAAUUCAGCAAAUCAGAUAUCAGUUGCAAUUCAGUCAAUCGGGGAGUUGAAUGAAAUUAAUAGUUGGAAUCCAAUCAAUUAGGUAAUAUUUGGACAGACACCAAUUUUAUAUAGCUAAAGAGUAUAUCUAUAUAUAUAUAUAUAUAUAUAUAUUCAUGUAUUGGCUCUGUAAAUUCCAAAGCAUAGUUUUUGAUUAUAUACUUUAUAUCAUAGUUUUUUUUUUUGAAUAAAGUAAUAUGUUGCUUAACAUCAACAUUUGUAAGUAUGUAUAUAUACACACAUAUAUUAUUUGAUGUUAAAAUUACAUCAUGUUGGUUCAAAGUAAAUUAGGUAAUAUAUUAAAUAUAUAUUAAAUAAAUUUUAGAAAUAAAUAGAAGUCUCAAAAAAAUAAUAACUAGAUUUUAUAAAUAUAAACUUGAAUGUAUUAAAUGAGAUUCAACUCUUAACUUCCUAUGUAAAAGUUUUAAUCACAUUCAAAAAACUUUUAACAAUGAACAUGAUAUUCAGUCUUUGUAAAGCCUACAUUCUGGUGUAAAAUAAAACAAAUUAAAAAUAAACAUCUAGAAUGCUUUUCCAAUUUGUUUUUACAUUCAUUAAUAUCGCUAUCCAUGUAAACAUUUGAAUGAACAUGUUCGUUAAUGGUAGCAGCAGUGGUAUAAUUGUCUAGGGUUAAGGCCCACUCAGGCACAGUUGGGAUUAGUUGAUACCAACUGGAAGGUUUCUAAUGGUGAUGUCAGGCUUCUAUUAAUUUAUAAGAACAGAAUAAUUUAUUUGUUUUUUUUUCCUCUGAAUGCCAUUUGGUGUGAUCUGUUAUUGUCUUUGUUCGCAUGUGUGUGUAUUUAAGAAGAACCCACAAUUUUCGAGAUGAAUAUGGUGUGAGGUCCUGGAUAGAUUGCUCAUUGUGAAACUUGAGCGUUCCAAGUUUGAAAGAAGCAAUUAGUGCAACGGAACGGAAGAGUGAAGGACUUAUAAGAAUGCCUAACUGCCUACUAUUUCAAAAGAAGAAAUGUGUGUAAUUAUUUGCAGUGUUCAAAUCUUCUAAACUGAAUUCUUGGCUUGAAGUGAUUUUAUUUUGUGAUGGUAUUUGAUUGUGCAAUACACUUCUGGACUUGGAGUUUUAAGAUGCUGUCUUUGGAUGACGGGUGCAGAAGCCCUUGUUGCAUUUCUAAUCAAUGUAUUGCAUGCAGCCUUGUAACAAAUGUGGCCUAUGCAAAUUUAGUGCAGAGAAUUUUAGUGAUGUGAAUUUGAAGAAGAUUUUCAUGUUUUUUGUAGCAUUCAUGGAAACAUUAUGGAAGACAUUAUUUAGUAAAUCUAAUUGAUAAAACUAUUCAAUUUUCAUUCAUAAUUUUACUUAAGUUUAUGGGUUUCAUGACUCUCCUUCUUUUUCUUUUUCUAUGGCUUUGUUUAAGAUUUUAAUAAAUUUUCUUCAUUAUCAAUCCUAUACUAGGUCUAUAUAGCCAUGGGACACAUAUCCAAUGAUGCAAUUAGUUUCUUUAUUUUCAAUGCUGAAAGAUAUUCUUAUUUAAACAUUUAACAAUGAUUGUAGCCAUAAGAUAAGAUUAGUAGAAAUUAUAACCAUUAAAAGAUUUCAAACAUGGUGCUCUUCUAAAAAAAAUAAUCAAAAUUUAGCAUUUGAUAUUUCUAUGAUUAUGCAAACUAUCAAAUCUAAAAGAUUAUGAAGGAUAUGAAUCUCAAAGAAGUAAAAGUUCAAUACACUCUAAUGUGACUUGACAUAACUAAAGAAUCAUUCAAAGAUAAUAUAAUAUUAAACUAGAAUGGCUACUGCCAAAGACGAAAAAACUAGAAAGACUUGAAAGAAGACUAAGGACUACAAAGGCAUUGACAAGAGUAAAGAGAAUUUUAUUCUUGCCUCCAUAUAUACUAUCCAACUAAAAGCUAUAUGGUGACAUUCUAUAGGACAUCCAACAUGUGUCCAAUUUGCAAGAGACAUGACUUAAUUUGCAAGACAAAUUCUAUAUAUGCAUGCCAUAUUGUUAGCUUGUACUACAAACUAUCCACAUAUAUAACACAUGGCUAAUUUAUUAGUCAAGUUUUUAACCUACUAAUCAACUAUAAAUACAUAUAAAGUCAAAUACAUACUUAUGAAGGACUAAGAAGUUUUACCACAAGAUAAUAUUAGAUUUAUUUAUAUUUAUCUUCUAUCUAACACUUCUUAUCUAGAUAAAUAUAUAUGUCUUUAAUAUUAUCCCUUCUUCUAGGAACAAGUUCUAUGAGGAAAAGGUCAUAAUAUAUUGAGAAAGUCCAAGAUGUGGCCAAUUGUAUUUGUCACAUAUUUUGAUCUUUAUUUUCUUUGAAGGUGAUUGAUAGAUCUUCUUAGACAUUGAUAAUAUUUCAUUCCACAGCAAGAAGACCAUCCUAUUAUUUAGUCAUUGUUGAAGUCUUUGUAACUUCCUUCAAGCAAAAUAUUUGUAACACCAUCAAGACUCAUUCUUACUUCUAAUACAAUCAUCAAUCAUCAAGAAAUUUUCCAAUGUCAUGAUACCAAGCAUGUUGUAUCUCGCCAUCUAUUCAAGAAAGAACUUGUCAUUCUUGAGAAUCUUCAUCUUCAUUAUAUCUUCUUUAAGGCUAUGAAAAUUAUAAUAUUUUAUUUAAUAAAUCAUCAAAUAAUAGCUCUUGAGUUGAAUCUCGUAGUUUUUGGUUUUUUAUUUCUUUAUUGCUACAAAUACACAUAAAUUACAAAUAAAGGUAGAAAAUAAAAUGAAAUAUUUUUUAAACUAUUUUUUUUUUAUAGCAAAGAUGUAUUAUUCUUCAUCUUGAUUUGAUUGGAUAUUAUCAAUAAAAAGUAUCAACCUUCUUUCUUGUAUUUGUAAGAUUCUUAGCUGGUUCCUAUAUGCAUUCACUUAUAUCAUAUUUAUAUCAAUAAACAAGAUAUUUCAAUCUAUUUUGACGCCACCUAAAGUAUAAGACUCUUUCCAUAUCUAAUUCUUAAUUAUUAUUUACUUCUACAAGAUGAAGUAGCAUUUAUCUUCUUUCCAAGAUAUUCACUCCCUCAUAUAACUCAAGUAGAGAUAUAUAGAAUAUAAAAUGGAUCUUCUUAGACUUUAAUAGAUGUAAUUGAUAUACAAUUAGAUUGAUUUGUUCACAAAUAGGAAAUAGUCUAAAUCUAUAAUAAUCCAACUUAUUACAAAGGUGACUAGCCUUGAUAUUAUAACAAAGUAAUCAUAUCUUAUUGCUAACAUAGAAUUGAAGUUUCUUCUUACAAUAAGCAUUUACAUUGGUUUAUUUUUAUUUUUGAGCUUCUUUUAGUUGUGCCUUCAUUAUUGUAUAUAUCUCAGAUAAAGAAUUUGUUAAAUCUUCUACCACAGGAUUAACAACUUUUGAAAAGUCAAAAGCAUCAAGUUAUAAAUAAUAACCAUAGUAAGUAAAAAAUGAUGUUUAUUACAUAAAAAAAUAUAAUAUUAUUAUAAUCAAAUUUUAUCAAUAAUCAAAGAAUUAUUCAAUCAUCUUAUUGGUAGAUGAUACACCAUAAAUAUCGCUUUAAAAUUAGGUUUACAUACUUUAUUUACUUAUUGGUUUGAGGAUAAAAAGCCAAAGAUAGCUUUAUAUCCACCUUUAAAAUCUUAAAAAGGAUUUUUCAAAAUCUUGAUAUAAAUUGAGCCUCCCUAUCUGAUAUAAUAUCCUAAAGUAAUCCAUGAUAGCAAUAGAUAUUGUCAAGAAAUAGCUUAGCUAUUUCUUCACCAAUAAUAAUCUUCAUAAAAUAAUCUACUAUCACAAAUGUAGAAUUAUACAAAUUUGAGAUUAAAAGAUUUGUGAUAAAAUCCAUAGAAAUUAAAGACCACAAUUGUUCUAAAAUAGGUAAUGCUUGGAGAAGUCCAUAGGAUUGAUGAUGAAAAGUUUUUGAACUUAAACAAACGUUAUAUGAUUAUAAAAAGUCUUUGAUUUCUUUUUAUAUUUUAAGCUACCAAAAAUCUUUUGAUAUUAGCUCAAAAGAUUUGUUGUAUUCAAAAUAUUUGGCCACUAGAAAGUCAUGAUAAGCUUAAAGAAUAUAUAAUUGUGCUUUGUCUUUUAGAAUAGAUAAUCAUUCUUUAAAAUAAAAUAUAUUGUUCUUGAAUUCAAUCUUAAAAAUUUCAUAAGACUAAAAAUAAUUAUUUUUAAUACCAUAAAAAAAUGAUCAAAAGACAUACUUAAUUGAACUUAUUUUUGAAAGAUCAAAUCAAUAGUUAAUGUUGAUUUCAUUUAUCAAAGAUAAAAAUAUUCUAAUUUCAAGAGAAUUAUUCUUUGUUGAUCAAAAGUUAUAUUUCCUUAUUUGGAUGCAAGAUAAGAAUAUUUAAAAAGAUCAUCAAACAAAUCUUAUUAUUUUUUGAAUCAAUAAUUGAUCUUAAAAUCAAAUCUUCAUAAAAACAUGUUCCAAUAGCUUCAAAUCAUGUAUCCAUAUGAAGUAUUUAAAUUUCUUAUAAUUUAUAAACUUAGUGGCUGGACUAAAAGUAGCUUUUAAACAAUGAUAUCAUUCUUGAAAUGAAUCUAUGAUUGCAAGAAGUUCUUUGUCAUAGAUCUUAUAAUUAAACCUCGAUGUUGAAAAUUUCUUCAAAUAAAAAGUUACUAGGUGGAUCUUAUGAUUUCUUCCUAUUUGUGAUAAUACUGCACCUAUAUCAAUAUCUAAUGCAUUUAUUUUCAUAAAAAAUAUCUUAAAAAAUUAACAUGAUACAAAAUUGGUGCUUAAAUAAAUGUUGUCUUCUAAGCUUCAAAAGAUGCUUCAAUUUCUUUUUUUAAGUUUUUUUUUACAUGUCAAAUAUAUAAGAAGAGUCACAACUUGAAAAAAGUUCUUAAUAAAGAUUUGAUAAUAAUUGAUAAAUCUCAAAAAAUAUUACAUGUCUCAGAUUUUUUUUGAAAUCUUCCAAUCUAUGAUAGUCUAAACUUCUUAGGAUCUUUUAUAAGACCAUUAUUUGAAAUAAUUUAUCUUAAGAAAUCAACUUGAAUAGUGAGAAAUAGAUACUUUUUUUUUAUCUUGGUAUAUAAUCAUGUAUUUAUAAGUUUUUGUAGCAUGUGAUAAAUAUAAAGUUCAUGCUUCUAUGUUCUUAGAAUAGAUAAAAUAUCAUCUUAAUAAUCUACCAUAUAAUCAUUAAAAAACUCAUAAAAGACAUCAUUUAUCAAAAAUUGAAAUGUAGCUAGUAUAUUUUUGAGCCAAAAAGACAUCAUAUUAUAUUUGAAAUAUCCAUAUUUAGUUUAAAUUAUAAUCUUUUAUUCAUCUCUUUUUUUGAUGCAUAUUAGAUUGCAUAUUCUUUAUAAAUCUAUUUUUAUAUAAAUUUUUACUUCAUUGAAUUGAAAAAAAAAUUCUAAAAUAAAAGAUAGAAUAUAUCUAUUCUUUAUGGUGAUCUUGUUGAAUCUUUGAUAGUCAAUACAUAUUUACAAAAAAUUGUCUUCUUUUUUUAUAAAUAAAGAUAGAAGCUCCUAUUAGAGAUUUAGAAUGAUAUAUGAAGUUUUUAGCAAAGUUCUUAUAAAUAUAUGCUUUGAAUGGAGUCAACUUAUUUUAUGAUAAACUAUAAAUUGGUCCAAAUAGUUGUUGAAUUUUAUCUUGAAGAUCAAUAGAAUAGUCUUAAGAACAAUGUUCUAUAAAAAUAUCUAUAUUAUUUUUCUCAAAAAUAUCUUAUUAAUCUUAGUACUAGCUUGAAAUAUGACUUAAAGUCUUUUCUCUAUUAAAUAGGUGUGGCAUAUAUAACAAAAGUUGAUUGUUCUUUUGCCAUAUGCAUAAAAGAUCUUUUACCUAUCAAUUAGAAUUUGGUUGUUUUGGAUUUAUGGAUUUCUACAUAACUAGCAGAAUCCUAGUCCAAACUACAAAAAAUGUCAAUAAUACAAGAAGUCCUAUCUAUUUUAGAAUGAUAUUUUUUUAUCCAAAAUAAUUCUAAAAUAAUUGAAUUGGAUGGAAAUCUAAUAACAUUAAAUAUUACUAAGCUAUUAUAAUCUUUAUUUUUUAUAUUUAAAGGAAGAAUUUUAUAUGUAAUGUCUUUAGAGGACGAUGAACAACUAUUUAUGACUACAUGCAUGGACUUAUUUUUCUUGACUAAAGAUAUUUCUUGUUAUUUAAUAAAAGAUUUAUCUACAAAACAAGGUAAGUGAAACAAGACUAAUCUAUUUUGAGAGUGUAAGACUCUUGAAAUCUACAAUCACAUAAAACCUCAUCACAAAGUAGGACAAAAUGGACCAAAAUAAAAUUGAACAGAAGUAAAUAAAAUAAGACAUGAAAGAUAAAACUGUAUAAACAAAAAUAAAACAAAAUAGAAUUGAAAAUGAAGAUGAAAAACCAAAAUUUAGUAAGAGAAAAGAUCCAAAGUCAUACUUGACUAGAUGCCAAGAAGGCCAUGGUCAGUCCUAUUUAUAUUUUCUUCUAUUAUCUUAGACUUUCUAGAAUGUUUCUAAAUGAUGCACCUUAUUUAGAUAAUCUUCCUAAGCUUUUUUUAAAACAUUCUAUGGUAGGCUCUACUUAAAUAACCGCCCUCAACUCUUUUUAGAAUGUUCUUUAGUGGAUUUUGUGAAUCAUCAAAUCGACUCACUAGUUGUUUUAGUUGGUUUAAUAUUUUUUUAUUUAUUAUUGAGUAUCGAGGAAUAUUUAUUAAGGUCAAUAUUUAUAUUAGCCUUCAAUCUAUACAUAUUAUUUAUAAAAAAAUAUAAAUAUUAGUUAAUAAUUAAAAGAAGCAUGAGAAAGAACUUCAUGUCUUUUUAGGUGUUUGUAUAAAAAAUAAGAUUUAUAGUAGAUUUAAAUUAAAUUUAUUAUUAUAAAAAAAAUCAUCAAGAUAAUAAAGUACAGCUUCAAAUUUAUUUUAAUAUUAUAGAAAUAUUAUAAGAAUUUUUAGAAUUUAUUUAAAAUUUAUUUAGAAUUUAUUUAGGAAUUUUGAGAAUAAUUUUCAAGACUUUGAUAAAAAUGAGUUUUACUACUUCGGAAGCCAUUAUGAAGAAAUAAAAUAAGAUUUGAAGGCCACAUCAAGCUUCUAGGCUAAUUGGAUGUUUUAAAUACCAUGGUGAAGUCAAAAAUGUAAAAUUAUUGGUUUUACUAGUAGAAAGUAGGAGGACCAGCAGCUAAUAUAGUCCUUGUAAGAAGGGAGGUGCACCAGUCCCAUAUGGGUUGUAGCACCUUGAAGGUAGUUAGGAAGAUAAGACUAAGGCCUCACAGACUCUCUUAGCUCUACUUGUGAGCCUUGGUGAGGCUCGAACUCAUGAUCUCUUAAGCAAGUUAUGUUAAAGGUUGUGAGUGUAAAUUUUUAUUCCUCAACUCAAGUUACAAGAUGGCCUCAAUUAAGAGUUGCUUGUAAUUGGUGGUGUAGAUUGAAGUAAAAAAAUGACAAGAACAAAAAUAGAACAACCACAAAGAAAUUGAAAUAAAUGAUAUGAAAUAAUAACAACACUCAAAACUAAGUCAUAGAUUGUUUAUUGUAUUUUCAUCCAAUAAAAAAUAGAAGUAAAAAGUAAAAAAUAUAUUUUUAGAUAGAUAAUUUUAUUGUCUUUUUAAUGAUAUAAGAAAUAUAUAAAUUAAAAUUAUUAUAAAUAAGUUAUGAAGUUUUAAAGAUAAGAAGUAAAUAAUUAAAAUUACUAUAAAUAAGUUAUGAAGUUUUAAAGAUAUGAAAUAAAUAAUUAAAAACUAAAGUAAAAAUAUUUUACUUCAAAGAUAAUUUAUUUAUAGAUCAAGGCUUCGAGCCUCACAAAGGUUCACAUGUAAUAUAUAUGGGUGUCUAAGAGAGGCCAUGAGGUCUUAGUCUUAUCUUCCUAACUACCUUCAAGGUCCUACAAUCCACAUGGGACUUAUGUACUUCCCUUUCUACAAGGACUACAUUAGUUACUUGUCUUCCUAUUUUCUACUAGAAGGACCAAUAUUUUUGCAAUUUUGACCUCAUGAUGGUAUUCAAAAACACUCAAUUACCUUACGAACCUUAUGUGGCAUUCAAAUAUUGGUCCAUUUCUUCAUAAAGGCUUCCAAAGUAAUAAAACUCAUUUUUACUAAGAUCUUAAAAAUUACUCUAAAAAUUCCUAAAACAUUCUAAAUAAAUUCUAAAAACUUCUAAAAAAUUCUAAAAUAUUUCUAUAUUGCUAAUAUCCAUCUAAGGCUAUAUUUUCCUACCUUGGUGAUUUUUGAUAAUAAUAAAAAUUAAUUUGAAUCCACAAUAAAUCAUAUUUUUUAUAUCAAUAAUAAAAAUGACAUGAGGUUCUUUCUCAUGCUUCUUCUAACUACUAAUAUUUAUAGUUUUUAUAAGUAGUACAUAUAGAUAGAAGUCCAAUAUAAAUUUUGGUCUUAAUAAUAAUCCUUAAUAUUCAAUGAUAAAUAAAAAUACUAAAUCAACAUAGAUAAUUGCCUCCAAAACUUACUAAGACUCCAUUUCCGCCACUAACAUUUUAAUUUUCUAUUUCUCUAAGGACUUCUACACUAUUCACCAUAUAUUAUGAUUUAAAGUAUUCUAAAUUCAUAUUUUUAUCCUAAAACAAUAAUUAAGUCAAUUUGAUGAUUCAUAAAGGUAAAAAUUAUUUAUUUAAAUUUUUAUUUAUUUACUUGUUAUUUUUCAAACCUUCAUAACUUAUUCAUAGUAACUCGGAUUUAUAUAUUUCUUAUACCAUUGAAAAGAUAAAAAUCAAAUUUUUAAAAAUAUAUUUUUUAAUUUUAUUUUUUAUUUUUUAUUAGAUGAAAACUCAAUGAACAGACUAUAACUGGUUUUGUAAUGUAUAAUUGCUUGAUUGUACUUAUUCUACUUGUUUUUUUGUUUUGCUUCAUUUGUUCUUGUUCUUGCUACUUUCACUUCAUACCACCCAUGACAAGUAACUCUUAAUUGAGGCCAUCUUGUUAUUAAGUUGAAGAGUGAAUUUUAUACUUACAAGUUUCAUAUGAUCCACUAACCUAGCCCUAAUUCUAGAAACUUCCAUAACUUCUCAAGCAUAGUUUCAACUAUCUAUCUCUAUGUGUCAAUAAUAUAAAUAUCUUAUUUAUACCGUGUUAGUGUUAAUCUCCCUCCACUAAUAUAAAAUGUCCUCAUUUUGCUUCCAAUGGUAUCUCGAAAUUGUCUUUUGGCAAUGGAUGAAGUUAUGUGUAGGUUCCUACAUUGUAUCAUAGAUGGAAUAAACUUUUGAAAGAACUUUGUACUGAAGUUUUGGACGUCCAUUGCCAUAGCAAAGGUAUUGAUGCUCUAAAAUCUUAUAUACUUCAUAUUUUUAUUGGUCAUCAACUACAACUGGUGGUAGUAUUGAUUGAUAUUAAUUCAAAAAGCACUUUGGCUCAAUAUGAAAUUUCUUCAAUUGCAAAACAUAGAAGAUUGGAUGGAUCCGAAUAUGUGGUGAAAGCUUGAGGCGAUAUGUAAUAUAAAAAAUCUCUAUAGAAAUAAGAAAAUGUCGAAGCUACUAAAGUGUCAAUUUAUGGAUUUUGGUUGAUGUAGCAAGUUGCAAGUUGAUAUUAGAGAAUAACACUUGGUCACUUUCUCAAAAGAUCUUGUAUUGUCGAUGGCUAUCCACAUAUUAUUUUUGUCAAUUUUGUGUGAUAAAGAGGGGAUGUUGUGCUUCUUGUAAGGCCAUUGUAAGCCUUUAUAUAAACUCCUAUGUUGUUGGUUUGUUGAUAUCAAUGGAACAAUAAAAAGUUUUUAGCGUAAUUAGAUGCUAAUUGAUAUUAAAAAAAAUAUUGAAUGACUAAUACUUGCUUGAAUAUUACUAUUGUAAGCAAACUUUGAGGGUGUCUGUCACGGACACAAAAUACAGACUUGAAAUCUAACAAGAAGUUCAAGAAGAAGUGGCAGAACUAGAUUAAACAGAUGAGUACAAGAACAACACCAGAAGGGUGAGCUAGAACUCCAAGAGAUGUGUUGUCGAGACUGAAGAACCCUUCAGCCUCGACUCCUAUAUAUACUACUGAAUAGGAAGCUUCUCGAGCUACUUCCGCUAACUAGGACGCUUCUCCAACAACUUCUACUAAUUAGGAAACUUCUCGAGCAACUUUCUAGAAUCUAUCAGAAUAUUCUAGAACCUUCUAAGAGAAUCUUUAGGGAAUAUUCUAAGAAUAUUCUAGAACCUUCUAAAGGAAUAUUUAGAGAAUCUUUAGAGAAUAUUCUAGAAGAAUAUUCGAAGAAUCUUCCAAUGUAUGUCCAUGACAUCACCUCCUCUUCUAACUUCGAGGUCUCCGAGAAGCAAUGUUGUUAUCAGUCAAUACCAACGCAAGAAAAUGAAAAUCUGUCGCAUCACAUCCGCUAUGAAUUCCAAUUGUUGUUCGCGAGGCAAAUGAUUCAUCGGCCCUUCGAGCCAACGGUAGUGACCAACACCUUCAACCUCUGACUAAGCGUGGACUUCUGUGUCUUCAUUGUGAAACUGUCCUCCAAACACACCUUCUGGCUGACCGUCGUAGGCAGGCUCGACCUCAAAUACAAUUACUAGCGAUCUGUUGCUCGGUAUCCUCCGACGUCGUCGUGGUGCAGGCGGUUCUUCAUCUCGCGGUCGUCUUCGUGAGCUAGUCGCUUGAGAUGACAUAACAAGUGUAGUAUCUUGACUAUCCAUGUCCAAAGGCUAAAAUGAUGAGAGCAAACUAUAGUUGCUAACAAAGUUCUACACUAUCGAACUAUGGGUUUUGGAGGUGCCCUCCCCCCUUUUUAUGCUACUUGAUGAACAAGCUUCAGCAAGAAGCUAUCGUUGAAUCGGCUUAGGUUUAUGAGGAUAUCGUUGAUGAAAUUCUUGUACCUUUUUUGGUGCAUUGGCAAGAUUUUUGGCACGCUCCCACGUUCGUUCAUUGAUAUCGUAUCCACUCCAAUGCACUAAAUACUCCAAUUUUCUCCUAUUACGCCGUGAAUCUAGUACCUUUUCCACCUCGUAUUCCUCAUGGUUUUCAAUUUCGAUACUUGGUGGCGGACUUUGUACUCUUUGGAGAAAAGCUGACUCUCGAUAAGGUUCCAACAAAGACACAUGAAAGACUGGAUGUACCUUCAUAGUAGCUGGUAACUCCAGACGAUAUGCCACCGGAUUGAUCUGCUUCUCGAUAACAAAUGGCCCUAAUCUUCGAUAGUCCAAUUUGUCACAUGGCCGCUUGGUCUUGAUAUUCCGUCGAAGAAGCCAUACUUUACUUCCAACUUUAAAAGUAGGCGCCUCAUUUCGAUAUUUAUCUGCAGAUGCCUUGUAACUCUCUUGGGCAGAUUGCAAUUGAAGCUUCAACGUCGCUUGAAGCUCCGAUAGUUGCUUCACAAAUCCUUCAGCUGCUGGGUUGUUAUUUGCUGAAGAACUCAAUAAAUCGAGCUUGGGGUGGUAUCCGUAGUUGGAGAAGAAUGGUGUUUGUUGAGUUGACGCAUGAAGAGUGUUGUUGUAUGCGAACUCAGCAAGCGGUAGAUAUGCAGUCCAAUCAUCUUGUUGAUAGUUGAUGCUGCAUCGUAAAUAUUGCUCCAAAACUUGAUUCACCCGCUCCGUUUGACCGUCAGUUUGAGGAUGAAAAGCCGAAGAGAGCUUAAUAUCCACCUUCAAUAUCUCAAAGAGGGACCUCCAAAACUUGGAUACAAACUGAGUACCUCGAUCCGACACGAUAUCAUCUGGUAGGCCAUGAUAACGAUAUAUGUUAUCAAGAAAGAGUCUUGCGGUGUCUUCACUUGACGAUGUUUUCUUGCAAGGCACGAAAUGCGCCAUCUUUGUAAAUCGAUCCACCACAACAAAGAUGCUGUCAAAUGAAUUCGAUGGCAGUAGGUCCGUAAUGAAGUCCAUAGAAACUGAAGACCAUGGUCGGUGCGGAAUAGGCAAUGGCUGGAGAAGUCCAUACGGACGAUGUCGAGGGAUCUUGGAUCUUGAACAAACAUCACAAGAAAGGACAAAUUCCUUCACAUCCUUCCACAUUUGGGGCCACCAAAAAUCUCAUGAAAUGAACUCCAAAGUCUUGUUGAAUCCAAAAUGUCCCGCAACUGGAAAGUCGUGGCGAGAUUGAAGUACUCGGAGUCGAGUUGGUCCUUUCGGGAUAUACAACCGCUCCUCAAAAUAUAGAAGAUCUCCCUCCACCUUAAACUUGUCAUUAUCGACACGUUGUUUGAUGUCAAGAGCUAUAGAAUCCUCAAUGGUCGCAGUACGUACCUCGCUCAGGAAGCCGUCAUCGAUAGUUGCAACAGUAGCAAAAAUCCUGAAUUUUUCUGGUUUCAACAAUGUUGUACAUUGUUGAUCAAACGCUGCUUCUCCAGCCUUUGGCGCAAGAUACGAUCUCCUCGAUAAUGCGUCAGAUAAUCCUUGCUGUUUUCCAGGGCGGUAGGUGAUAAUAAAGUCAAAUCGUGAUAGAGACAUAUUCCAUCGAGCUUGACGACGAUUCAAAAUUCGAGCUGUCAUGAAGUACUCCAAAUUCUUGUGGUCCGUAUAAACAGUCACUGGAUGUGCAGCUCCUUCGAGGAAGUGACGCCACUCUUCGAAGGCAUCCACUAUAGCAAGCAGCUCUUUGUCGUGGAUCUCGUAGUUGAUCUCAGCAGCAGAGAACUUCCAUGAAUAGAACGCAACUGGGUGAAGCUUCUUGUCUAUGCCCAUCUGUGAAAGCACAGCUCCCAAAGCAAAAUCUGAAGCAUCGGUCUCUAAAUAGAAAGCCUUUGCAAAGUCAGGGUGUACCAAGAUUGGAGCCGUAGUGAAUGCCGUCUUGAGAUCUUGAAAUGCUUUUGCUGCUUGUGAUCCCCAUUCGAGCUUGUCUUUGCUUGUUAGACGCGUGAGUGGUGCAGCAACUUGAGAAUAAUUCUUGAUGAAGAUCCGAUAGAAGUUAGCAAAUCCAAGAAAACACUGAACAUCUCUAACCGUCUUCGGAACUUUCCAAGAUAUAAUUGCUUCUACCUUUUUUGGAUCCAUCUUCAAGCCCUCUGUAGUCGCAAUGAAGCCCAAAAAUUCCAUCUCAUUCUGGUGAAAUUGACACUUCUCCAACUUGACGUAGAGUCCUCGUUCGCGUAGUUUUUCAAGAACCAAACAAACGUGCUUCUCAUGUUCUUCUUCAUUCUUGGAAAAUAUCAAAAUAUCAUCCAGAUAGAUGACAACAAAGUCAUCGAGGUACUCCCGAAAGAUGUCGUUCAUCAUAUGCUAAAAGACCGGUGGAGCAUUGGUAAGACCAAAAGGCAUGACAUUGUACUCAAAAUGGCCAUACCUUGUACGAAAGGCUGUCUUCCAUUCAUCUCCUUCUUUGAUUCGCACAAGGUUGUAGGCUCCUCUUAAAUCAAUCUUUGUAAAAAUCCUUGCACGUCUAAGUUGAUCUAAGAGGCCGGAGAUCAAAGGUAAGGGAUAGCGAUUUUUCUUGGUCACCUUGUUGAGUCCUUAGUAGUCCACGCACAUCCGCAGUGAGCCAUCCUUUUUCUUCACGAAUAGGAUUGGUGCUCCAGCUGGCAACUUUGAAUGUCGAAUAAAAUUCUUGGCUAGAUUCUCAUCAAUGUACUUCCGCAAUUCUGCCAACUCCGUCUGCGAUAGGUUGUAUAUUGGACCAAAAGGUGGUUGCGCUCCUUCCUCUAAGUCUAUGGCGCAAUCAUAUAGUCGAUGUUCCGGCAGUAUAUCGGCGUUCUUCUUCUGAAACACGUCUUCAAAAUCCCUAUAUUGCUCUAGUAUAUUCGAUGUUGAGAUAUUCUCGCCGCUAGUUGGAGCUGCAUAAAUGACAAAUGGUGCGCCUUCCUUGGACGAUCUUAGGAACGCUCUCGCUCCAAUAAACAUGGAUUUCUUCAUGUAGGUUCUACCAACAGGUUUAUUAUUAUUUUUUUCAGGAAAUGUUAUCCUUCGUAGCCUCCAAUCAAUGGACGGAUUAUGAUCUUCUAACCAAGAAAGACCAAGGAUAACAGGGCUUGAUGGGGUUCUAAUAAUAUUAAAAAUAACGUGACUACUAUGGUCCUUAAACACCACUUCUAUAGGUUCUGAUUCGUGGGUAACGUUGCCUGACAAUAAGGGUCGUCCAUCUAUCACCUCUACGUGAACAGGUUUGGACUUCUAUACUAAACGGAUCUUGUGGCGUUUAGCAAACUCUUCAUCUAAAAAACAAGUAGAUGCCCCCGAAUCCAAUAAAGCUAAAGUUUUUUGUUUUUGAGGGCCUAAAAACAAAGGAAUUGUAAAACAACGGGCAGGUUGGACAGAGAAGGAGGAACUUGAUUGUUGUCGUGAUAUUAGAUUGUCCAGCCGCACGGUUCCUACUGUGGCUGGGCAUCGUCGUUUUCCGGAAUCAUCGCACUUCUAGUCUUGACAAGGUGCCAAUUUUGCUUCUUUGGGCAAUUUCCAACCUUGUGACGUUCUUCUCCACAGUACAAACAUAACCCUUCCUCCAUACGCCGUUUCUUCUCUGUUGGAGUAAGAGAUCGGACACGCGCCGUGUCGAUUUACAUGUCUGUUGCCUCCGAAUGUGAGUUUAAGCUAUUUGCAGACAUAGUCACGUCGUAACGAGUCAUUUGGUGUCUUGGACGUUGGUCUUGGCGACGCUGGAAUAGGCGGUUGUCACACUUUACAGCUUGGCUAAUAGCUUCGUUGAGCGUUUGAGGAUCAGGAAGAGAUAACAACAAGUCCUUCACAUCAUCCUUCAAGCCCCAAUAAAACUGACUCACCAACGCCUCUUCACCCCAAUUAAUGUCACUUGCCAAUUGUCUGAAAUCCGAGGCAUAGACUGAUGCAGAGCGUGUUCCUUGUCGUAGCGAUUGGAUCUUUGUUGUAGCCCAUCGAACUUUAUCAUGCUCGCCAAAUGCUUCUGCAAAUGCCUCCAAGAACGUUUCAAAGUUGCUCAGGAUUGGCAAUCGCUUCUCGAACAAGGGAGUAAACCAAGACAGAGCUUGUGCUGUAAGCAAGGUUCCAACAAGCCCAACACGCGCUUCCUCCGUCGGAUAACAUUCGGGCUGUAAAAUUGUUAUCAACCUGAUUUGGUUGACAAAACCUCGAAACUUGGAACGAGUUCCAUCAAACUUAUCCGGAAGACUAACUCGAGGCUCCUUUCGUUGUAGGACUACUCGAUCUUAUUGAAAUGGAGGUAGAACUGCUUCUUCUGGCGCAGAAGUUUAAGGUUGAUAUGCUUUAGAUGGCGCUAUCCCAGAUGCUCCAUUGUUAUGGAGUCCUACCAUGACUCCUUCGAUCUCUGUUGUCCUAUGUGACAACGAGGCAAGAGCAUUUAUGAUGGCGUCUAGUUUGGAUUCCAAACUUUCAGCCAUUUUAACGUCUUAACCUUCGGCUAACCUUCAGAAAGAAGAAAAAAGAGUUUUGACAAGAGGACAAUAUUGGUUCAGAGGAGAGUACUCCGCAACCUCUAAAACGCCUUAAGACUCCAAGAUGAAGGGUAAUCCACUCUCUCCAAGAAGAAUAAGGCUUCAAUAUUGAGAAAGAAGAGAUAUCAGUUUAGAGGAGGGUAAUCCGCAACCUCUAAAACACUAGCACACCUUCAAGAAGAGGGGUAAUCCACUCUCUAACAAGAAGGAACUAGCUCUGAUACUAGUGAAAAUGCAGUCUCGACAAACUGUCACGGACACAAAAUACAGACUUGAAAUCUAAUAAGAAGUUCAAGAAGAAGUGGCAGAACUAGAUUAAACAGAUGAGUACAAGAACAACACCAGAAAGGUGAGCUAGAACUCCAAGAGAUGUGUUGUCGAGACUGAAGAACCUUUCAGCCUCGACUCCUAUAUAUACUACUGAAUAGGAAGCUUCUCGAGCUACUUCCGCUAACUAGGACGCUUCUCCAACAACUUCUACUAAUUAGGAAACUUCUCGAGCAACUUCCUAGAAUCUAUCAGAAUAUUCUAGAACCUUCUAAGAGAAUCUUUAGGGAAUAUUCUAAGAAUCUUCUAGAACCUUCUAAAGGAAUCUUUAGAGAAUAUUCUAGAAGAAUAUUCGAAGAAUCUUCCAAUGUAUGUCCAUGACAGUGUCAAGUAUUCAUCUUAGUCAUUAUAAUGAAGUACCACAAAUACCUUUAGCAUAUCUUCUAAGGUCUGAUUUCUAUGCUUUGUUUGUCUACCUAUUUAGAGAUCAAAGACAUUACACAUGAUAAGUCGUGAGCUUGAACAAAGCUUGCCAAAAGCUUCUCAUAAAAUAUGGAACUUGAUUUGAAACAAUGACAUGAGAUAAGCUAUGGUGACAAAAAAUAAUAUCAAAGAAGGUUCACGCAAGUACUAGGGCAUCAAUAUUUGAGCAUACUGUAGUUAAGUAAAGUUGCUUCAAAAGUCAAUCUACAAAGACGGCAACCAUAAUGUGAUUAUGAGGCGUUUGUGACAAACAUGUAAUGACAUUCAUAGUCACUUGCUUCCAACAUGCUGUAAAUAGUGGAAUUGACUACUAUAGUUCAAAAUACGUUGUAUUGUGUGCUUUAUUACAUUGACAUGACUUGUAGAAAUGCACAAAAGUUCAAACAUUACAAUCUAAACAUGCCCAAAAUAAAAUCUUUGAGAUCUAUUCUAGAGUCUUUUCUUACCCUAGAUAUCUAGAUAUUGGGAUAUCAUGUCCAUCUUGAAGUAUGUGCAUCUAAAAUAUAGUAUUGUUAGGUAUAUAAAUUUACUUCUUGAAAUAGAGUAAGCCAUCACUAAGAUUGUAAUCUGCAUACCGUAUAUCAUCAACCUUCAAUCGAUCACUAACCAUUUUAAAAUAAGCAUCCUAAUGUACAAUUUUUUUCUAUUUUACUUCUUUGGUUAAAUUUGAAAUAACUCUACUAAUGGUAGCAACUUUUGUCUUGUCUCUUAAUUCGGUCUUUAAGUUUGGUCUCCGCAAUAAGCUAUCUCACACAAUAUGUUAUUGCCUUGUUUAUACUCAAACUAGAUAUAAAAAAAACUGCAAUUUUUCUUCUUAACAACAAUGCCAUAAUUUUAUAUUUUCUAAAUGCAAAUUAUAUAGUAAGGAUUGAUGGUUAGUUCAAACAACCAUUGGCUUCUCCAAUAGAUAGUAUCGCCAUUUCUUUAAGUCAUGUACAAUUGCUAAUUGCUCUCAAUCACGUAUAGAGAAAUUAUGCUCUAUCUUUUUGAGCUUGGAUGAUUUAUAUGCCUUAAGUUGAAGGCCCCUAUUAAAGUCUUUUUGAAAGAUCAAUGUAAUAGUAAGGUCAAAAGCAUCAAUGUCAAGUGUACAAGGAAGAUUAAAAUCAUAUAAUUACAAUAUAAGAGUAGUAAUGAGUACAUCCUUCAAUCUAUCAAAGGUACUUUGCUGCUCCAGUUUCUAUUCAAAUAGGGCAUCUUUCUCUAAUAGGUUUGUCAAUGAGGUAGCUAUGUGUAUAAAUCAUUGAACAAAAUGGCAAUAAUAUCUAAUAAGACCUAAAAAUGAGUAGACUUUAGAAGCAUCUUUAAGAGUUGAUUAAUCCUCUAUUGCUUUCAUCUUAUCUUGUUCCAUGCACAUGCCUUUGGAAGACAUUACAUGCCUCAAAAAGGUAGCUUUCAACUUGCAAAGUUCACAUUUUAUUUGCUUACAAUAAAAGUGACUAUCUUUGAAGGAGAUUAUCCUUACUACCUAAUCAACUUGUUUAUUUUCCACCUCCAGCUGUGGCAUAUUAAAAAUAACAUUAUAUUUUAGCUUUGUUACCUUAAACUUCUUUCUUAGGAUAUAAGUGUUUUUCAAUCUCAAGGUUUUUUCUUCAGAUGUCUCACUUAAUAUGUUCUAUUAAUUAUCUAUAAGGUAUAUACUUCCUUUCUUGAUUAUCUUAGUUUUAAUCUUAAAUUGGUUGGUAAUUUCAAUCAAGAUGCAAUUUUUUGUAGAGCCACAAUCUACAAGUACUUGACAUGGUUGUCUUUUUAAUAGUCCUAUUAGAUGUAUCAAUCGACUCUUUUUAUAGUUGAUUAAGGCCAUGCCAUUUGUGACUGAGAGAUAGUAGCUAUCUGUAGUAUUGGCCUUCGGUGCCUUUACUAGAGAGCCUUGUUUUUCUCCUCUAUCUCAUUAUCCACUUGGUGAGUCUUGACAUUGUGAAUCUAUCUCAUUUUGUUGAUGAUUGAAUUUUGACAUUUUGGACAAUCUAUAAUGUGAUGGCCUGGUUCUUUACAAUAGAAAUACAAUCCCUUUUGCACCAAUAUUUGUUAUCUUUGUGGUGUCAAUGAUCCUUAUAUGGCAUCAAUCUUCAUUGGCAUUGAUUGUUGUACCAAAGUAUUAGAUAGUAGCAUAAAACUUUGUGCUAUAGGUCGUGCUAUACGAUUUUUGAAAUCAAUAAUAUUGAUCUUCUCUGCAAUUCUAAUUGCUUCUUCAAACAUUUGUUGAUCCUUUAGCUCCACCUCUCAUUGGAUCCUAGGUUUUAUAUUUCAUAGAAAUUGAUCUAUCAUCUCUGCCUAUGAAAUAUUACCAAUUUGGAGAUAUAAAGACUUAAAUUGAGAGACAUAAUCUUGCACCAAUCUAGAUUUUGUAAGAUUUGUCAACUAAUCAUGUGCUAUCUUCUCCACAUUGAUAGGCCAAUAUUGAUUCUUGAACUAGGUCUCAAACUCCUUUCAAUUACAAAAUCUACCUUAAGCUUUAUAGCUUUGAACUUGAUAUCACCACCAAAUGGAUGCUGCAUCUUUUAAAUAAUUGGAUACAUACAUAAUUCUUUCAAUGGUAUUUUCUUUAGAUAUUUGGAAGUAUUGUUGUAUGUUGAUAAGCCAUUGACUUAUAUCUUCUUAUCUUGAAGUCUUAAAGUAUGUACUAGGCUUAGUCAAUUUCAGCCUAGAACAUGUCAAUUUUCUUAUUCAAGAGGCUUCUAUUUAUCAUUGUUAAGUAGCUAUUUGACCUAAGAGGUAUUGUAUUUGAGCCUUCAUCUAGAAUUGUUCCACCAUAUCUUCCAUGAUGUAAUUUUCUUAUUAGAUUCUACUAUUCUAAUGCCUUCUUAUCUUUUCGUUCAUUUUUUAGAAAUAAUUCAUGAUAGCUUUAAUACAAUAUCUAAUGUGACGAUAAUAAUUGACCUCAAAUCAGAUGAUGGCUAUAGACAUACUACCAAAGAAUAGUCUAACACUCCCUUUGAUACCAAUAAAAUAAGACUAGUCUAUUUUGAGAGUCUAAAUGUCUUCUAAUCUACAUCCACAUAAAAUCUCAUCACAAGGUAGGAUAUAAUGGACCAGAAUAACAAUGAAAAAAUGAACAAAAGUAAACAAAAUAGGACAAAAAAGAAAAAAUUAUGUAAAAAAAAUAGAACAAAAUAGAAUUGAAUAUAAAAAUGCCAAAGCAAAUUUUACUAAGAAAGAAGGUCCAAAGCUAUACCUAACCAAAUAGCCAAAAGUCCUUAGCUAAUUCUAUUUAUACUUGGUUCUACCACCCUACGCUUUCUAAAAUGUUCCUAGAUGAUAGACUCCUCUUAGAUAACCACCCUAAACUCCUUUUAGAAGAUUCUAUAGUAGAUCCUACUUAAAUAACUACUUUAAGCCUUUUCUAGAAGGUUCUAUGGUCGACUCUACCUAAAUAACUACCUUAAGUUCUUUCUAAAAUGUUCUACAAUUUGUCCCACAUGGUCCACUAAUCUAGCCCUAAUUAUAAAAACUUCCAUAAUUUUUCAAGUAUGGUUCCAACUAUCUAUGCCUAUGUAUCAAUAAUACAAAUAUCUUAUCUAUACCCUGUUACACUAAGGCUUUUGAAUCUAACAAGGCAAAGACUUUUUGAUUUUUUGAUCUUAAAUAAACUUCUAUUAUAAAACAAGGUGAAGGAUCUAAAAAAAAAUAUUAUCUUUAUUAGGUGUUAUAUAAGAUUUCAACCCCAUAGACUCUAUUAUAUUUGAAGAAACUUAUUUUUUGAUAUAUUAUUCUUUUUUAAUCUAUAUCAAAAUUGAUUAAUAAGGGCUUUUUCAUUUCAAUCUAUAUUAUAAGCAAGAUUUUGGAAUUCUAUAGCAUAUAUAGUGGCUAAAUAUGAUCUUUAUCUUAAAGAUAUAAGUUUGGUCUCUAUUAUCUUUUUUUGAUAUUUUUUUCUAAAAGUGGCUAUAAAUACUUCUAAGAAUGAAUUUAGAUCAUAGAAAAAACAUGAAUUUUUUUCAUCAAAGGUGUAAACCAAGAGAGAGUAUUCUUAGGGAGAAAUACACUUAUGAAUCUAACUUAGGUAAAUCCAUCAAAGUAUUGAGAAAGAUGCAAUUUUAGAUUUUUAUUUAUUACAAAAAUCUUUGAAAUCUUGAUCUUAUUCCAUCAAACUUUGUAGGCAUACUUAUCUUUGCCUCUUUCAUACUUAGAAUAAUAAGACUUCUUAGUUUUAGUUGUGAGCCUGAUCUACUUAUUUUUUUCAAUUGCACAACUUUUUGAUGUAGAAUUUGAACUUUAUUAUUGAUUUUUCCUAUAGAUAUCAAAAUACUACUUCUAUCAUUGUUGUUAGAGAUAUAAGAGAUUUCCACCCUAAGACUGUUAAUAAAUUCAUAAAAAUUUGUAAUGAUUUCAAAUCUAUUCUAAUUUUUGCAAUAAGUAGUAUCCAAAAAAAUUUCUUCUAUAAACAAUUCAAACAAAUCUAAAAAUUAAAUUAGAAGCAGAUAAUUAACAACUUCUAAUAUUAAAUGAAAGUUUUUAGAAAGAAGGCUAGUCCACUCUUUUGAAGAAAAAAAUGAAUAUUGAAAAACUAAAAGCGAAUUUAAGAAUGAAUAGUCUACAACCUUCAAAUCAUAAUAAUGAAAGUGGAAUAAUCUACUCUCUUAUAAUAAAAAAAACAAAAAAGGUGAGUUAGAAUUCUUAUCAAACUAUUAAGAAUAUAAAUCUUAAAAAACUAAAAGAUCAAUAUAUUCCAGUGUCACUUGAAAUAUUUGAAAAAUUACUCAAAGAUGGUAUGAUAUUAAAAUUAGAAUGGCUAUUGCCAAAGACAAGAAGAUAAAAAAAAUUUAAAAUAUGACUAAAGACUAGAAAAACAUUCAUAAGAAUAAAGAAGUUUUAGCUCUUGCCUCCAUAUAUAUUACCUAACUAGAAGCUAUGUGGUGAUGUCCUAUAAGAUCUCUAAUAUAUGUCUAAUUUGUAAGACAUGUUGUCUUGUUAUAUGAAAUCUUGCUUGAAAAUAUGCUAUAUACUUGGCUAUAGAAGAUAAAAAGAAAUUACAAUAAUAAGCCUUAAUUUUUUUAUUAGAAUCAUAUAUAAAUUAUAAUUAAAGCUUAAUAAACAUAAUUAAAUAUUAAUCAAGUUUAAUUGAUUUUUUAUAGAAAUUAUGAAAGAAAUAUAAAAAAAAUUCUAAAGAAAUUUUAAAGAAAUCAUAAAGAAAUAAUAUAGAAAUCCUAAAGAAAUCCUAAAAAUCUAAAAGAAAUUUUUAAAAAAUUCUAAAGAACUUCUAAUUAAAUUAUAAAAUAUUCAAAAGAAAUUUAAAAGAAUUCUUAAAGAAAUCUUAAAGAAAUUCUAAAUAAAUAAAUAAAUAAAUAAAUAAAUAAGUAACCAUAAAGAUCUGUAGUCAAAUUCUAAUGAAAUUUAAUAAAAACUUAAUCAAAUCCUAUUGAAAUUCUAAAGAAAUCCUAAUCAAAUCUGAGUAAUUCAAAUCAAUUCUAGAGUAGUUUUAGAACCUCAAUAUCUAUUGAUUAAACCAUUGAUCUUAUUUAAAAUUCCAUACACAUUUCAAUAUUUUUAUUAAAAAAAAGAAAAAAAAAAAUUGAAGAGAAUUGAACUUACAAAAUAGGAGAGAAAUAUCAUAAUAUACUUAGGUAUCAACCUACUUCCAUCUUUGAUCUUAAUAUUGAUCUUCUCUUAGGAAUAAUUCUUAAUUGAAUUGUUAUUUUUUUUUCAAAUUUUACUUAAGUAUUAGAAGUCAAGUCAAAUAUUAGUUCCAGUUAAAAUUAUUUCAAUCCAAAUGGAAAAUUGUUGCAAUUCUUAAAUAACCUUAUUAGACCUAAAAAUCCAAUUUUUGAGACCCUAGCCAACUUAAACUUCAAUAGCCUUUAAUCCAAUUGUCCAAUCAAGUUCAAAUUAACAAUAUAUGUUUAGUAUAUCUACAUACACAAACUUAUAAAAUUUUAUUUAUAGAUUUGCUAAGAAACUUAUGAAAUUUUUUAAAUUAUAAAUCCUAUUUUAUUUCACAUAAUCCAGAGUCAUCUAAAACAACCUUAAAUUUGCUAAACUCUUAUAAAGUGUUUACAAACUCAAAUUUUCCAAAUCAAAUGCUUAAAAAAAUUCUAUGAAGUCUUCUUUCAAAUCUUACUCUUUGAUUUAUAAAAGAAUCCUAUAGUCAUUGUUAGGUGUGUAAUUUUCUUUCUCAAGGUCUAAUUUUGAGCUUAGUUGAUAGCUGGUCCUCUUUUGAUAUCAAUUUUUGGUUUCUUGAGGUAGUUUUUGCUGAAAUCAACAUUUAAUUCCUUAGUAUAUAUGCCUACAUUAUUUAUUUUUCUAAUCUAUCUUGUUUUUUUUUAUUUAUGGUCCUACAAAGUAAGUAGAAGCUUACUUUGUAAAAAGGCAACAUUGAUACUUUUAGUGUAUUAUCUUUUAACUAUUAUUUAUAUUUUUGAGAUAAUUUUCUUUAAUAUUUUAAAAUAUGAUCUUCUAUAAUAUAAUAUUUUUAAAUUUUUUUUACCUUUUAGCCAUAUUACAUCAUAACAACAUGUCUUAAUUUGCAAAGCAAAUUUCUUAUAUGCAUGCCACAUUAUUAGCUUGUAACAUAUGGCUAACUUGUUAAUUAAGUUUUUAAUCUAUUAAUUAACUAUAAAUAUAUAUAAAGUCAAAUAUGUAUUUAUGAAGCUCUAAGAAGAUUUUCCAUAAGAUAAUAUUAAAUCUAUCUUUGUUACCUUCUACUUAACACUUCUUAUUUAGAAGAAUAUAUAUGUCCAUGAUAAAUAUCACCAUUCAAAUUUUAAUAUCUCUCUAUAUUUUAAGAAGUAACACUUGAUAUUUUGGUAAUAUAUCGUCAUAUUAAAUUCACCUAGCAUGUUAACUUAGCAUUCUACUUCUAUUCUUUUCAAUCUAAUAUGUUAUUUCUUAUGGCUCUAAAGCAGAUCUUGAAUCUUAUAAAUAGUAACAAAGAAAUUUAUUUUAGAAUAAAUAAAAAUAUAUUAAAGAUAAGAACUUGAUGAAAGUAAAUAAACAAGUGAGACUUUCUCAAAGAAUUAUGAAAAAAUAAAAAUAAGAAAGUAUUUAUAUUAAUAAAGAAAUUAGAAUGGCUAUUGCCAAAAGACAAGAAAAUUAGAGACGCUUGAAACUAGAUUAGAAGCAAGAAAAGAGUUGACAAGAAUGAAGAAGGCUUCACUCUUGCCUCUAUAUAUAUUAUCUACUUAAGAGCUGUGUCGCAAUAUUCUAUAGGACCUCCAAAAUAUGUUGAUUAUACACAAGAUAUUUCUUAACUUACAAGCCAAAUAUUCUAUAUGGACACCAUAUAGUUACCUUGUUUUGUAAGCUACCAACAUGUUAUUGUAUUCCAUGGCAUUUGGCUUGAGAAUGCAUUAGGCACCUAGCUGUGGAAGAUAAAAGAAAAAUUGCAACAACAAGUUUUAAUAACUCUAAUAGAUUCUUAAAUAAAUUAUAAUUAAAGAUUAGAAAAUAUAAUCAAACAUCAAUAAAAUUUAAUUAAAAUUUCAAAGGAAUUAUACAAGAAAUAAAAAGAAUUUUUAGAGAUCCUUUAAAUAAAUCAUAAAAAAAUAAUAUAGAAAUUCAAAAAAAAAUACUAAAAUAGAAAUCUUAAUAAAAAAUUAAAAGAAAAAUCUUAAUUAAAUCUUAGUCAAAAUUUAGUCAAAUCUUAAUCAAAUCUUAGUCAAACCUUGGUCAAAUCUUAAUCAAACCUUAAUCAACCUUUAAAUAAGCUCUAAUCAAAUCUUAAUCAAAUUCUAAACAAACCCUAACCAAAUCCUAAAUAAAUCCUAGUCAAAUCUUAGUCAAAUUCCAAAUAAGUCCUAAUCAUUUUGUAAUCAAAUCUUAAUUAAAUUCUAAUAAAAUCCUAAUCAAAUCCUAGACAAAUCCUAAAUAAGUCCUAAUCAAAUCCUAAAUAAAUUUUAGUCAAACUCUAGUCAAAUCCUAAUCAAAUCCUCAUCAAACCUUAAACAAAUCCUAAACAAAUCCUAAACAAAUCCUAACCAAAUAUUAAAUAAAUCUUAAUCAAAUCUUAAAUAUAACCUAAUCAAAUCUUAGAUAAAUUCUAACCAAAUUCUAACCUAAACCAAAUCCUAAUCCUAAUCAAAUCUUAAAUCAAAUCUAAAAUUCUAAUCCUAAUCUUAACCAAAUCCUAAUCCUAAUCAAAUCUUAAAUCAAUCCAAAAUCCUAAUCCUAAUCUUAAACUGAAUCCUAAUCAAUUCCAAGUAAUUCCUAUAGUAGUUUUAAAUCUCAAUAACUAAUGAAUGAAUUGUUUAUUUUAACUCAAAAUUUGCACAUCUUUUCACAAUUAAGUUGAUAAGGAGUAAAAAUAAAAUUAAAAAUGAUCGAAAUUACCAAAUAGAUGAUAACCUCAAAAAUGUGCUUGAGUGUCGGCUAGUCUUCUUCUCUCACCUUGAUGCUAAUCUCCCAAAGUCAAUUACUCUUGAUUGAACCAUUACUUUGAUUCCAAACUUUACACACUUAUUAGAAAUCAAGUUGACAACCUCUAUGAAAAAAAAAUUCUUAAAUCUAAUUGGUAAAUUGACAGAUAUCUAAGUAAAUCUUAUUGGUCUUGAAAACCCUAAAUUCUGAGACCAUAAUUUAGAAAAACCUUCAUGCCUUUCAAUCAAAUUGUUCGAUCAAAUCCAAAUUCACAGCACAUGUCAAGCACAACUACAUCCGCAAAUCCAAAUUUUUUCACUUGUAGAUCUAUUGCCAAAUUUACAAAAUUCUCCAAAAAGUAUCAUCCAUUUUAUUUUACAAAUCCAGAGUCACACAAAACAAAUUCCAAUUUUGCAAAGCUCUUAUAAAGUCAAUACACAUUCAAAUUACUUCAAAUUAAAACUCAAAGAAACUUCAUCAAAUCAACUUUUAGAUAAUUUUCUUUGAUCACUAAAAGAACUCUAGAGUUGUUGUCAAGGUUUGGUUUUGUGCCUCAAGAUCUGAUUUCAAUCUUAGUUAGUAACCGAUCUUCUUUGGAUAUCAACUCUUGAAUUUUUAAGGUAAUUUUUACCAAAAACUACUCUUAAUUUCUUUUUAAAGGUACAUAUAUUAUUUAUUUUUCUAAUCUACCUUAUUUUGCUCUAUUUGUGGUCCUACAAAAAAAAUAGAAGUCUAUUUUGCAAAAAGGCAGCAUUAGCUUGUUUAAUUUUUCUAUCCCUUGACUAUUAUCUAUUUUUUUAAGAUAAUUUUUUAUAAUAUUUUUGAAAUAAGAUCUUCAAAAAUAUGAUAUUUUCUUCACGCAUUCACCUAUUAGCCAUUUUACAUCAUAACAUAUAAUUAGUUUAUUUUGCAAGCUAUCAAUACGUGUGACAUGUGAUUAAUUUGUUGACUAAGUUUCUAAUCAAGUAUAAAUACAUAUAAAUUCAAAGCAGUGUGUAUGAAGCUUGUAAGAAGCUUUCUUAGAAGCUAUUAUAAAAUUAUUCUAUUUUUAUUUACUUCUAUCUAUUUAUAUUAUCUAAAUAAUAAUUAUAGUAAAUAUAUGUCUAUGAUAUUAUUUCUCCUUUUAGAGAUAAAUGCCAUAAGGAAUGGCAAUCACAUGUUGAAGAAGUCUAAGAUGUGGCAAAUUUUAUUUCCUAUAUACUUUAAACUUUAUUUUCUUUGAAGGUAAUUGAUAGGUCCUUUUAGUCAUUGAUAAUAUUCCAUUCCAAGGUGAAAAGACUACUAUAUUAUUUAAACAUUGUUGAAAUCUUCGUAACUUUAUUCAAACUAAAUAUUUGUAAUACCAUCACGAGUUGUUCUUAUUUCCAAUAAAAUCACCAAAUAUCAAGACUCCCUCUUAGGUUGUUGAAACCUUUGUAAUUUUCUAACUUCAUCUCUUUAAUCCCACAAUUAUACAAAAACUACAAAUAAGGAUAGAAGGUAGAAUGCAAUCAUUCCUAAAUUGUAUUUUUUUUCUAACAAAGGUUUGAUAUUUUUUAUCUUAGUUUUGAUGGAUGUUAUUGAUGAAAAGCUUUGACCUUCUCUAUUGCAUUUGUAAGGUUUUUUGCUUGCUCCCAUGUACAUUUAUUAAUAUCAUACAUGUGCCAAUAAAUAAGAUAUUUCAACCUAUGUUUGUACUAUCUCAAGUCUAAGACUUCUUCUACAUUAAAUUCUUCAUUAUUAUCCAUUGCAAUAGGAGGUCGUGAUAUUUGACUUCUUUCUAGAAAUUUUAUUGUCUUAUACGACUUUCAAAGAAUCAUGUAAAAUAUAAGAUAGAUUUUCAUGGACUUUAGUAGAUAUAAUUGAUAAGAAAUUAGAUUGAUUUAUUCAUAAAUAGAAAAUAGUUCAAGUCUACAAUGAUCUAACUUAUCACAAGAUCAAAUAAUUUUAAUAUUAUAAUAAAGUAAUCAUAUCUUAUUAUUAAUAUAAAAAUGAGGUUGUUUCUUGCAAUAGGCAUCCGUAUUGUUCUUUUGUUGUUCUUGAGCCUCUUUUAGUUGUAUCUUCAUUGCUAUAUGUAGCUCAAAUAAAUGAUUUGUUAAUUUUUUUGUUGCAUGAUUAUCAACUUUUAAAAAUUCAAAAGCAUCAAAUUAUAGAUGAUAAUUAUAAUUAAUAAAAAAAUAUAUUUUUUACAUAAAAGAAUGUACCAUAUUAUUAUAAGAAAAAUCUAUUAAUGGCAAAAGAGUUAUCUAAUCAUCUUCUUGGUAGUUGAUAGUAUACUUCAAAUAUUACUCAAAAACUUGAUUCACAUGCUUUGUUUGUCUAUCAAUUUGAAGAUGAAAAGUUGAAGAUAGUUUUAUAUCUAUCUUUAGAAUUUUAAAAAGCAUUAUCUAAAAUCUUGAUAUAAACUAAGUUUUCCUAUUUGAUAUAAUAUUUUUAGGUAGUCUAUGAUAGCAAUAGAUAUUGUUAAUGAAAAACUUGUUUCUUUACUUAUGAUAGAUUUUGUAUAUGGUAUAAAAUAUACCAUCUUAGUGAAAUGAUCUACUAUCACAAAUAUAAAGUCAUAAGAACUUGAGAGUAAAAGAUCCAUAAUAAAAUCUUUAGAAAUAGAAAGCUAUGAUUGUUUUGGAAUGAAUAAUGGCUAAAAAAGUCUAUAUGGUCAAUGACAAGGAGUUUUUGAUAUUAAGCACACAUCAUAAGAUCGUAAAAAAAUUUCGACCGCCUUCCAUAUUUGAGGCUACCAAAAAAUUUGGAUAUAAGUUUCAAAGUCUUAUUAUAUCCAAAAUAUCUUGUUAUUAGAAAGUCAUAAUAAGCUUGAGAAUACGUAAUCAAGCUUCAUCUUCUAAAACAUAUAAGCAACUUUUAAAUUAUUUUAGAUUGUUUUUGAAUUCAAACUUAGAAAUAUCAUGAGACUCAUUGAAUAUGCUUAUAUUAUAUUGAGAAAAAAGAAUAAUCCACUCUUAAUCAAGAAAAGAUAAAGCUCUAAUAUUAUAAGUAUACUCUUGUUAAUUUUUCAAGGAUAAAAACUCAAUGAAAAUAAAUAAAUAAGUAAGAUUUUUUUAAAGAAGUAUGACAAAAUAAAAAUAAAAAGGUAUUUAUAUUAAAAAAGAAAUUAGAAUAGCUAUUGCUAAAAGAUAAAGAAACUAGAGACUCUUGUAACUAGACUAGAAGUAAGAAAGGAAUUGAUAACAGUGAAGAAGGCUUCAUUCUUAUCUUUAUAUAUGUUGUCUAUCUAGGAGCUAUGUGGCGACGUUCUAUAAGACCUCUAAAACAUGUUAAUUUUGUACAAGUUAUAUUUUAGCUUGUAAGAUAAUUUUUUUAUAUACAUGCCACAUAGUUACCUUGUUUUGUAAGCUAUCAAUAUGUGUGGCAUAUAGUUAACUUGUUGACUAAAUUUUUAACCUAUUAAUCAAUUACAAAUACAUGUAGAAUUAAAGCAACAUCUAUAAAGCUUCUAAGAAGCUUUCCUAAAAGAUAUUAUGAAAUUAAUCUAUUUUUAUUUAUUUUUAUUUAUUUUUAUUAUUUAGAUAAUAAUUAUAAUAAAUAUAUAUUUAUGAUAGAAUGCUACAAUUACAUCUUAGUUUGAAAAUCUAGCAAACUUCAAAAAAUUGCAUAGUUCAAGGAAGAUUAAGAUAUGUAAGAAGUAGACAUCAAAAUUUAGAGCUUUGGUAUAAUUCACUGUCUAAAUAAACAAAGCAUCAAAGAGCAAGUUCAAUCUUUCUAUAGCCAACAUAUUAGGUUAAUUGCAUACUUUCAAAGCAAAGUUUAUGGCUACAUAUGAUUAGUCAAUUAAUACCAAAAUUAACAUUGAUGAAAAAGAUUAGAAGUGGAGUAUAUACACCAUAGAUACAAAGUUGAAGGACACUUGUUGACUCUUCAAAAGAAUACAUGCUUUGUAUGAUAUAAAGCCAAACAUGAUUCCUUUCUUUGACUCCACAAUAGUAAUAAAUAUAAUCUCACCAAUAUUGUUGUAAGACUCUGAGGCAAUAUUGAUGACUAAUUUAUUGUUGUUAUUGCUUGAUUGAAUUUAUUGCCUAAAUAAUUACUACUCAAAAAUACUUAUAAGAUUGUAUUGUAAGAAAAUUCUAAUGAAUGAAAUGAGGUAUACAAGAAGGAGCAUAAUCUUUUGUUUUCUUUCAUUUUUUUCUAAUUCUAAUAUUUAUCACCAUCAUAUUUUGUAAGACAUCUAUUUAUUAGUAAUAAUGCCACUAUUGUUGUAUUACAUGUCAUCCUGUUUGAAAAUACAUUGAGCAUCUAGUAGUGAAUUUUCAAGGUUCUAAAGGCCUCUAAUUUUGGAAGUGAUAUCUUUGUGAGCUAUUAUACAAGUAAAUAGAACUUGACAAAUUUUGUGAUAUAUACUUGUAGUGCAAGUUGUCACCUCUAAAAUCAAAGGCUUGACACAACAAUGCAUUUUACAACAAUACAAAAAAGAAAAAAAUUGUGGCAAGAUCUAAAAAAAAAAAAAAAUUUUAUUUUUACUUGCACAACACACAAAGAAUAAUAAGUACUUAUAAAUUAAACUUUGUGUGCCAUUGUUUUAUUUCAAACCAUUUUUCUAAAGAAAAUUAUCUCUUCUAAUUUGGCAAUAGAAUUCUUUCAGUCUAUAUGACUCUUGGCUAGUCUCAGUAAAUUCAAUAGUCUACUUAUCACUCAAAUUAACAUGCAUAUUAUGUAAAAUGCAACAAACAAAGAUCUAAUUCAUAAUUCUUUUCAUACCAUUUGUUUGAUUGAGUUAGAUACAGAUUUCUUUGAGUAAAGUUCACUUAUUUUUUAGGAUUCCAAUGUACUAUUUAUUUACAAUCUCUAAUUUAAUUAAAUAAUAAUUAAACUCCCUAUUAAUCAACCAUUCUAUAGUUAGAGACUUGUAGUUAGGAAUAACCAUGUGGCUCAUACCAUAAGUUGAGUUUGCCAGCAAGUAUUGCCUAUAAUCAAAGUACUUUUUGGAAUUUUUAUAUAUCUCUAUUUUUUUAAAUAUUUUUGUAUCUUUAUAAGAUCUAGGCCAAUUAGUGAUUAGACUAAUAAUAUAAAGAUCAAGGUUACAAACAAUCUAUGUAUUCAUAGAGUAUUUCUUUUUCUUAUUAAAAAAUACAUCUCCAUUAUUCUUAGGAUACUGGCUUAAAAGAAAUUGCAUUAUAUUAACAAAUCCAAUGUAAUGUUUAAAGCCAAGUGGGCUCAAAGAUUGGCUAAUAUGAAGCUUUUGGGGAGUAUUUGAUUAUCACAAAUAUAAUUUUUCAAAUCACAAAAUGAUUUCAAUCACUUGGUUAGUAUAGAGGCACAUGAUGCAUUUGCCAAUAUUACAAGUCCAUUUCAAUCUUUUGAUACUAGUUCCAUUUCUAUUUGAGCUAAGACGCUUCAAUGCUAAUGUCAAUUGCCAAGUGAUAUUAGUUUGUAGAUAAUGAUCAUUCUUUUUAAAAACAAGAUAGUUUUUGAUGGCUGAAAGUACUCCUUAAAAGCUUACUCCCAACAUUCUUGUUGUGUGACAAAACUUGGCAUGAGGCUCAUUUAUAAAAUAAUUCAAAACCUAAUUGCGUGAUUUGGGUAUAAGAUUUUGAGCAAACACGAAGCAAGGACUAUUAUUUGUGUGGUGAAUCAAUUCAAGUUCUUCUAUAUAAUUAAAUUCAAAAAAAAAAUCCUGAAAUUUGCUAUUAACUUAUUGGUACUAUUCUUUAAAGAAUUCAUUGAAUUUCUCAUCAAUUGUGAAAGUCAUCAAUAUUUCUAAGUCUUGGAGGAUUUGCUAUUUUUUGGAGCACCAAGGAAGGCAUGGUGGGGCUAUGGUGUAGUAUGGAAUCAAAGAGAAAAGAAAGUUGAGGCAAACAAUGUGGUUUUUGAUAUUCACCAGCACUUCUAUUGAUAUUUUGAUUUCAAAAUCACCAACCUUACAAUGUAGGUGAUUUGGUGAAAUAUCAAGUAAUAUUUCAAAAUACCAUGGGAUACUUUGAAGAAAUAUCACCAUGGAAAUAUCACCCGAAAAGGCCAUAUUUGAAACCCCCUAUUGGAGAUGGCCACAUGGCUAACUUCAAAUGAAAAUGACCCAGUUUACCAAGUACAUCCGCAGGAUGCCGUAGGAGAAGUGCAUAAACCAGCACUGCCUUAACACAAAGCCAACACCCCCUUGGAUAGGAAACCGUAUUUGAUCCUGCACAGUCAGAACCAUUCCCGUUCGCCAGGUUUUUGAAGCUCCCGAUAGAAACAUUCAACCCUAACUAGGUUACCCACGCCGACAGCUUUGCGUUUGCUCAACAUACCUGAGGAUUUGGUCCAUCUCGAACAAGUAUGUUCUGCUCGACUUUAACAUGUUAUAUUAGCAGAAAUAUGGCCUUGCUCUCAUUUGCUGGAAUUCGAGGUUGAACCAUUGCCCAAGAGCACCACUGCUAUGUGCAUGGAAGGAAUGUAGUUACAGGAAUUCAGAAUUUUAUACGCAAAUGUUUGCAGAUGUAAAGGAAAGGUGAUUGUAACUCCAAUUCUCUGGAAGUUAUUUUCAUGCCUGUUUUGUGUGCUAGCCAAAAGCAUGUGUGUUGACAAGGAGAAUAUCAAAUCGUGGAACGAAUGCAAAGUGCGCAUCUUCUCAGCAUCUCACACCGAAGUUUAGAAAUUUGUAACCUUACGUGAGAGCAACUGGCAGACCAAUAAAUUUCUAGAUUUCGUACUUAACCUUAAUUUACUUCAACUAUUUCUUCCCUGGGUUGCGCAGCAAUCAUUUUUAAAGAUACUGUAGUGGUAUUUUGGGUUAAGCAGUUUUUCAGCAGUUUUCAUCAAUUUUGCAAAAUUGAUGGUUCCUGUCCACGACUCACUCCUCAAAGUAGAUAGAUCAAUUCCUCAUUUCUACACUCUCUUGAAAGAUCUGCUCCCAAGUGUGAUAAAUUUGCAGUUUGAAGGAGCCAGUUUGCAGUGCAUGCCCGCCGAGAAAUGGAUCCAGUCCAUAGACGUUCAAUUGCCAGGAGAUAAUGUACAAGUAUCGUCAAACUGUGCAGGAAGUGCGACGCGCAGAUUGGCGAGGGCACUGGAUGUGGUAGAUGGAAUUGAAAUGUUCGAAUCGCCAAUGUACAUGUCAUAUAAGUGGUUUACAUAGCCGAACAGAAUAAUAGAGGAUAUGUAGCAGCAGCGUUCAUCAGUGCCUGUCACCUACAUUGCAUAAGCGUGCACGGUACAAAGUGAUACUCGGAGUGUGUAAUAAGGAAUAACAGGUUCAAGGCUGCUGAAAAGAUAUGAUACCCCACCGACGCAACGCUAAACCCUAACUGGGGUUUCUCCAUUGUUGCACAAAAGCAGCUGCGUAUGCACGUUAAACAGCAUUCAAAACCAUUCUUAAUAUUAUUACCUCAAUUCAAGGUGACCAUUUCAAUCGGUUAGGCAACACAAUUGUAUGACCGAAGGUACAACAGUGUCUGUCGCUGGAGUGCAGGCUUUAUAUUAAGCAUGGUACAAAAUCAUACCCAGGAGUUGAUUAUCCUAAGCGAGAGCAAUAAAAAGUAGUGAUAAGAACGAUUCCAUGCAUUUACAAAAUUGCAUACGAACCAGAAGGAAGCGCGAGCAGGACUCCUCAAGAUGACAGAAUUGACAGCUCCACGUUCAACGCUGUCGCCUAAGUUGACUAAGUGCACAAUCCAGAAGACUGUCUGGUGCUGUUAUCAAUACCACUGAAAUCUAUUCUAUGAGACCACUAAGAAAAACUAUCUUGCCUAACGAGAAUAGUCAUACCGGAAGACAAGAUUACACGCUGUACAACUGGUUAAUCUCAUUCUUCAUCUCCUCCUCCUUUUCACGGCCGUAGACAUCAAUGCUCAUGUCCUGCUUAAUGUUAUCCGAGUCAUUCACAACCACCUCAGCGUUAAGCACACGCUUGUCCUCAAUACUGAAAUUGUAGUCCGACUUCACGCCAUCCCUCGGCACAAUGUGCAACAAAUUGUUCUGAGGGUGGUCGCGCUUCCACGUCCGCGAGGCACACUUAGCACGGAAAUCAAACUCAUCGCCAAACACGCCGCCCUGCAUCUCCGCAGGCAACAACUCCACCUUCUCCUGCAGGGCCACGCCGAGAUUCGUGGCCGUAACACACUUGUAGCACGUCACGCCACCGUUCUCCAUACACUCCAGCGUCCCGGCGGUGACGGGCUCCACUACGAAGACAUCCUUCAGCUUGCCGUUCUCGUCUUUCCGGAAGCAAUGCGCCAGCCCCAGCACGAUGUAAUCGUCGUCGCUCCAGUCGGGGUCUUGACCGUGGGGGCUUUCGGAGGCCCUGGUCACGAGGAUCACACUCCUCCGCUGCGGCUCUCUCCUUUCCCAGCUCCUGUUCGCCGCGACCUUCACUCCUUGCCCAACAAACGCCGAAACAUUCUUCACGAAAACCUGCACUCCGCUCGACGUCGCUCCCUUGUCCACUCUGGAGUGUGCUACCACGUCCAACGCCGCUCCGGCACUUGAAAUCCUCGCGGUUGCAGCCAUGGCAGCCAUCGUUGGAAAGGCAAUUCCACGAGGAAUUAGACAACGCAAGCGAGGGAUUCUCCAACAGAUCGGCAGAAGAAGAAGAGGGGGAUUUACUUACAGCAAUCGAACGAGGGCGUGUUUUGUGAUCGGAGAUGGAAAUCCGGAAAGAGGAUAGGAAGAGGAUAAGAGGGUUGCAACCGCGUGGUGAACCGCGCGGGAAAUGGUGCGUGCAUUACCUGGACUGCGCUUCGGACCGUGCUUGAAACUGCGCGUGGAGCUUUCGAAGAUAUUAUCUCUUUGCUUUUUCUACUUUACUUAGAUUUUUUAUAUAUUGCUCUUCUUUUGUUUCGUUUUUCGUGUGUUUGUUUGUGGGUGGUCUUUUGACAUGAAAUUUUUUUUUACGUCAACCAAUCAUGUGAUUGGAAUAUUCACACAAACCAUUUGUUUACAUAGAUGUGCGCAUAUACAUAUAUAUAUAUAUAUAUAUACAUACCAAAUAUUUAAAGAUUGAACAUUAUAUUAUUUCAUUUGAUGAACAAUUACUAUUUGAAUGAUUUAUAACUUCGGCAUUUCAACUGAUUAAAUUUGAGAAAGUACCAUAACAUAUAAUUCCUUGUUCUGUAGUUUUUUCCGUUCUUAAAUACGGAGAUUCAUGUUGCAUUUGAUAAUGAAUUCAAAUUUAAAAACUAAUCUCAUGCAAAAUGGUAUGGGAAUAAUUUCAUAUCACAAAUGAAACAGUUUUAAAUUGUUCAUAUUGAUAUGGAAAAAUUGCUAAAAGCAUCUCUUAGUAUAUCACCAGUCUUUACCAAUAGCAAUGUUAGUAGAAAAACAAUGCACUCUACAUUUUGUGAAAUAAACAACCAAAAUUUCAAACUUUCUAAAGCUAUCAUACCAAGUUUUAUUAAACCGUCUCAACCUUGAUAUAUCAUUAAAACAUAAGUAUGAUAUUUAACAUUGUCAGAUUUAUCUUCGAGACACAUUUUGAUUGUACUUACAUGGUCUUGUAGAACCCCCCAAUUAACCUACUCAAACCACUUUGUUAACCCAGAAUAUCACACAGAUGUUACACGUAUAUAUAAAAGUAUACAUCCAUAUAAUCAUAAUCAAACAAAAAUAUGACAAAUGCCUGUAAAGGCAAGGGAUCGAACUGCAGGACCAUUCACCUUGUACGAGGCCAUUAAAAUACAUCAGAAAUUUAGAAAAAAUUUAGAAACUUUUUGAAGUUUACUAAGAGUAAUAAUGAUGAAAGAAUAUGUUCAACGUUGCAACCACAUGGUAUAAUUCAUAGAAAAUACAGAUUCUAAAACACGAUAGAAAAAUACAUGACAAGGGAGCUGACAAUGGUCACCACAGUUCGAUAUAAAUAAAAUGCAAACGCUGGAUUCUACAAAGAGGACGCUGCUAUGCGUGGUUCCAUCACAGACUUGAGUUUCCAUGAAUGCACAGAUUGUUGCCCUUCCACACACAUCUGGUAAUUUGAUUUCCAAAAAACGAGAAAAAAUUGUUGCUAUUGAGUCGACACUCUGGCUGAUUGACCAGCCCAUUGCUUCCAUGGGAAAACAAAAUAAUUUACAAAAUCUUGCUACACGUGCUUCAAGGAUGGUUGGACGAAAGAGAAAAAAUUCUUCGUUCGCAAACCUAAUAUGACAGGGUUACCGAACCUGAUUGCACUAAUCCUACGAAAGACUUACGAUGGUCUCAUUGCACUUUGAGCCUGAAGCAGUGGGAGAACAGGCGUCAAGCGAACACCAGGAGCCUCUGGCUCCAACACCGUGCUGCCGAGCCGGGUGGGUGGCCAGUAACGUACCACGGACCGUCCUAAAAUGCUCUUCACAGGAAGUGGCCCCCUGCCAACAAAGCAGUUUCUCAUGAUUAGUAGACCUCCAGUCAUCACAAUAUCAGACCUAAUCUCGACAUGCAUUAUUAUCCCAUGCAGCAAAGAAAAUGUAGAAGAGUAUGUCACCUACUCACCAUAAAACUCUAUAAAUCGAAUCAGAAGCACAUGAAAUAAGAUGAGAAAGUAUCUCAAUCUAAAAGGCCUGUGUUUGUAGAAAGCCCAACUUAAAAUAGGUCGGGUUCUUCAGAAACAAUGUCGAAGUGUGAGGGGAAGACAACCUACCAGAUAUGCGAGUCGUAGCUAUUGUUACGAUUGUCCCCCAUGACAAACACAAAACCUUCGGGAACAUACUGCACAAGGAAGAAGGGGGGAUAUGAUUAUGAAGAAAUUGUGCACGGAACCACGACAGAAUGAAUGAAUUCAAAUGCCUACAAGAGCUUCAAAAAGUAAUAAGUUGUAAGCAGGUAAGAGGGAUAUGUACAGUGGCUUUCAUGUCGUAUAUGGGCGGCUCAGCAAUGAACGGCUCAUUCUUUGGCUGCUUGUUGACGAAGACUUGGCCAUUAUGAACCUGAUCAUUGAAAAAUGAUAUCAGAAACCCUCCAGCCAUCGAAGUCUAUGACGACACUCACAUGAUGAAUAUAUGACGUCACUCACUUAACAGUGCUUAAUGCUCGAACCCAAAAAAGGUACCCCCUUUGACAGACUUCCUGCAGGGUUUGAAUCGAUGGUGACACACUUGCUGCGAGCAGACAGAUUGUGACAAAGCGAUUCGAAUAGGGUGGAAACGGUUACAGCUUCGUCAUUCACAUACCUCAACGACAUCUCCAGCUUUAGCGAUUAUACGCUUGAUGAAGACCUCUCCUGCACUGUAACCCUUGGCCUGCACAAAAAGAAUGGUGAAUGAACAGCUGCAAAACACCAGCCCCUGAAACAGAAGUCACAAUUCUGACAUAGACAAUCCUGGUCUACCCGCAAUCGUGAUGCUCUUCGGUCGUAGGUGCUGAUAUAAGCAAAUUCAGGGGGUGAAAGCUCACUUGUAAACUUUCCGGCGCCUUAAAAAUGACGAUGUCAUUCACGCUGGGCUGUUUAAAGUAAUACGACACCUGCACAACUAGCCAUUCUCUUCACAAGUUAGAGUCAAAGAGUCUGCAACUGUACCUAUGGUAAAAACCCUAAAUAAACAUUGCUGCUCCCUCACCAUAGACACGAUCUGGAUGUUACUCAAACCCCUUAACCUCGUAGCUGCACUUAAUUACCAUAUAGUGCAAAUGAAGAACACUCUGAGCCAAACAUGCUAAUGAGACAACUGAAAACGCUAUCUCCGAAGCAGAGGGGGUUUCAAAUUUUCACAGAAUUGGCACUGGGUUUAGGUGAAUCAAUUCAUAACAAUUCCAGUCGGCUCCACAAAUCACUCUGUAACACACAACUAUCUGCGUGGAAGCUGGUGGUAUAUGUUUACAUAACAGAAGCCUCAUCGACCUAAUUGGAAUCCGCCAUAUCUGCUGUUAAGUCACCUUAGAAGAGUACCAGGUGCUGGACUCCUCAGGAAGUUUAUAUUAAGCUCAAUUAGUGAUUGCGCUCGUAAUCACAUUACAAAUUUGAUAGGGUGUAAGCAAUCUCUGGGAUUCUGGGAAGACGACAGACCCGGUUGGAGUAAUUCUUUUGUUGCUACAAAAGAUGAAGAAUUAACAACAGGCAGGGAAACAGCAAGAACCUUUUCAGCAACAAUCCGGUCACCGACUUCGAAUGUUGGGUACAUGGAAAGAGAGGGAAUGAAUCUAGGCUCCGCAAUGAACCACCUAAACAGCAACGAGAACGCAAAUGCGGCCAAGAUGGUCUUCCCGUCAUCGGACGAAAUGGCAGCCCAAUCAGGCAACCAGCUCGGCUUCUUCAGCUCCGCCUCUUCGGCAUCCACAGCAUCCUCCUCACUCGGACUCUCCUUAAUGGCAGGCGCAGCCAGGGGCUCUCCCUCCCUGCCAUUUCUAUCCCUCUCAGACCUUGCCACCAAUGCCUCAUAACGCCUCUGCUGCUCACUUCUCGACCAACACCUCACCGCAAUCUUCAGAGUCUGCCCCACAAACGGAUUUCUCAGCGCAGGGCCUCGGCAACAUAGCUGCCCACUCCCAACUGACGCCGCGGCCUUGAACUGGGCGUCUACAUCUAUCGCGAAUCCCACUACCGAGAUCCUGCCAGCUCCAACUAUCAUGGCCAUUGUGUUACUACGACGAAGAUUGUGCAGUGCGGCGACGAUGCUGGCGCGAAUUCGCGAUGCGCGAGGUCAGCCACGAGCAGCAACACCAACACCAACAAACACCGUCAUCGUCUUCUAAGGCAAACCUUCACAAAUGGCUUCAAGGGGUGAGGAACGGGCUGGGCUGGGCUAGGCCGGGCCGGGCCUUAUCGCAAUCGAAGGCCACGACAACGCCUAUGCCCGUGUCCAUGUCAGUGUGAACGGAGGCAUUAUUUUGAUUCCGACACCCACCACUUUCACUCCAGAUAACCAACAUAUUACUCCCAAUUAUUUAUAUUCAUGUGUGGUUUGGUUUGGUUUUUUAUUUUAAAAUUAAUGUAUUAUAAAUAUAUCUUCUAAUUUUUUCAUUUGAUUCAUUACACAUUUCAUAAUGCCUUCUAUUCUUUUGGAUUACUAAUUAAGUGGAUAUAUAUAUAUAUAUAUAUUUAUUUAUAUUUGUUCUAUAAAAUAGCUUGGAUAUAAGAUAAAGAGGAAAAAAUGCAUUUUAAUUGGAUAUUGAGAAAGAAACUCUAAGAAUUCAAGGAGUUGUGAAAUUCUCUAACAAACAAGUAAUUGAAGCCUUAAAGAUUUUUUAAUAAUAGUUCUUUUCUAAAAAACUAUCUAUUGUAAAGGGUACAUUCUCUCUCUCUUUUGAAUAUGCAAUUGUGCAAAGUUUUUGCCCCAUCCUUACUCUCUUUUUCAUUCUCUCUAGCUAAAUUGUCAAUUGUCUUUAUUUCUCUUUUUCUUCAUUCCAUCUCAAGUUCUACUUUGUCUUUUUAAUUAAUAUCUUUUUGUGGAGGAGCUUCUUUGUUGUCCUUGCUAAUCCUAUAAUUGCUACAUUUAUAGGUUGUGACUUUAAUAGGUUAGACAAUUAUCCAUAAGAUGUUCUUUUUCAUGUACCAAGAGUCAAUUCUUUGACCAUUAGCAACUUACCUAAGAUAAUAUUCUUUACAAGAUAAUUUAUUUAUUUUUAAUUUUACUUAUUUAUUUUAAUACUUCUACUUUACUAUUGGUCAAAGGUUGUCAAUCCUAAUGUCUUUAUCAACAUAUGAUGUCUAUCUUUUAUUAAUACUUUUGUCAAUAAAUUAGCAAGCAUGUCCUUUGUUGUACAAUACUUUAUAUCAAUUACUCUCAUUUUAAUCUUCUCUCUUAUGAAGUGAUGUUUAAUGUCAAAAUCUUUAGUCCUUGAAUGAUGUUUUGGAUUCUUUGUAAAUACAAGAUAUCUUAGAAUGUCACAUUCCAUUAGAGUUGCUUCUGGUUGCACUACUCUAAUAUCUUCCAAAAGUUGUCUUAGUGAUAUUGCCUCCAUUGUACCAUGGCUUAUUGUCAUAUAAUCCACUUCUAUUAUUGACCUUCUAAUUGUUGGUUGUUUCUUGCAAUUUUAUGAAAUAGCUCCUAGUCCAAAAAAAAUUAUAUACUUUCUUAUUAACCUUCUAUUAUUUGCAUCUCUAGCCCAAUAUGCAUCACAAUAAUCAUACAAAGUAAUGUUAUCACCUCUUAGGCACAAUUUGAAGUGCAAAAUACCUUUUAAGUACUUUAUGAUCCUUUUGAUGGUUGCCUAAUGGAUUAUUCUAGUCUUUGACAUGUGUUGGCUUACAAUACUCACUGCAUAUGAAAAAUCCACCCUUAUGCUAGCUAUUACAUAUAUAAGUGAGCCUACUGCUAUUUUGUAUAGAACAUCUUGCAUUAAACCUUCAACUUCAGCAAAAUUUUCAUCCUUGAACUUCAUCAACUUCAAAUUAGCUUUCAAAGGUGUUCUAAUAGGUUUAUAUUCUUCUAUAUUGAAUCGUUUCAAUACUUCUUUAAUGUACUUAUUUUGACUCAUUGUAAUUGUAUUUUUAACAUGAUAACUCUAAAAUUGUACUCCUAAAUAAUAGUAAAGUUCUUCCAAAUCAUUCAUUUCAUACUUAUUUACUAACUUUACCUUUAACUAAUCUAUCAUCUUCAAGGUAUUGAUUAAGAUGAUUAAAUCAUCAAUAUAUAAGAUAAUAAUCUAUAUGAACUCAUUUGAUUAUAUUAAAUAUAUGGAAAGAUUAGCUUCACUUCUUAUGAACCUUUCAUUCACAAAGAAUUUGUCAAUACAUUAAUACAAUGCCUUUAGUAAUUGCUUGAGUCCAUAUAAUGAUUCUUUCAACUUACAAAUAAGAUGUUAUUUGCCUUCUUCAAUAAAUCCUUGAGGUUGAUCUAUAUAAAUGUUUUUUUUCAAAUUUUUAUUCAAGAAAGUUGUUAUUACAUUUAUUUGAUGUAUCUCCAAAUUCAUUGUUGCAUCAAUUGUUACAAUGGUUCUAAUAGUAGUGAAUUUGUCCACAAAAGCAAAUGUCUCUUGAAAAUCAACAUCAACAACUUGUUAGUACUUUUUUCCAACCAAUCUAGUUUUAUAUCUCAUAACAUUCCUUAUUGUAUCUUUUUUGGUUCUAAAUACAUAUACAUAAUCAAUUGAAGAUUGAUUUGGUGACAGUUGAGUUAAUUCUCAUAGUCCACUAUCUAUGAGUAAUUUGUACUCUUCUUCCAUAGCAUUAUCUUAUUUCAUAAUAUCUAUAGAUUUCAUUACAUCAUACAAACUCAAUGGAUUAAUAAAGAGUGCAACAUUGACAUGUUCUUCUCUUACUUGAGAAAAGAUGUGGUUCUUCUAUCAUUCAUCAAGUUUGAAAUAGAAAACGAUUAUCUCUAAGAUCUACGAUCCUUUUAAUCUAUAGCAAUAUAAAUCUUGUUACAAUAUAGGACAUUGUAGACCAAAAUAAAAUUAAAUAGAAUUAAAUAGAAUGUAACAUGAAAGAUAAAAUAGAACAAAAGAUAAUAGGAUAAAAUUUUAAAAAAAAAAGUAAAAAAUCAAACUUUACUAAGAGAAAGGAAUUAAAAUCAUAUUUGAUCAAAUAUCCAAAUAAUCUUGAUUAAUCCUAUUUAUACUUUGUUUAAUCAUCUUAGAAUUUUUUAGAAUAUUUUUAAUAGUGGGCUUUAUCUAAAUAACUACCUUAAAUUAUUUUUAGAAUGUUCUAUGGUAGAUCUCAUAUAGACUAUUAAUCUAGCUUUAAUUUUAAAAACUUCUAAAAAAUUCUAAAAACUUUUUAAAUAUGGCUCGAACUACAUAUUUCUAUCUCAAGGACAUAAACCAAAAGAUGAUGCAUAAAUCAAUGAAAUCCGUGCCAAAGAAAGAAUAAUAAUUUAGAAAUAAAGAAGUACGUAUAUUAAAAAGAAACUGGAAUGGCUUAUUACUAAAAGACAAGAAAACUUGAGAUUCUUGAAACUAGACUAGAAGCAAGAAAAGAAUUGAGAAGAGUGAAGAAGGCUUUACUCUUGUCUUUAUAUACUAUCUAACUAGAGGCUAUAAGGCAAUAUUCUAUAGGACCUCCAAUAUGUGUUGACUUUGUAGGACACAUGCCUUGACUUAUAAGGCAAGUUUUUCUACUUGUAGGCCACAUAAUUAACUUGAUCUUCAAGCUAAUAACAUGUGUGGCACAUGGCCAACUUGUUAACCACUUUUUUAAUCCAAAAAAUCAAUUAUAGAUACCUAUAAAGUCAAAGCAGUGUCUAUGAAGCUUCUAGAAAGCUUCUAUAGAAUAUAUUAUAGAAUUAACUUACUUCUACUUACUUCUACCUAUUUAUAUAGGUAAUUAUUGGCUUACAUGUGUAUGUCCAUGACAUUCUAUGCAUCAAAAACACAAAUAUUUUACUUAUAUCCCAUUAUAAUUAAUCUCUUUUUACUAAUACAAAAUGUCUUCAUUUCAUUCUCAAUGGUAUUUCCAAAUUAUUUCUUGACAAUGACUGAGGUUUGGUAUACAUUCGUACAUUGCAUCAUAGAUUGAAUAAUCUUUCCAAAGGACUUUGUACAAAAUUUGUGGUCAUCCAUUGCCACAAAAAAAGAUAGUGAUGUUCCAAAGUAUUGUCUACUUUAUAUUCUUGUUGAUCAUUAAUCACAAUUGGUGGUAGUGGUAGUCGUAGUAGUUGAUAAUGGUCUAAAAAAUACCUUUGCUCAAUAUAAAAUUUUUUGAAUUGCAAAACAAAAAAGACAUGAUGGAUUAGAAUAUAUGACAAAAGCUCGAGGCAAUAUGCAACAUCAAAAAUUACUACAAAAAUGGAAAAAGGUCCAAGCCAUUGAGGUGCCAACUUAUAAAUUUGGAUUGAUAUAGCAAGUAAAAAUUGGCAUUAGAAAAUAACACUUGAUCACCUUCUUGGAAGGUCUUAUGUUGCAUAUGGUUAUCCAUAUAUUGCUUCUAUUUAUUUUGUGUGAUAAGGACGUGGUGUUGUGCCUCAUACAAGGCCAUUGUAAGUUGUUAUACAAAUUCUUCCAUUAUUGGAUUGUUGGUGUCAAUUUAAAAAUGAAGAAUUACUGACAAAAUUUGAUGUUGAUUGAUAUUAAGAAAGAAUAGUGAAUGAAUGGUACUUGCUUAAAUACUAUUAUUAUAAAUAAAUUCUAAGGACAUCAAAUAUUCAUCCUAGUCAUUAUGAUAAUUUACCACAAAUACUCAUAGCAUAUCUUUUAAGGUCCAAUUUGUAUGCUUUAUUUAUCUAUUUAUUUAAAAAUAAAAGGCCAUAGACAUAACAAGUCUUGUGCCUUAUCUUUUGAUUCAAGAUUCAAAUUUGGUUUUCAUAAUGAAGUGUUUGGCAUAGUGUGUUGCCACCUUUGCUUAUAUUUAAGUUAAAUAUCAAAGAGCUAUAAUUAUUAUUUUCAACAAUAAUGUCAUGAUUUCAUAUUUUUCAAAUGCAAAUUGUAUAGUAGAGAUUGAUGGUCAAUCCAAAAAAUCACUAGCUUUUCUAACAAAUAGUGUCACCACAUCUUUGUGGCAUAUACAAUUACUAGUUUCUCUCAAUCAUAUACAAAGUAAUUAUGCUUUGUCCUUUUGAGCUUGCAUGAUUUAUAUAUUGUCGUAUUACAUGUGAUCUUACUUAAGAAUGCACCAAACAUUUAGCUCUAGAGAGUAACUAGAAAUACAAGAACAAUCCUACUAAGUCUAAUAGAAUCUUAAUUAAACUUAAAUAGACCUUAAUAAUCCUAAUUAAACUUUGAUUAAUCCAAAAUAAACUUAAAAGAAAUUAUAAAAAAAUACAAAGAAGUUCCAAACAAAUCACAAAGAAUAAUAGCAAAAAAUCUUUAAAAAUAAAAAAUAAAUCUUUAAAGAAAUAAUAAUAAUCUUAAAGAAUUAUUAAAAAUAGAAAUCUUUAAAUAAUAAUAAAGAUUUCUAAAGAAAUACUAAAAAUAGAAAUCUUAAUAUAAUCCUAAUUUAGACUUUAAUUGAAUCUUAACCAAAUCUUAGGUCAAAUCUUAAGUCAACUCUAAUUAGAAUCUUAAUUGAAUAUUAACUAAAUCUUAGAUAAAAAUUUAAUGAAAUCCUAAUGAAAUCCUAAAUCUUAGACAAGUUCUAAAUCAAAUCCUAAGCAAAUCCUAAUCUUAACCAAAACCUAGACCAAAUCCUAAGUCUUAAUUAAAUCGUAGACAAAUCCUAAAUCAAAUCCUAUAGCAAAUUAGAACCUCAAUAACUAAUGAUUGGACCAUUGAUAUUAGCUCAAAAUUUGCAUACAUCUUAAUAUCUUAGUUAGAAAUAAGUAAAAGAAAAGUAAAAUGAAUCGUUCUUAUUUAUUAAAAGAAAAAUAAGAUAAAUCAAUCAAGUAUUAGAUCGCCUCCUAUUCUAAUCUAAAUGUUGAACUUCUAGUACCAAUAUCUCCAUCUUGAUUCAUUGAAUUGCUUCCAAAUUUUACUUAAAACAUUGUAAAUCAAGUCUAAUAUCCAUAUAAAAAGAUUUUACUUCAAUCCAAUUAACAGAUUGCUAAAGAUCUUAAAAAUUCUUUAUUAAUCUUCAAACUCCAAUUUUUGAGACCUUGACCCAUAAGGACCUUCACAUACUUCGAUCUAACUAUUCAAUUGAUUUCAAAAUUUGCAUACACAUUUAUAACUAGUACAAAAAUAAAGUGCUCAAAAUUCAUCUAUACUCAUACUACAAAAUUCAAGAAACAUCUAGAUUUGUAAACAUAAUUUUAUUUCUUAAAAUCUAAACCAACUAAGAAUAUUAUUAACUUUGAAAAUUCCUUAAAAACUCAAUAUUGAUUCAAAUGACAUGGAACCUCCACUUAAAAAUCUCUCCUCAAGUCUACUCUCAAAUUAUAGUCUUUAAUAUACCAAAGAACCUCUAGAGUCACUAUAGGUACAUGGUUUGUACCUUAAGAUCUGAUUUUGACCUAGAUUGACAACUAAUCUUCUCUAAGUAUCAAUGCUUGGCUUCUUGAGAUAAAUUUUCCUUAAAUAUACUCUUAAUUUCUUCUUAUAUAUGUCUAUAUUAUUUUAUUUCCUAAUAUAUAUAUUUUUUGGAUUAUUUAUGGCCCUACAAAAUAAGGAGAAGCUUAUUUUAUAAAAAGAUAAUAUUAUCACCUUUUUUAUUAUCUUUUUUAUUACUAUCUAUAUUUCUAAGAUGAUUUGCUAUAAUAUUUUAAAAUAAGAUAUUUUAUUAUAUAAUGUAUAUUUUUUUAUUUAUUACAUCAUAACAGUGUUAUAGGAUGAAGGUUUCUAUCAAAGUCUCGUUAAAAGAGUGCUAUAAUAGCAAAGUUGAAAACAUCAAUGUUAAGUGUAUAAAGAAGAUUGAGAUCAUACAAUUGCAAUAUUAAAGUAGUAAUGAGUGCCUCUUUCAACUUAUUAAAGGCCCUUUUUUGCUUUAGUUUUCACUCAAAUGAGACACCCUUCUUUAAUAGGCUUGUCAAUGAAACAACAAUGUAUACAAAUUGUCAAAUAAAACAGCAAUAAUAUCUAGCAAGGCCUAAAAAUGAAUGGACUUUAGAAGCAUCUUUGGAGGUUUAGCUAAUCUUCCACCACUUUCAUCUUAUCCUACUUCAUGUGCAUGCCUUUAGAAGACACAGCAUGCUCCAAAAAAAUGAUCUCAAACUUCUAAAGUUUAUACUUUGAUUACUUGCAAUAGAAGCAAUUAUCUUAUAGCUAGUGCAAUACUUUUCAUAGAUGUUACUCAUGCUCUUCAAGAAUUUUAUUAUAUACUAGAAUAUCAUCAAUGAAGACAAUUACAUAUUUAUCCAAAAGAUCCCAAAAUAAUCUGUUCAUGUGAUCAAUGAAGGAGGUUGAAACAUUAGUGAGGCUAAAAGAUAAAAUAAGUCAUUCAAAAUAUCCAUAGCGUAUACAAAAAGGCUGUCUUUUUUAUAUCUUCUUUUGCAAUAGGUAUUUAUUAAUAGCAACUUCAAAGGUCCAAUGUAUUAAAGAUAGUUGUACCUUGAAGUUGGUUAAAAAGAUCAUCUAUACGUAGGAGUGGAUAUGUAUUCUUGACAAUAUACUUAUUGAGGCUUUGAUUGUCAAUGAAAAGUUGAAGUCUACCAAUUUUUUUUUAUGUGCAAAAAAUAUAAGUGCUGCCCAUAGUAACAUGCUUUUUUGAAUGAGGCCAUUUUUAAGAAUUUUUCGAGUAACUUUUGUAAUUCAUCAAGUUUAUUUAGUGCUAGAUAAUAAAUUGGCCAACUUGCCAAUUUGAUCUUAGGAAAUAAUUCUAUUUGGAAGGAUUCACUUCUAUCAAGUAGUAUGCCACUAGGUAAGUCAAUUGAAAAGACAUCUUAAUAUUCACAUAUAAAUUGCUUUACUCAUUUUGUGCUUUCAAUUAUCUUUUCCACCACCAAAGUAUAAUUUGAAACCACUAUAUAUAUCGAUUACGUAUAUUGUAUUUGUUUCUUCAUAAAGGUCAUUCCUAUAAAUAAGCUUUUAGUCACACAUUGUUUUUUUUACUUCAGUCAACGUAGAGAUACAAAAAAUUAUCUUGCAUCUACUAUUUUUGAAAAAAUUUAUCCUUACUAGCUAAUUAACUUAUUUAUUUUCUACUUUUAGCCAUGGCAUAACAAGAAUAAUAUCAUAUCUAAGCUUUUUUAUCUUAAACUUCUUUCUUAAGAUAUAAGUAUUACUCAACCUCAAGAUUUCUUCAUCACAUGUCUAAUUCAAUAUGUUUUCUUAGUCAUUUUUUAGUUAUAUACUCCUUCUUUUGAUCACCUUGGUUUUAAUUCCAAGUUGGUUGGCAAUCCCAAUCGAAAUAUAAUUUUUUGUGGAGCUACAAUCCAUAAGCACUUGACAUAGCUGUCUUCUUAGUUAACUUGUUAGAUACACCAGUUGACUCUUUUCAUAGUUGUCCAAGGCUAUGUCGUUUGUCUUUGAGAGAUAAUAGUUAUUCUUAAUACUAAGUCUCAUUUUUUUACUCCAUUUCAUUAUCAACUUGGUGAAUUUUAAGAUUGUGAACCUGCCUUGAUUUCUUGGUGCCUAAAUUUUGAUGUUUUAGACAACCUUCAAUUUUGUAGCCUAGCUCUCAACAAUAGAAAUACAAUCUUUUUAGCACUAAUAUUUUUUUUAUCUUUGUAGUAUUAAUAAUCUUUAUAAAGUAUUAAUUUCUAUCAGUAUUGAUUGUUAAGCUAUAAUAUUAGAUAGCGGCAUCAUAGGUUAUGCUUCAUGAUUUUUGAAAUCUAUAGCUUUUAUCCUCUCUAUCAUCUUAAUUGUGUCUUCAAAUAUUUGUGGAUAGCUUAAUUCCAUCUCUUGUUGGACCAAAAGUUUCAACUCUCGUAUAAAUCAAUCCAUCAUCUUUGCUCUUGAAAUAUUACUAAUUUGGAGACAUAAAAAUUUCAAUCAAAAGACAUAAACUUGCUCAUGUAGAUUGUGUAAGGUUAAAAAAUUAAUUGUGUGCUAUCUUUUCUACAUUGAUGAGCCAAAAUUGACUCCUAAACUCAAUCUUAAACUCCUUGUAGUUACAAAAUUCAUCUUAAAUUUUAUAGCUUUGAAUUCAAUAUUGCCACCAAAUGACUGCCAUACCUUUCAAAUAGCUAAUAGUAUGUAUAAUUCCUUUGGUGGUAUUUGCUCCAAAUAACUGGAGGUAUUGUUGUAUACUAAAGUUCCAUUAGCAUAUAUCUUCUUACCUUAAAGUUCCAAAGUAUGUAUCGAGCUUAUUAAAUUUUAGUCUAGUAGAUGUCAACUCUUUUGUCUUAGAGGCUUUCAUUUAUUCCUUUAGAGUAGCUAUCUAGUCUAAGAGGUGUUGUAUUUGAAUCUCUAUUUGGAAUUGCUAUACCAUAUUUUCUAUGCUAUGAUUUUCAAACUGAACUUUGCUACUAUAGUGACUCAAAAAACUAUUUCAAUAUUGACAUAUUUUAAAAAGAAUGGUAUAUUGCAGAUAAAUUAUAAUGAAUAAUGACAUGUGGUUUGUAUAGCAAAUAAAGUACUCCUUUACAGCUACCAAAUGAGCCCAAAUUGAAAAGAAUCCAUUAAAAAAUUAUGGAGCUAUGACCAAUCUAAUUUGGAGAAGUAUUUAAACAAAUUUUUGAAUGUAGUAUCUAAUUUUUAGAUUUUAUCAAUUAAUCAACAUUAUAGCAUUCUAUCAUCAUCAAUUUACUAUGACAAUAUUAUUACUAAUCUAAUGACAUCAUUAAUACUUACUAGUAGCUAUAAAAGUACCAUUCUUAAUUAUAAUUUCUGGCACAAAUAUAUUUUAAAUUACCAUAUUUUAGGACCUUUUAGAAUCUUUUGUAUAUUUCUAAUAUCUUUUAGAUAUUUAUAGAAUCUUCCAUAAUCUUUUAGAAAGUUCUAUAGGCUUUUAGAAGCCUCUUUAGACUUCUAAAAACUUCCAUAAAAAGUACCAUAAACUUCCGUAACCUUCAUUAUAGUAUAAAUAGGAGUCUUUAGAACCACUUUUACUAUCAAACUCAUUCUUUGUCUUUAAUCUUGACAUAUUUCUAUGUAAGAUUCUUAUAUCCUUCACAAUUCCUUGAAUAACUAUGAAAUCCAUUCUCUACUCUUUUCAAAACAUCACCUCUGUUCUUUUUUAUUUUCAAAAAUCUUAUGGCCAAAUUACUUUUAAACUUGAUUGUAGUAAAGUUACUAUAUCUAAGUUAGCAAAAAAGAUCACUUUUAAUAAGAAGAAUCUUAAAUUAGAUAAACCAAAGAAACUCACUGUAAUAGAUGAAAAAAAAAUUAUUUACCAAAUCAAUAGUGAAAAGGUAGAAAAUGUUAUUGAGGUUGUUAAAAAUCUUAAUGAUAUUUUUAAUAAUAUUGUGUCAAUCCAAAUCAUUCAAAUUAUUCUCAAGAAAUGGAAUAUAAAAGCCACAGUGAAAAAAAAAAAAAAAAAAAAAAAAAAAAAAAACAUUAUUAUUGACUUGCUAUCAAAAACAAUCCUUGGAUUUUGGUCUAAAGUACAAGGAAUGGAAUGUAGAGGAUUGAAAGAGGGUUAUUUGAUCAAAUGAGAUAAAAAUCAACAAAUUUGGGCUAGAUAGCAAAAAGUGAGUGUGAAAAUAAAAGGGUCAGUCUUCACUUGAUAAGAAGAUCUAAAAAAUAGUUAAGCAUGGAGGUAGAAAUAUAAUAGUAUGAGAUUAUAUGAGAUGGAAUAGAAUUAAAAAGAUGGGAGAGAUUGAGAAGAGGAUGGAUGCUAAAAAAUUUGUAGAAUUUUUUGAAAAAAACUUGCUCCCUAACAUUGAAGAAUUUGGUAUUUUUAAAGAAGAGGUGAUUUUUUAGCAAGAUAAUGAUCCUAAGCAUAACUCAAAACUAGCAUGGAAGUGAUUUGAUCAUUAUGAAAUUUAAGUAAUGAAUUGGCCUGCUCAGUCUUUUGAUCUUAAUUCUAUUGAACAUCUUUGAGAGCACUUCAUAUAGCAACUCAAUACCUGAAAGAUAAAAUCAAAGAAAGUUUAGGAAUUAUGGAAAAGAAUAGCUAUGAAAUAGAAUAAUAUUGAAGUAGUUUUGUACCAAAAAUUAAUAAAAAAUAUAUUUAGGAGGUUGAAAGCAGUUAUCAAGGCUAAAAGAGGUCCUACAAAGUACUGAUAUGUAAUUGGAUACCACAAUCAAAAAAAUAUUUUAAUACUAUUCUAAAUUAGAUUAAUCAUAGUUCUACAAUUAUCUAAUGGAUUCUUUUCAACUUAGACUCAUUUGGUAGCUAUAAAAGAAUAUUUUAUUUACUAUACAAACCAUGUAUUAUUAUUUAUUAUAAUUUAUCUAUAAUACACUAUUCUUUCUAAAAUAUAUCAAUAUUAAAAUAAUUUUUUGAGUCAUUUUAUAAUGCUUUCUCUCCUUCCAGCUGACUUCUUAAAGGUAGCUUGUGAUAGUUUCAAAAUACUACUUGAUGUAGCUACAAUAAUUGACUUUUAACUAGACGGUGGCUAUCAACAUUCUUCCAAAGAAUAGAUUAACACUUGCUCUAAUACCAAUAAAAUAAGAUUGGAUUAUCUCUAAGAUCUAAGAUCUUUCUAAUCUAUAGCAAUAUAAAUCUCGUUAUAAUAUAGUAUAAUAUAGAUCAGAAUAAAAUUGAAUAAAAUUAAAUAAAAUAGAAUAUGAAAGGUAAAAUAGAACAAAAGAGAAUAGAAUAGAAUUAAACAAAAAAGUACAAAAUCAAACUUUACUAAGAAAAAGGAGCCAAAGCGAUACUUGAUUGGAUAUUCAAAUUACCCUGAUCAAUCCUAUUUAUACUUUAUCUAAUUAUCUUGGAAAGUUUUAGAAUAUUUUUAAUAAUAGAAUCUAUUUAGAUAACCAUCUUAAGUCCUUUUUAGAAUAUUCUAUAGUAAAUCCUAUAUAGACUAUCAAUCUAACUCUAAUCUUAGAAAUUUCUAAAAACUUCUAAAAACUUUUUAAACAUUGCUUCAAAUACUUAUUUAUAUGCGUUAAUAAUACAAAUAUCUUAUCCAUGUUCUUUUAUAAAGUUAUUUUCUAUCUUUCAUAAGAUUUCUCAUUUCACUUAAUGAAGAUUUAUCUUCAUGCACUCUAAGGUUUCUUACAAGCUUUUUUUUCUCUUAAAAAUUAUUUCUUCACAUUCAAAGAUUAAAACUCCUCAUCAUUAUCAUCUUUAUCAUCUUAAUUAUCUUUAUUGUUGAUUCUAGCAAUUAUAGACAUACUUUGAUUUAACUUCUUUGACUUUUCAUCUUGAUUUGUAUUUCUACCAUUUCCAUUGUCAUCAUCUUCUUCUUAUUAUUUUUUAUUGGAAUUAGAGAUAUAUCCAUACACACACCAUUACUCUCAUUCAAAUAUAUUUCUAAGUAUUUAUAAGCACUCUUAUAUUCUAAAAACUCUACAUCACGACUUUUGAUAAUCUUUUUGAUUUCUAAACAUAUUAGCCUAUAUACCUUGAUACUUACAUAGUAUCAAAAAAAUACAAAUUUUAUACUUUUUGUAUCAAGUUUGGACCUCAUAUAAUCUAAUAUUUUUACAUAAGCUGUACAUUUAAAAAUCUUCAUAUAUAAAACAUAAGGUUUCUUACCAUUCCAAGCUUCUCAUAGAAUCAUUGAUGUGAGUGUACUUGUAAGGCAUUUAUUCCUUGUAUACAUUAUAUUUACAAGAGCUACCAUCCAAUAUUCAUACCAAUUUUUUUGUGCAUAAAGUAUAUUCUUUGCUAUCUAAAUAAUAGUAUAAUUUACACUUUCAGUAAUUCUAUUUUAUUGAGGAAUGUAAAAAAUAGAGGUUUUUCUUACAAUAUCUUAAAUAUUCAAAAAUUCAUUAAAAUAAUUUGAUAUAUACUCACUUCUAUUAUCUACGUACAACAUUUUGAUCUUGCACUUAAAUUACUUCUCCACAAGUGCCUUAAACUUAUUAAAGCUUGAAAAAUAUUCAUACUUAAUUUUAAGGAUGUACAAUUACAUAUUUCUUAAAAAAUCAUCAAUAAAUGUGACAAAGUACCUAAUUCCUCCAAUUAAUACCAAUCUUCAUUGGUCCACAAAUAUCAAAAUACAUAAUCUUGAAUAAUUUGAUAGCAUGUAUUGCAACUUCAUUUGAAAAUGAAGUGUUUUGUUAUUUUCUUUCAAUACAAUCUUCACAACUAAUGUCAUAGCAUUGUGUCUAAAUUGACCAAGAUCUAAGCCACUUACUAUGGAUUGGAGCUCUUUCAUACUUUUUGCAUUCAAAUGACCAAGUCAGUAAUGCCAAAUUCCAAACUUAUCCUGAUUUUGUAAAAAAUCAACAAAUAUCAUUACUUCAAUUUCAUUCAUCUUCUUAUAAUUGAUGAAAUAGAAGUUGCUAUUUCUAAGGCCUUUGACAAUAUCUUAUCCAUCCAAUGUCUUUACAAAACAUCCAUUUAUAUCAAAUUGAAUCUUACAACCAUGUGAUAUAAGUUUAUUCACCAAAAAGAGAUUAUUCUUCAUCUUUGGCACAUGUAAGACUUUCUUCAAUUUGAUCUUCUUGAUUUGGUCCUUUAUAACAAUUUCUAUAAUAAUAGACCUAAUUCCAAUAGCUUGCACUAUGUCAUUGUCUGUCAACUAAACUUUUGUUACUAUAAUUACUUCAUAAGUAUCAAAUAAAUACUUAUAUGGUGUUAUGUACUUGGUGGCAUCUAGAUCUAUAAUCUACUUAGAUAUGGCAGCCAUGGAAGUUCCUUUACUUGCUAUAAAAGUAUAAUUAUUUCUACCAAAGUUAUCACAAGCAUUGUUUACAAGCUCUCUAAUUCCUUCAUUAUCUUUAUAGCAACUCUUGUAAAAUAGUCUGAUUGCCUACAAAUACAACAAUUUUUCAUAUUGAUUUUUGAAUAUCUAUCUUUGUAUUAUCUUAAAAAUAGAGCCAAAUCUUUACUUUGAAUUUUUUUUUCUUGCCUCUUGAUAAUUUCAUAUGCAAGACUUAACAUGACAUAAUUCAUGGUAAGUUCUUUUAUAUUAAUAGAUUCUAAUGCUACAAUGAGGUAGAUAUAGGACUUUAAAAGAUUCAUAAAUAAUAUCAACAUAAUUUCUCUAUUAUUAAAUGGUACGUCAACAACUGUUAGUUGAUUUGCAAGUCCUUUUAUUUUAUUGACAUGAUCCAUGAAGUCAUGUUUUUUUUUAUUUUUAUUAUUAAAAACUUCUUCUUUGUCCAUAAAAUAUUGACAAGGUUUCUACUUUCAUAGAUGUUUUAAAGAGUCUUCUAUAUUUCUACUAGUUUAUUAUAAUCAAUUAUAUAUAAAAAGUUGGCAUUAUCAAGAUUUAUUGCAAUUAUUUCAAAAAUCAUUUUUUCAUGAUGUUUGUAUUCUUUCUUCACUUUGUUAUCAAUAUCUUCUUUUAAAGGCUCUUCACUUUGAUUAAUAAUGUCUCAAAGAUCCAAUGAAGCUAAUAAAAGCUUCAUUUUUUUCUUCCAAUGGUAGAAGUUAACACCUCUAAAUUUCUCAAUUAUUCUCAAGCCUUCACUUUCACUUGAAGCCAUUUCUUAAAAAGAGAUAUAUCAAAAAAAUCAAAAAAAAGAAGAAAUAAAGCUCUCAAAAUCAAGAUAAAAAAAUUAUUUUCUUAGAUAUCUAAAUUUCCUUCUUUAUAAGUAAAUUAGUAAUUUUAUUAUUUAAUUACUUUCAACUUCACUUGUAAGACUUUUUACAAAUCUUAUAUUCUAUCUAAGCCUCUUGUAUAAGAUUUUCCAUUCUUUAAUCACCUCUAAUCUUAUAUAAUACUUUUAAUUUCAUAAAAUACUACUUAUUACUAUAAGAAGAUCUUUUAAAAACUUAAGCACAUGAAAGUAUAAUGUUAGUAUAUUAAUGGUAUAACUUAGCAAAGAAACAAAAUACUAAUAUUUUAAAAUAUCAUUCAAAGGUAUUUAACAAUCUCCAAGACCAUGAAUAUACUCAAUAACAAGUAAGAGCAAAAUUACAUCAAUAAUAAGAUGAAAAAGUGGGAUUAGAUAAUAUCAAAUUCUAAUAUCAGCAACAACAAUAAGAUCUAUUCUUCAUAAGAAAGAAGACUUUAAAGAACUUCAAAAUUCACAACUAAAAGAAUAGAUUCAUAACCUAUAAAAAGAAAUAGAACUUUGAAGACACAAUACAUAGCAUCAACAAGGUUGUAUAUUAAGAGAGUAUAGAGUAAGACGUCUUUCACUUCCAAUAUCUAUUACCUAUAGAUAGUAGUUGUUGCCUUAAUAGAAAACUUCUGCUCUUUAACUUCUACACACAUGGUCUUUAGAUCCUUUGGCAUCUAACUUAUCAUAAAAGAAUCCUAUGCCAAAUAUUAAUUAAUCUUAUUUAGUCUUUAGAUAUUCUUUAAUUGAUAUUUUAUCCUCUUAAUUAUAAUUCUUCACUCUUGACAUUGUCUUAUAUCUGUAGGAUGUAUUUUUCAUGCAUCAAGAGUCAAUCCUUUAAACAUUAACGGUUUAUUUAAGAUAAUAUUUUUUACAAGAUAAUUUAUUUUACUUUUAUUUUUACUUACUUACUUAUUUUAAUAAGAGAGUCAUUGUAAUCUAUUGUUUGUAUCCUAUUAUAUACAAGUAAUGACAAUGGUUCUUCAAACAUUUCAAUUUUUGGGUAUAAAUUUAAUUAAAGAUAUGCUCUCAAUAUCUACCUAUCAAAGAUAUGAAUCUUAAGAAAAGAAAUCCUGAAUAUACUUUUGUGUCACUCAAAAGAAUUAAAAAACCAUUCAAAGAUGAUAUAGUAUUAAACUAGAAUGGCUAUUGUUAAAGAUAAGAAGACUAAAAAGUCUUGAAACAAGACUUAAGACUAAAAAAAUAUUGACAAGAGUGAAAAAGGCUUCAUUCUUGCUUCCAUAUUUACUCUUAACUAAGAAUUACAUGCGAUAUUUUAUUGGACCUCCAAAACGUGUUGACUUUGCAAGAUACAUAUCUUAACUUUCAAGACAAGUUUUUAUACGUGGGCCACAUAAUUAGCUUAUUCCACAAGCUAUCAAUAUGUGGUUAACUUAUUGACCAAGUUUUUAAUCUAUCAAUCAACUACAAAUACAUAUAAAGUCAAAAAAACAUCUUUAAAGCUUUUAAGAAGUUUUUCUAAAAAAUAUUAUAAAAUAAAUUUAUUUUUACUUACUUCUAUUUAAUGACAUAGAUAAAUAAUAGAAUAAAUAUGUAUAUCUAUGACAUUACCUCUUCUUUUAGGAAUGUCUUUCAUAAAAAGCAAUCAUCGUCUUUUAUGGAUCUUAUAAUUCUUCAACUUGAUUUUAAUGGAUAUCAUUGAAGAAAAGCCUCAAUUUUCUUUAUUGCAUUUAUAAGAUUCUUUGCUAACUUCUAUGUACAUUCACUAAUAUCAUAUCUAUGGCACAAAAAUAUUAAGUCAUAAAUGAUAACCAUAAUUGACAAAGAAAGAUAUUUGUCAAGUAGAAAAAUGUAUUGAAUUACUAUAUGUAAACUUUGCCAAUGGCAAAAGAGUUGUCCAAUCAUCUUGAUGAUAAUUGAUGGUUUAGCUCAAAUACUACUUCAAAAUUUGAUUCACUUAUUCUAUUUGUCUAUCAAUUGGAAGAUAAAAAAGUCAAAUAGAGCUUUAUUUUCACAUUUAAAUUCUUAAAAAGAAUUUUCUAAAAUCUUGAUAUAAAUUGAGUUCUCUUAUCCAAUAUAAUAUCUUUGAGAAAUCUAUAAUAGCAAUAAAUGUUACAAAUAAAAAAUUUAGCCAUUUCUUCAUUUAUGAUAGAUUUUGUAUAUGAUACAAAAAGUACUAUCUUGGUAAAAUGAUCUAUUAUUAUAAAUAUAGAAUCAUACAAACCUGAAAUAAAAAGAUUCAUGAUAAACUCCAUAGAAAUAAAAGACCAUGGUUAUUUCAAAAUAAGUAAUAGCUGAAGAAGACCUUUAAGAUCAAGGACAAGGAAUUUUAGAUCUUAAACAAAUAUCACAGGAUUAUACAAAGUCUUUGACUGCCUUCUAGAUUUGAGGCCACCAAAAAUCUCUAAAUAUUAGCUCCAAAAUCUUGUUAUAUCUAAAACAUUCAAUUGCUAAAAAAUCAUGACGAGCUUGAAAAACAUAUAGUUAUCCUUUGCCUUAUAGAAUGUAUAAUCAAUCCUUGAAAUAGAAUAGAUUACUCUUAAAUUCAAACUUAAAGUAUCAUGAGAUUUAGAAGAAUUAUUUUUGAUAUUAUAAAUAAGAAUAUCAAAAGAUAUAUUUAAUUGAAUUUUUUUGACAAAAAUUGAAUCAAAAGUCAAUGUUGAUUUUAUUGCUUAGAGAUGAAAAUGCUCUAGCUUCAAGAGAAUCCUUCUUUGUUGAUCAAAAAAUAUAUUUUUUUCUUUUGAUGUAAGCUAAGAAUAUCUAAAAUUGACAUUUGAUAAAAUUCAUUAUUUUCUAAGGUCUACAAGUGAUCUUGAAAUCAAAUCUUGAUAAAAACAUACUCCAACAGGCUUGGCAAUAAUUCAAAACACAUGUUGACAUAAAAUACUUAAGAUUCUUGUAAUUGUAUAUAUACUAACUAGACUAAAAGUACCUUUAAGAUAAUGAUGCUAUUUUUUAGAAUAAAAUCUAUAAUUAUAAGAAGCUCUUAAUUGUGGAUCUUGUAGUUUAUCUUAAUUACUAAAAAUUUCUUAGAAUAAAAAGCUAUCAAAUCAAGCUCAUUAUUUCCUUUUAUUUGUCAUAGAAUAACAUCCAUAGUAAAGUUUGAUGUAUUUGUUUCCAUAAAGAAUACCUUAAAAAAAUUGACACAAUAUAAAAUUGGUGUAAAAAUAAAUGUUAUCUUCAAGACUUCAAGAGGUGUUUUAAUUUCUUUGUUCCAAUCAAGUUUGUCUUUAUAUUUCAGACAUGUAAGAAAAAUUGCAACUUGAGAAAAGUUCUUGAUGAAGAUUUGAUAAUAAUUGGCAAAGCCCAAAAAAUAUUAUACAUCUUUAAUUUUUUUUGAAAACUUCCAUUUUAUGAUGGUGUGAAUUUUUUUAGAAUCCAUCAUUAAUCUUUUAUUGGAAAUGAUAUAUCCUAAGAAAUCAACUUGAGUAGUGUAGAAUACAUACUUUUUCAUCUUUGCAUAUAAUCAUGUAUCUGUAAGUUUUUAUAAUAUAUGACAAAUAUAAAGUUUAUAUUCUUCUAUGUUCUUAAAAUAGAUUAGAAUAUUAUCUAAAUAUCAAAUAAAAAAAUAUCAAGAAAUUUACAAAAGACAUCAUUCAUGAAAUGUUAAAAAGUAAUUAGUACACUCAUAAGUCCAAAAAAUAUAAUAUUAUAUUUAAAAUAUCCAUACGUAGUUUGAAAAGCAAUCUUCUAUUCAUCUCCUUCUUUAAUGCGGACUAAGUUGUAUAUUCCUUAUAGAUCUAUUUUUGUAUAGAUCUUUGCUUGAUUGAGUUGGUCAAAAAGUUUUAAAAUCAAAGAUAAAAGAUACCUAUUCUUGAUAGUGAUCUUGUUAAUUCUUUAAUAGUCUAUAUACAUUUAUAGAGAUCUAUCUUUUUUCUUCACAAAUAAGAUAAGAGCUUGUGCUAGGAAUUUUAAAUAGUGUAUAAAGUUUUUAGCCAAGUUCUUGUCAAUGUAUUUCUUUAGUUUAGCCAACUUAUUUUGCAAUAAGUUGUAGAUUGGUGUGAAUGGUAGUUGAAUACAUUCUUAUAGAUCAAUUGAACAAUCUUAGAGUUGAUACUGUAGAAAAAUAUCUCUAUUAUUUUUUUAAAAAAAAUCCUAGAAAUCUUGAUACUAGCUAAGAAUACUAAUUGGUAUCAUUUCACCAUCAAAAGUGGCUAUGGUAUAUAUAACAAAAGAUGUUCAUUCUUUUGUUAUAUCCAUGAAAGUUCUUGCAUCUAUCAAUAAGAGUUUGGAUGUACUAGGCUUAUCUAUUUUUACUUCAUUAUUGAGAUUUUUUAUUAAACUAUAAGAAAAAUUAAGAUUACAAGAAAUCCAAUCUAUCUAAGAAAUAUAUUUUUUUAACCACAAUAAUCCUAAAAUAAUUAGAUUAAAAAAAAUCUUAUUACAUAAAAUAUUAUUAUACUAUUAUAAUCUUUAAUUACUAUAUCUAAAAGAAUAAUUUCAUGAGUAAUGUCUCCAAAAGAUAUAAAAUGACCAUCUAUGACUUCUACAUGUAAGGAUUUAGUUUUUUUGAUUAAAGAUAUUUUUUAUUUAUUAACUAAGUAUUUAUUUAUAAAAUAAGCUAAUGCUUUUAAAUCUAAUAAUAUAAAGGUUUUAUAUUUUUUAUUUCCUAAUAAACAUUUAUUAUAAAACAAGGUGAAAAAUUUGAAGAGGGAAUAGGACCAUUAUUAGGUGUUGUAUAUGAUUCCAGCUAUUGUGAUAAUAUAACAUGAUUAAUAGAUAAAAAAGAUGAAAAAAUUAUUCUUUUAUAGAAGAUCUUAUUUCAAAUAUUGUAGAAAAUUAUCUUAGAAGAUAGACAAUAGUUCAAAAGAAAGUAAUAUUAAAGGUAUAAAUGCUACUUUUUUAUAAAAUAAGCUUCUAUUUACUUUAUAUGGCCAUAAAUAAGACAAAAUAAGGUAGAUUAAAAAAAUAAAAGAUGUGAGCAUAUGAAGGAGGAAGUAAAGAGUUAAUUUGAAUAAAAUUUAUCUCAAAAAAAAAAAUUGAUAUCCAAAAAGGACCAAUUAUUAACUUAGAUCGAAAACAAACCCUAAGGUAUAAAAUUGAGCACCUAUAGCAACUUAAGGAUUCUUUAGCAAAUGAAAGAAUGGGAUUUGGGAGUUGACUUGAAAAGGGUUUUUUGGACAUUGAAUUUGAGUGAUUUGAGUACGUAAUAAUUUUGUAAGAGCAUUGUAAAGUAACAAUUGUUUUAGGUGAUUUUAAAAUUUGUGAAAUAAAAAGAGUAUUAUAUUUUGGAGAAUUUUGUGAGUUUGGUAGUAAUGCUCGUAAAGUCCAAUUGGCGGGCCUACCNNNNNNNNNNNNNNNNNNNNNNNNNNNNNNNNNNNNNNNNNNNNNNNNNNNNNNNNNNNNNNNNNNNNNNNNNNNNNNNNNNNNNNNNNNNNNNNNNNNNAAACAAUUGAAUAAAAGGUAAUUGAAUUUAAGUAAGUUGAAGUCUUAAAAAUUGGAUUUAAGGGGCAAUUAGGAUUUUUAAGAUCUUUAGCAAUCUAUUCAUUGGGUCAAAGUGAAAUUUUUAUAUAAAAAUAAAGUGUUUUAUUUGCCAUAUAUAUGUAAAAUUUAAGAACAAUUAAAUAGUUUAAAAAUGAGAUAUUGGCACUAGAAGUUCAACAUUUAGAUUGGCCAUCCAACACUUGAGCAGAUUUUAGGAUUUUUCUUCCAUUUGGUAAGUGCAAUUAUCUUAAAAUUUUAUAUUUUUAUUGCUAAUUUAGUUUUUGAGAAGUAUAUAAAAUUUUAAAGAAGAUCAACAAUUAAAUCAAUAGAUAUUGAGGUUCUAAAUUAUAUUUCUAUUAGGUUGAGUUGAUUAGAUUUUGGUUAGGAUUUGAUUUAGAGUUAGAAUUGAAUUAGGAUUUAGGGUUUGGUUAAAGUUUGGUUAGGGUUUGAUUUAGAGUUAGGAUUGGAUUCGGAUUUAGGAUUUAGUUAAAGUUUGGUUAGAAUUUAAAAUUAAACUAAGAUUUAGGAUUUAAAAUUUAUUUAAGGUUUAGAGUUUAGGAUUUAUCCUAGGAUUCGAUUGAAAUCCAUUAGAAUUUCAACUAGGAUUAAAUUAGGACUUUAUUAAAAUUUAUUUAAGAUAUAUUUGUGUUUAUUUUGAAAAAAAAUUAAGAUUUCUUAGGAAUUCUUUUAAGAUUUAUUGGAGAUUUUAUUUUAAAUUCUUUUAAGAUUUUUUUUUAUAUAUAAUUUUUUAAAGAUUUCUUUUAAAUUUUAUUAAAGCUUGCUUAGUAUUAUUAAGGUUUACUUUGAAUUUAUUUAGUAUUCUAUUAGAAUUAGAAUUUUCCAUUGUAAUUUCUAUUCUAUUUUCUACAACUAGGUGCCCAGUACAUUUUCAAGUAAGACUUUAUGUAAUACAAUAUCGCAUCAUCACUAUUAUAGUGAAGAAACUUAUUUUUCAAAAUAUUGUCUUUUUUAGCAAUUGUGCUUUCUAUUUUGUGAUUGAAUUACUUCUUUAGAUAAUGUUAAGCAGUAUGCUUAGUUUCUCCAUAAUAUAAGCACAAAUCUUCUUGACGAUGUUCAAUAUUUUUUUGCUUAGUAAAAGAUUUAAAAUGUACCAUAUCAAUUUACAUUAGUUUCAGCCUUGAUAAAUAAGUUUUUGAAAACUUAAGAGCUGUUGUCAUUACCUGACGUGUUCUUCUUCAAUCAAAUCUUUAUUCUUAAUGCCUUUUAAAUAAUUGAUUGAUGUAUGCAAUGGCUUAAGUAAUAAAUUAUUCCAUAGGUUUUGUUUUUGAUAUAGUCAAUAACAAAUCUUUGAUGUUAGCCUUCAACCUAUAUUAAAAUUAAUUGAUAAAAGCUUUGUCAUUUUAAUCUAUAUUACAAGUAAGAUUUUAGAAUUCAGCAAUAUAUAUGGUAGAUAAUUCUGAUCAUUAUUAUAAAGAUAAUAGCUUGGUCUUUAUUACUCUUUUUCAAUCAUUUUUUCUAAAUAUAAUUAUAAAUACUUCUAAAAAUGAAUUCAAAUCAUGAAAGAGUUAUAAAUCAUUUUCCAUCAAAUAUACAAACUAAAAAAGAGUACUUCUAGAUAAAAGUGCACUUAUGAAUUCAACUUGAGUAAAUCCAUUAAGAUAUUGGAAGAGAUGCAACCUUAGAUAGAGCUUCAUUAGUUGCAAAAAUGCUCAAAAUUUUGAUUUUGUUCCAUCAAACUUCUCAAGCAUACUAAUCUUUGUCUUUGUUAUACUUGUAGAAGCAAAACUUCUUAGAUUUAGUUGUGAGGUCAAUUUACUUGCUUCUCUCAAUUGCACAACUUCUUCAUAUAGACUCUAAUUUUUUUUUUUAUAGGUGUAGGACUAAUAUUUCCAUGGUUGGCAUUUGUGAUGCAUAAAAUUUCCAUCUUAAGAGUAUUGAUAAGUUCUUAAAGAUCAACAAUAGUUGCAAAUCUAUUUUCACUUUUACCAAGUGUAGUAUCCAUGAUUUUUUCUUCUAUUUCAAAUAACUUAAUAUAUCCAUAAGACAAAUUAGAUGAGGUUAAUUUAUAGCCUCUAAUAUCAAAUGAAAAUUUUCAUAAAGAGGGAGAAUUUUCUCUCUUUACAGAAGAUAUUAAUAUUAAAAAACUAAGUAAUUUGUUUAAAGGUAGAUAAUCCAUAAUCUUCAAAAGACAAAAAUAGAAAUGAAGUAAUCUACUUACUUCUAAAAUAAGAUAAAAAUAUGAAUUCGUAUUCUUGUCAAACUAUCAAAGACAUGAAUCUUUAAAAAAGAAAUUUUCAAUACACUCUUCUAUUAUUCAAAAGACUAAAAAAAUUACUUAAAGAUGAUAUAGUAUUAAACUAAAAUAGCUAUUAUUAAAGAUAUGAAGACUAAAAAGUCUUAAAAAAGACUUAUAACUAAAAAAGCAUUGAUAAGAGUGAAGAAGGCUUCACUCUUGCCUCUAUAUAUACUCUUAAUUACAAGCUACAUGGUGAUAUCCUACAAGACCUCCAAAUACAUAUUGAUUUUAUAAGAUACAUAUCUUAACUUGCAAGAUAAUUUUUUUAUAUAUGCACCACAUAAUUAACUUAUUCUACAAGCUACCAAUAUGUUAUUAACUUAUUGACCAAGUUUCUAACCUAUCAAUUAACUACAAAUACAUGUAAAAUCAAAGCAACAUCUGUAAAGCUUUUAAGAAGCUUUUUUCUAAAAUAUUAUGAAAUUAAUCUAUUUUUAUUUAUUUUUAUUUAAUUAUAUAGAUAAAUAUUAGAAUAAAUAUGUAUAUUUGUGAUACUAGCAAAGUUUUAACAUGUUUAGAAAAUAAAUGAACUGUGGCAAGAGAUUCUUAUGAAACCAAAGUAAACCAAUUUCUACUAUGGAACCUAAAAGAAAGAUCAUGAAAUUGUAUUAACAUGAAGUCGACAUAUAUUUUUUUCUUAUUUGAUAUAUGUUUAAAAAAGAUUACAAUGCUUUAUUUCUUUGGAUAAAAAUUUGUUAUAUUUAUCAUCAAAAGCUUUUUCUAAGUCAAAAUAUUGCUUAUAAGUUCUACUAAUGUAUUUUAAUUGGUAGAUUGGUUAAAAAUAUAAUUUUAAAUAAUUUAAUUAUAUAAAAAUUAAAAUUAAAAAUUCUUUUAAAUUAUUUAAGUAUUUAUUAUAAUUUAAAAAUAUUUAUAAGUUAAAAAAGACUUAUUUGAAGAAAAUUUUAAAAAAUUAAAUCUUAUAAAGCCUUAGAAGUAAUUAUUUUAAUUGAUUUAGUAUUUUUAUUUAUUAUUAAAUAUUAAAUAUUAAUGAUUAGCUACUGAGAUCAAUGUCUAUAUUGGCAUUGUAUCUAUAAGUAUUAUUUAUAAAAAUCCUAUUAAUAACUAAUUAGUAGUUAAAAGAAGCAUAAAAAUGAAUUUCAUAUCUUCUUAAUUAAAUAUAUGAAAAAUAGGAUUUUUAGUGAAUUUAAAUUAAUUUUAUUACUAUAAAAAAUCAAAAAUAUAAGAAAAUAUAAUAUUAAAUAGAUAUUAGUAUUAUAAAAAUAUUAUAGAAUUUUUAAACUUUAUUUAGAAUUAUUUUUAGAAGUUUUAGAAAAGAUUUUAAGACUUUAAUAAAAUUAAGUACUACCACCUUGGGAGCCAUUAUGAAAAAAUGGAACAAUAUUUGGAGGCCAUUUGAAGUUCUUAGAAUAUUUGGUUAUUUUUAAAUACCAUAAUUAAUUCAAAAAUGUAAAAAUAUGAAUUCUACCAGUAGAAAAUAGGAGGACUAGCAACUAGUCUAGUCUUUGUAGGAAGAGAGGGUGCACAAGUCACAAAUGGAUUGUAGCACCUUAGAUGUAGGUAGAAAGAUAAGACUUAGGCCUUGAAGCCUCUUUACACAAUCCAUAUAUACUACAUGUAGCUUUGGUGAGGUUCAAAUCCUUUAUCAAUAAGCAAUUUGUCUUUGAGAUAAAAUAUUUUUACUUAACUUUUUAAUUAUUUACUUCUUUUCUUAAAUUUUUUUAUAAUUUAUUUAUAUUAAUUCGGAUUUACAUGUUUUUAAUGUCAUUAAAAAGAUAAUAAAAUUACCAAAUCAAUUUUUUUUAAAUAUUUACUUUACUUUUUAUUAAAUAAAGACUUAGUGAAUAGACUAUGGAUUACUUUUGUUGUAUGCAAUUACUUGAUUGCACUUAUUUUAUUUAUUUUUAAUUUUUUUUCUACUUUUCUUAUCUAUUUUAUCUUUCACUUCACACCACUAAUUUCAAGCAACUCUUAAUUGAGGCUAUCUUAUAAUUUGAAUUGAAAAAAAAAAUUAUCAUUAUAUUAUUUUCCUAAUAAAUAUAAAGUCAGAGCAAAUGAUUUGUAUAAGUCAAAAGAAGAGAAGAAUAAAUUUUUAAAUGCAUAAUAAAUUUUAUAUCUUUUUAAAUGCAUGAUUAAAUUAAUUUUUAAGAAAUUAAUGGUAUUUAAAUGAAGAAAAUUAAAGAUUUUUCAUGAACAUAUUUUUGAUUUAUAAAUAUCUAUUUUUAGAAAAUUCAUCAAAAAUAUUUCAAAAUUUGUAAGUUCUUUAUGUCUUUUACAAUACCUACUUGAUAGAGUAGAUGGCUUUUUAUAAAGAAAAAACUUAAAAUAAGUCUUUUUACUAUAAGUUACAAGCUAAAGUAUCAAAAAAUUAUGCAUCAAAAUGUUCACAAUUUUGCAUAUGGCAUUGAUGGUGGAUAAGAUUGAUGUUGAAUUAAUAUUAAAUUUAUAUCUGAGAGAAGCAUCUUUUGUCUUGUAUAUCAAGGUAUAAAUGAAAAAUUAAAAAGUCCACACCUUGAAUAUCUAUGCUUUUAAUUAAAUUAGAUAAACAAAUUCUAGCUUUUCCAUCAUUCUUUGCAAUUGGAAUUUGUGAAAUUUGUUAUAGUAUUUUGUAAAAUUUGCAAUGGAAUGUGUUAAGACAAUUAAUUAUGAAAUAAGAUAAUUUUAAAUCUCAUGUCUUUUGUCUAUGCAUUUACUUAAUAUGUCUAUUAAUUUCUCAUCAUAUUUUGUACUUACACAUUCAUAUUGAAGUAUAUAAUAGUUUAUAUAUAAGGAUAUGAUUUUGAAGGUACCAUUAUUCAUUAAUAGAUUUUCAUGUUUUAAGAUUAAUAUUUUUAAAUUUAAAAUCAAUUUAUAAAGUUUUGAUUGUCUUGAUGUAACAAAGUAUAGAUAAGAUAUUUGUAUUCUUGGCAUAUAGGCAUAGAUAUUUAGAACCAUAUUUGAGAAGUUAUAGAAGUUUUUAGAAUUAAGGCUAGAUUAGUAGAUCAUGUAGGAUCAACUCUAGAACAUUCUAAAAAGAGCUUAGGGGGGUUAUCUAGAUAGGAUCUACUGUAAAACUUUCUAGAAGAAGUUUAGGAUGGUUAUCAAAGUGGGAUCUAUCAUCUAGGAAUAUUUUAAAAAGUCUAGGGUGAUAGAACAAAGUAUAAAUAGGAUUGGCUAGGGCCUUUUUAGGCAUUUGGAUUCAAAUUUUCUCUCUUAAUAAAAUUUGGUUUUGCAUCUUCUUGUUUAAUUCUAUUUUAUUCUAUUUUUAUUUGCACAGUUUUGUCUUUUGUGUCCUAUUCUAUUUACUUCUGUUUAAUUUUAUUCUGAUCCAUUUUGUCCUACUUUGUGAUGAAAUUUUAUGUUGCUAUAGAUUAGAAGAUUCUUAGACUUUCAAGAUAGAUUGGUCCUGUUUUGUUGGUAUCAAAGGGAGUAUUAGAUUGUUUUUUGGUAGUAUAUCGAUAGCCAUCAUCUAAUUCAAGGUUAAUUAUUAUGGUUACACUAGCUACUAUAUUGAGGCUACUAUGAGUUAUUCUUAAAAAGUCAAUCAAAAGAUGAAAAGGCAUUAUAAUAAUAGAAUUUAAGGAGAAAAUUACAUCAUAGAAGAUAUGAAAGAGCAAUCUUAGAUAGAUGCUUAAAUAUAUCACCUCUUAAGUCAGAUAACUACUUUGUAAGGAUAAAUAGAAGCCUCUAAGAUAAGAGAGUUGACAUCUGCUAGGCUAAAAUUGAAUAAGCUUAGUACAUACUCUAGGACUUCAAGACAAGAAGAUAUAUGUUAAUGGCUCUUCAACAUGCAACAAUACCUCCAACUAUCUUAAAUAAAUACCAUUGAAGGAAUUAUAUACGCAGCCAACUAUUUGAGAGAUAUGGCACCCAUUUAGUAGCGACAUUCAGUUCAAACUUGUAGAGCUUAAGAUAGAUUUUGUGAUUUAGAGGAGUUUGAGAUUGAGCUCAAAAAUCAAUAUUGGCCCAUCAAUAUGGAAAAGAUAGCACACAAUCAAUUGACAAAUCUUAUACAAUCUAAAUCAAUGCAAGAUUAUGUCUCUCAAUUCAAGUUUCUAUGUUUCCAAAUUAGCAAUAUUUUAGAAGCAAAGAUGAUGGAUGAAUUUCUAUGGAGUUUGAAACCUAAGAUCCAGCAAGAGGUAGAACUAAAAAAUCUACAAACAUUUAAAGAGACAAUUAGAAUUACAGAGAGGGUCGACGCUAUAGAUUUCAAAAUUGUUGAGCACGAUCUAUAAUACAAAGUUUUAUGCCACUAUCUAAUACUAUGGCACAACAACCAAUGCUAAUAGAGAUUGAUACCCUACAAGGAUUAUUGACACCACAAAGAUGACAAAUACUAGUGCAAAAGGGAUUGUGUUUCUAUUAUCGAGAAUUAAGCCAUCUGAUUGGAAGUUGUUCAAAAUGUCAAAAUUUAAUCACUAGCAAAACAAGAAGGAUUCACAAUCUUGAAACUCAUCAAGUUGAUAAUGAAACAGAGUAGAGAAAAAGACUCCUAAGUAAAGGUACUGAGGGCCAAUACUAGAGAUAGCUACUGUCUCUUAGAGACAAAUGGCAUGGCCUCAAAAAAUUAUAAAAAGGGCCAAUUGAUGCAUGUAACGGUGUCGUAAUGUGUAAAAUUCUAAAUUAAACUCUAAAUCAAACCCUAUUUCAAACCCUAAAUCAACUCUAAACCCUAAUCCAAAUCCUAAAUCCUAAACCAAACCUUAAAUCAAAUCCUAACCAAAUCCUAAUCCAAACCCUAAAUCAAACCCUAAACAAAUCCUAAACCCUAAUCCAAAUCCUAAAUCAAAUCCUAACCAAAUCCUAAACCCUAAUCCAAAUCCUAAUCCAAUCCUAAACCCUAACCAAAUCCAAAAUCCUAAUCCAAAUCCUAAUCCAAAUCCUAAAUCAAACCCUAAUCAAACUCUAAACCCUAAUCCAAAUCCUAAUCCAAAUCCUAAAUCAAAUCCUAACCAAACCCUAAUCCAAACCCUAAAUCGAACCCUAGCCAAACCCUAAUCCAAAUCCUAGUAAUUCCUAUGAAAGAUUUAAACCUCAAUAUCUAAUGAAUAAACCGUCAAUCUCAAUUCAAAAUUUGCAUACUUCUUAAAAAUCAAGUUUAAAACAAGCACAAAAUUUUUUGAAAAGGAUCGGAGUUACCAAAUUGACAAAAACCUCAAAAUUGUGUUCGGGUGUUAGCCGGCUUCCUUCUUCAAUCUUGAUGCCAACCUUCCAGAGUCAAUUUUUCUUCUUUUUGCCGUUCGAUUGGUUUCAAAUUUCUCAUGGACAUAGAAAAACAAGUCUUAUACCCUCUCACACAAGUUUUACUCCAAUCCAACUAGUAGAUUGCAUGAAAUCUUAAAAAUCCUCACCAGACCUAAAAUUCUAUUUUUUGAGACCUUGGCCCUCUUAAACCUCAAUAUCUCUCACUUAAACCGUUAGAUCGAGCUCAAAUUCACAAAAUUUAUUUAACUUAACUAUAAACAUGAACCCAAAAAAUUUCACUUGUAGAUCUGCAACAAAACUCUCGAAAUCACUCAAAACAUAAACCCUAUUUUAAUUCAUAAAACCUAAGUCAUCCAAAACAAACCUCCACUUUGCAAAGCUCUUACAAAGUCAUAUCAACUCCAAAUCAUCCAAAAUCAAUGUUCAUAAAAAAUCUGUUUAGUCUGCUAUCAAAUUUCACUUUCCGAUUUCCAAAAGAACCCUGGAGUCAUCGUCGAGACUCGGUUUUGUGCCCCAGGGUCUGAUUUCGACCCUGGUUCAUAACCGGCCCUCUCUGGGUAUCAAUAUCUAGUUUUUCUAAUUAACCUUUUUUCUAGAAUUUACUCUUAACUUUCUUCUAAAGAUGUCUAUAUCAUUUAUUUUCCCAAUCUACUUUGAUUUGCCUUACUUAUGGUACUACAAAGUAAGUAGAAGUCACCUUUCUAAAAGGCAGCAUUGGUACCCUUUAAUUUUUCUAUCCCUUUGACUAUUAACUAUAUUUCAAAGAUAAUUUGUUCUAAUACUUUGAACUAAGAUCUCCUAAAUUAUAAUAAUCUCCACACUCUUUCACCUAUUAAUCGUAUUACAUCAUGACAACGAGACUACUAAAAAGACAACCAUGUCAAGUGCUUGUGGAUUGUGGCUCAAUGAAAAAUUACAUCUCGACUAAAAUUAUCAACCAACUUAGAAUUAAAACUAAGAUAAUUAAGAAAGAAAGUAUAUACCUUACAGAUGAUUGAGAGAACAUAUUAAGUGAAACAUGUGAAGAAAAAACCUUAAAGUUAACUGGCAUAUACAUCUUAAGAAACAUGUUCAAAGUAAUAAAGCUAAGAUAUGAUGUUAUCUUUGAUAUGCUAUGGCUAAAUUUAGAAAAUAAAUAAGUUAAUUGGAUAGAAAGGAUAAUCUUUAAAGAUAGUAGACACAAGAUGAUUCUUUGUACCUUUGCAUCAAGUAAAGAAGAAAAAUAAUGUGCAACUAAAGACUUAUUCUUAAAAAUGACCUUUACAAAGAAGCAAAUAUAAUAUAUGCAAUUGGUAUGUAUGGUGGUUCAAAAUUUUGCAUUAGUGGUAGAAAAGACAACCGAAGGAGUAGAACAUGCAGAGCAACUCAUACAAGAAUAUCAAAAUGUCUUUCCAACCAACCUACUGAAUAAUAUGCCUCUUGAUUGAGGUGCCUCCUUUCAAAUAAAACUAUUGUUUAAAGCCAAACUAGUAAAUUUGAAAAUUUAUUGCUUGACACCAAAAGAACUUGGAGAGCUAUGAAAAACAUAAGACAAACUCUUCAAAAAGGGCCUCAUUUAAGAAAGCAUAUCACCAUGAACAGUACUUAUACUCCUUGCACCCAAAAAGGAUGGUAGACUUUGACUUUGUAUUGAUUAUCGAGGCGUCAAUAAGUAGACUAUUAAAAAUACAUAUCCACUUCUACGUGUAGAUAAUCUUCUUAAUCAAUUUCAAAAUAUGACCAUCUUUAGUAAAUUGGAUCUUUGAAGUAAAUAUUGAUAGAUAUCUAUUGUAAGAGAGGAUAAUAAAAAGGCAACAUUUCGUACACACUAUGGAUAUUUUGAAUGGUUUGUUUUAUCUUUUGGCCUCACCAAUACUCCAACUUCUUCUAUAGGACACAUAAACAUAUUGUUUUGAGACCUUUAGACAAGUAUAUAGUUAUCUUCAUUGAUGGUAUCUUUGUAUAUACUAAAAUCUUUGAGGAGCAUGAGCAAAAUCUAUAAGAAAUAUUAUGUUGGCUACAAGAUAGUCGCUUUUAUUAUAAGCAAUCAAAAUAUGAACUUUAAAAGUUAAAAGUCACAUUUUUUAGGCAUGUGAUAUCAUCCAAAGGCAUGCACAUGGCAUAAGAUAAGAUAAAAGUAGUGGAAGAUUAGCCUCCCUUCAAAGAUAUUUCUGAAGUCCAUUCAUUUUUAGGCCUUAUUGGAUAUUAUCAUCAUUUUAUUAUAUAAUUUGUGCACAUAGCUACCUCAUUGAUAAACUUAUUUGAGAAGGGUGUUCCAUUUGAAUAGAAACUAGAGUAAUAAAGUACCUUUGAUAUAUUGAAGGUGACACUCAUUACUACUCCAGUAUUAUAAUUUUUUGAUAUCUAGCUUGAGUAUAAGUAAGGACGACAAUAUAUCAAGUAAGACAAUUUAUUAUGUUGUCAGGGUAGAAAGAAUUUGCCUUAAGAAAGAGCUGAGCUUUUGGCUCCUAUUAAAUGCUCAAUCAAAUCUAAGAUAUUAAAGUUCAAAAUUUAUACAUAUAUAUAUAUAUAUAUAUAUAUAUAUAUAUAUAUAUAUUAGGGCAAUUAAAUCAAUACAUAAGCCUAAGUACAAAAAAAAGUAUUCAAAUAUAUGAUAAAAUAUCUUAAAACCUUAUAUUUCUUUAUGGAAUUUUUUUUCCAAACUUCGAUAGUUCAUAUAUCACAAUUCGAUUAUCCAAACAAACUAAAAUUUUAUAUGAAAUAUUGAUAUAAUUUUAACAACUAUUAAAACAAAUUUCUACUACAAAUUUGUUACGGAUCUUAAGAUAUUGCGAAAAUCCUAACAGUAGCUUCAACUCCUUUCUUACAUAUACUUGCAUGUAAUUUUCUUCAUAUCUCAUAAGUUAAGUACUUAAAUACCAUGAAACUUUGAUUUAUUUCUUCUUAACCUAAUAACACAUACUUAUAGAAAUUUUGAGCCAAAAAUUCGUCUAGAAACUCAAGAUAUGGCUCCAACCAUUACUAUCAACAAAACAACUUACUUACUAUCUUUGAAUUACAUAUGUUGUCUUCAAUGCCCUAUAAAUUCUUUAUUUAGACUUAGAAUUCAUCAAAUAAUAUACGAAAAAUAUAGCUAAAAAAGUACUUUUUUCAAUCCCAAUUGUUGAUCCUUCAUUGCUCUUCAUAAGCAUAUGUUAUGCCUAAAGAGUGAUAAUAGAUGCAAAAUUAAUACCUUAACUUUAAAUGCCUAUAACUCCUUCAUAAAAACUCCAAAUCACACAAAAUUUAUAUCCAAACCAUAUCUAAAAACCUAAAAUUGCUGAUCCUAGCCUCUAAAAAUCUUGUGUUGUUGGUGGCUAUCUGCAUACUGCGUUUAUUAAUUUUGUGCAGUACGGAGGCAGUGUUGUGUCUGUUGUAAGGCUCUUGUAAGUUAUUGUAUAAACUCCUCCAUUGUCAUUUUGUUGGUAUCAAUGGGAUGAUAAAAAAAUUUUGGCAUAAUUGGAUGCUAAUCAAAGUUAAAAAAAAAAAAAAAAAUGAAUGACUAAGACUUACUUGAAUAAUAUCAUUGUAGGCAAACUCUAAAGGCAUCAAGUAUUCAUCCUAGUUAUUAUGAUGAGAUCCGUUCUAGAAUCUUUUAUUGCCCUAGAUGUUCAGAUAUUAGGAUGUCAUGUCUCUCUUGAAGUAUGCAUGUCCGGAGUAUAGCAUUGUCAAUUAUAUAAAUGUACUUCUUGAAAUAGAAUAAGCCAUCACUACGACUAUAAUCUUGAUACUAUGUAUUGUCCACCUUCAGCCUAUCACUAACCAUCUUAAAAUAAACAUUCUGAUUCUUGAAAUACCACCAACAACACGAGAAGGGUGAGAAGGUCUUAUUCUCCAAUGUCAAUUUGUCACUUGCUACAUCAAUCCAAAUCCAUAAACUAGUACCUCAGUAGCUUGGACCUUUCGACAUUUUUAUAGUAUUUUUUGAUGUCACAUAUCGUCUCAAGCUUCUGCCAUAUAUUAGAUCCAUCCACUCUUUCAUGUUUUGAAAUUGAAGGAAUUUCAUAUCAAGCUAAAGUACUUUUUGGAUUGAUACUAACUAUAACAACCACUAGUUGUAGUUGAUGAUCAACAAGAAUAUGAAGUAGACAAUAUUUUGGAGUAUUGCUAUCUUUGCCGUGGUAAUAGAUAUCUACAACUUUAGUAUAAAGUUCUUUAGAAAGGUUAUUCUAUCUACAAUGCAACGUUGGAAUCUAUACAAAACCUCAUCUAUUGCCAAGAGACAAUUUGGAAAUACCAUCAGAAAAAAAACAAGGACGUUUUGCAUUAGUGGAAAGAAAUUAACUAUUAAAAAAUAUAAAUAAGAUAUUUUUAUUGUUGGUAUAUAGGAAUAGAUAGUUGAAACUAUAUUUGAGAAGUUAUAGAAGUUUCUAGAAUUGGGACUAGAUUAAUGGACCAUAUAGGAUUCACCGUAGAACAUUCUAGAAAGAGCUUAGGGCAGUUAUCUAUGUAGAGUCUACUAUAAAACCUUCUAAAAAAAAUUUAGGAUGAUUAUCUAAGUAUGAUCCAUCAUCUAGAGAUAUCUUAGAAAGUUCAUGGUAGUAGAAGAAAGUAUUAAUAAGACUAGCUAGAGCCUUUUGAGGCAUCUAGUUAAAUAUAGCUUCAAUCCUUGUCUCUUAAUAAAGUUUGGUUUUACAUCUUUCAAUUCAGUUCUAUUUUAUUCUAUUUUCGUUUGCAUAUAUUUUUUUUUUCUGUUCCAUUCUAUUUAUUUUUGUUUAAUUUUAUUCUAGUCCAUUUUGUCUUAUUUUGUGAUAAAAUUUUAUGUUGUUGUAAAUUAGAAGCGUCUUAGAUUUUCAAGAUAGAUUGGUCUUGUUUCACUUGAUGUUUUUAAUUAUUUAAUUAUAUAUACUAAUUUUACAUCAAAUUCUUUUUAUUAAUUUAAAGUAAUUUUUAAAAUUUUAUUUUUUAUUUAGUGAGUUGUUCAAACACAAUUUUUUAUUCAUUAUUAUUUUGCUAAAGGGUCUUGAGACUUUAUAGUAAAUUCUAUGAGUAAGUAGUGCUUUUAAUUUUACUUCAAGUCAUUGUAGUAGAAUAUGCUUAUAUGACAUGUAACAAAUUUGCAUUUCAUAUUAUUAUCUAUACUACUAUCUUUUAAAUAUCAUACUUUUAUAAUUAGCUUACAUGAAUUAUAAAAGAUGGAUGGAAAAAUUGUAAAUUUGAAUGGAUCUAAUAUGUUUUUCAUGUUUUUAAUAGUUAAAGGAAGUGGAAUUGUAUAAGUAAAAAUAUCCAUAAUUUUAUAUAUUUAGUAGUAAUAAAUUAAGAAUUUAGAGGAGAUCUUUUCGUCCACUAUCCUUAUAAAGAAUUGCAUUGUAUGCAAGGAUUUUAUUUCAAUGGAUUUUUCUUCUAUAUAUAUGAAAUUCACAAUUGCUUGAACUUUGGUAUAAGUAUAUUACAAUGUUUGAGAGAUUUUCACUUAUUAUGUUAUACAACCAGAUGAAAGAUCAAAUUAUUUUAGUAUGGCUCUUUAGAAUGAUUUCAUCACACUAUCUCAAUUGUGGAGUUAUAAUUGAAUAUAAUGAAACUAAUAUGUGAUACUUUGAUAAUAACAAAAUGGAAUGAGAAAGAGAUUAAUAAUACACGUAUACAUAGGAAUGAAGACCACAUUAUUUAAUCACAACAAAGGAGUGUUUUUAUAAGUGAAUGUAGGAUAUUAGAAAUCAAAGAAGAAAAUAAAGAACAAGAAUUGGAGCAAUUGGAGAUGCCAGAUUUCAUUUAAUAUGGAUUAUAUACAAGCAAGUAGUAAUAGCUUAUAUGAAAAGAAAUAUGCAACUAUACAAAACAAAAUAAACACAAUAUGUGUGCAAUUAAUGUACUUUGAAGUCAAAUAUUCUAAAGAAUUAGAAAAUAUAUGUAAGAUUAAUUAGAUUUUUUAUUCAAUAUUUUUUAUUAAACAAAUAUUAUAAGAAAAGAAAAUAUCUAACUUUCCAAUAAAUAUUGACUUAGUCAUAGCAAGAUUCAAAGGGAGAAAUUUUUUAAUAUAAUUAAUGUAAUUUAAAUUAAAAGAGCUAGAGUUUUAGGCUAAUCUACAAAAAAAAAAAAAAAAAAAAAAAAAAAAAAAAAUUGCUCCCAUCUAUCAAAAUAUUUAUUUAAGUUUUUAGGAUUUUAUUUUUUAUUUUAGAAUUCAAUAAAAUAAUAAUAAUACAUAAUAUGACCUAUACUUAUUCUUUGUUUGAUUGGUUAUUUUUUUAAGCACUAAACAUGCUUAUUUAAUUCACAACUUGAAAAAUAAGUAAUCAACAUCUCAAGAAAAUACAUCAUAUUUCUUAAAGUAUAUAGAAGUGUUCAUUUUUUUAUUUUGGAUUCUAUAGUAAUUUCAAGUUACAAACACCACUCAAAAGCAUCUUGAAGCUUAUACAUGAUAUAUAAUCAUGGUCAAUAUCUCCUAUUAUGGUUAAAAUGUGUUGUAUUAUAAGACAAUUUUUUUGGAUAUUCAUAUUGUGCAAAGAGGACAUUUUAAUGGUAUAAGAAGAUAUAAAUGGAAUUUAUAAUUUGAGAAGGAAAAUUUUGACUAUUUUUCUAUGAAAAUAAAAUAUAAUUGAUUAUCUCACAAUAUGAUUUAUAUAAUAGAUAUGUGUGUAUAAUGUAAGAAACUUGAAGAACAUGUAAACAAACAAGGAAAUGAAGGAAUAUGGGAACCAAAGAGCACAAAGAAACAUAGAUAAAUAAAAGAAUAGAUGGAUGUGCCAAAGAUUGCAAUACCCAACAACAUUGGUUUUUGCUAGAGAAUAUAAAUUUGUAGUAAAUAAAAAUUAUGUUUGUCAAUUACAUUGAAGAAACAUAUAUGGUUCUCUUCUUAAGCAUAUAUAUAUAUAUAUAUAUAUAUAUAUAUUUCUUCUUCAUUAAUAUUUCUUUAAGAAUGGUUAAUUUUUGACUUAAGAAUCACAAAUUAGAAUUUUAUAACUUUUUUGUGGCCAAUGGCAUGGAUUUCUACUAAACUAUAUAUAUAUAUAAUAUAAAUAGAUUUUGUUUGUAUAUUUAGUAUUUAUUUUGAAUAUGAUGUAAAUUUUUUUAAUGUUCUUUAGAAAAUCAUUACAUUUAAAAAAUAAAUAAAUAAAAAAUAAAGUCCAUUGGAAUAUUAAAAUUGCUUCAUGUAAAUUUAAUAAGAAAAAGUAUUUUGUUAUGAGGUGUUGAAAAAGCUGCCUUGAAUCUAAAUCAAAGGUCCAUAUUAUUAGCCAAUAUGAUUUUAUUUGUUGCAAUAUAUAUUUUGGCUGUUUCCUUGUAGGAUGUAACAUCUUGACUCUUGACAGUUGUGUUGACCUUUAAAAAAAAAUCAAAUAUUUGAAGAUGUAUGUGUGUAUAUAAAUAAAUAAAUACAUAAAUAAGAGAGUGUUUAAAAUUUAUUUUUCAAGCAGAGGAUUUGAUAUAAUUCUUUUCUGAAUUAUCCAUUUCAACAAUCAAAUUCAUCUGAAGACUUUAUUUAAUCCAACUUGAGGUUUAUUGUUCUUCGUUUUUCUCAUUCUUGUAGUCAUAAUAUUAAAAAAGGCAAUAACAAUUGUAAAUAUACAAACUUGUUUGUUUACAGAUGACCAUUUGUAUUUUUCUCUGAUGUUUGCAAAGAUAAUGAAGUUGGUUAUUGGGUUGUGGUCCUACUGGAUCAAGUUGUUAUAAUUAAUAGAGUUUUUGUUAGCAAAUGAAACCAUUUUAUGAAAAUUAAUAUUGAAAGAUCAUGCAUUUACAUGUUAUUCAAAGCUUGUGUUGGAUAUUCUGUAAAUUUUGGAGUGAUCCUAUACGGUAGUAAAUUAUUUUAUAUUAAUUUUAACAUGUAUAUGACUUUCAAAUGAAGUUGGUAUGUAAAAUUGGUACAAAUUUAAACAAAUGAAAAUUUUAACACUAACAUUUCUAUUUGACUGAUCAAUAAUUAAGCAUUAUUAUUUAUGCUAAUUUAAUUUUUAAAAAUCUGUUUUAGGUGAUUUUCAUUUUUAAUAUGUAUUUUUAAAAUAGUAACUUUAAAUGAAUAAAUUAAAAAUAUGAAAUUAUCAAUAAACUAGUUGUCUUAUGGAAGUUUGACUUUAAAUUAAUCUUUACCAAGUAAACCAUUGCUGUGAAUUUUAGAGAAUCGUACUGUAGAUUUGCAAGUAAUUAUUAAUUUAUUUAUUAAAACAAACUUAGAAUUUCACGUUAUUUUAUUGAAAAUUAUUUUAUUUCAAAAGUAUGUACCAAAAAUUUGGAUUUUUCUUUUUCUUUUAAUUUUUUUCUACAUUAUUUUUCAAUAAAAUAUAAACUUAGUCUGAAAAUUAGACUAUUCAUUUCAAUUUAAUUCAAAACGUAUUUAGAAUAUCUGAAAUUCCUUAAACAUACAAAAAAUUAUCAAAGUAAAGAAAGCUCCUGUAUAACUUCAAUCCAAUAUAAUUAAAAAAAAAAAGAGAAAACACACCAUUUAUCAAUUGCAUCAAAAGAAUCAAAUUUCAAUGUUUUCAGAAUGUAGUACAAAGAAAUAAAUCCAUGGAUACCAACAUAUUUCUUGUGCAAAGAUUGAUUUAUCCGAUUUCAAAACCAAUUUUUGACUAUUAAUUGUGGCAUUAGAUAAUUGGCUACCUUUUUUCUUUUUAAUUGGUAACAAAAAUAAAAAAAUAAAAAUCUCUAAAAAAAAAUACAUACAACAAUGUUUAUUGUAGAACCUCAUCCACACAAACUUAAGAUACAACAAAUAAGUAAAGGCAACAAAACUUUUGUAGAAGAAGAAGAAGAAGAAGAAGAAGAAAUCUAACUUGAAAAUAAAACCCAACAGAAAGAAAACAUCAAAAACACAUUGAAAACAUUGAGCAGCAUGUAAAACACAUGUAAAACAUGCUUUAUAUGUAUAUAUAUAUAUAUAUAUAUAUAGAAAACACGCUUUGAUUAUUAGAAACAGUGGCUGAACAUGUCUGGAAGAAUACAAAUUUGUAAAGGUCCGAUGCCAAGCUAAGCUCCGCGAAGUUCACUCCAAGUUGAUCCUCAAUUCUGUUGUUUGUCACUUCCAGCAUCCAUGUAGCUGGGUUGUACCCUUCUUUGAUUUUGGUAACUCCAGGGAUAGCCUAUCAAGUACCGCACGACCAAACUUAGUAUCAUCCCCGUGCACCUUAAUGCUACAUUACCAUAUGUAUAAACAAGUGAAACCGAAGUAUUAACUAAGCGUGUAUCUCGAUCAUGAAAGAGAGAUUCAAUCCCUUGUCAUACCUAGAAGUAUUCGAUAAUCCUCUCAGAAUUGUGUCCCAAUGGCCCGUUAUAAAUCACCCGUCCUCCACGCUUCAGAAGAAGCAACUCAUCAAAAGCUUCGAAGAAGUCAAUGCUGGGUUGAUGAAUGGUCCACACAUCAGUCCUCCCCGUGUCCACCGUGGUACGCACAGUACGCAUCACAAUGCAGCGGAUCGAGCGUCGAGACCCCUGGUAGGCUCAUCCAUGAAGAUGAUGGAGGGGUUUACCACCAACUCCGCCGCAAUGGUCUGAUGUUUCCUUUGCUCUGUCGACAACCUGGAAGUUCCAGGCAACCCCACCAAUGCAUGCUCGACAAGGCUCAGCUCCAUAAGCUCCAUCACUUGGUCCACAAAUUUCAGCUUGUCUUCAUUGGAGAUGUCGGGAUCUAGACGAAGCCAAGCAUACCCAAGCAACUCGCGCACGUCGAGUUGAGGGGAACGGAUGUCAUUCUGCUCGCAGCAUCCCGAAAUCCUGGCAAAUGUUUCCUGCACUUUGGGAUACCCAGAGAUUCUAAUGUCGCCUUCUACGGAUCCACCUGUUUUUCUUUCCCUGCCAAGACGUCCAUGAGAGUCGUCUUCACGGCUCCACUCACACCCACGAAAGCUGUCAGCACACCAGGUCUGAAGGAGCUUGUAAUGUUGCUGAGCAGCUUCAACUUCGUCUCUGUCAGAUCUUAUUGUUUCAUUUCAGGGGCAUGUCGAUGUAACAAUUCCCUACAUCUAUAUAUAUAUAUAUAUAUAUAACAUCUUAACAAUUCCCGAUAUAUAUAUAUAUAUAUAUAUAUAUUCAUCCUCAUAUGAGUGACGAGCACUGGAUGGACGGAGGCGAGGUAACAUUGACGAGAGUCAUCUAUCAUCCAUCCAUGAAGAAGGGCUACAAGUCAGAGCUCAGAGUUGUUGGGUCGACGACGGCGGACUCGUGGCUGCCGAAACCCCACACUCUCUUUCUGUUGCUCAUUUUGUUUUGCAUUAAUUUCCCGUGUGAGAAGACGAGAUUAGGGCGCAGCUGUUUGCUUUCCAAUGGGGCUCAUCUGCUACAGUGUUGUUGUUGUUACUGAGCUGUACUUUCGUCGAACCGGAGAACCUUGCAGCAGCAGGGCAUCAUAGCUCAGUCGGAGAUUCGGCCCGGAAACACAGGACAACACACCUGAGCGGGUUUCGAGAGAUCCUCCUGAUUAGGGCUGUGGAAUCGGACAAGGUAGAUGGAGAUUAAUUGGGCAAGUGGGGUGGAGCCGAGGAAUGGGAUCACCGCUUCAGCUGGGUGCAGGAAGCCUUGGAAGGAGAGGACUUCUUCAACGAGGUAUGCAACUAAUCUUUUCUCCCUGGUUUCCUCUCGAGCUGGUUUGGCGUUGGGGUGGGAGUGCGGAAAUCUCGUUUCGAUCGCUUUGGUUUGACCAGACGCGGUUUCUUUGAUUAGCUAGCGUUGACACCCAGGUCGCCGAAGUUGAACAAUAUGUGACCAGUUUCUAGUGUAGACCCUCCCAUUUCUGUCUGUCUUCGUGGAAUUUGGUAGCGAGUGCUGAGUUUCUUCCUGUACUGUCGACUAGAAGCGCCACGAGUUUCCUUGUUUUUACUUCUUCCUUCUCUAUGCUUUCCUCCGACAUAGUCAUUAUCUCACUUCUCUGGCUUCUCUCUUCGUUUGAUUCCUGUUUAAAGUUUGGUUUUUGGGCCAGGGAUCCAUGUCUAUGCUCCUGACAAUAAAUUGUCGAUCCUCUACUUAGGCUGUGCUGUGUGUCCUUCAGUCUCUCUACCGCAUCUUCAACGUGUUUAUGUUUUGUUUUGUGUUUUUUUUUUGUGUUUUUGUGUUUUUUUUUUUUUUUUUAAAUAUAUUUUUAGUCGCUAACAGAUUGCAAUGAGGAACCAAGUUAUAGAGUAAGCGAUUGAAAUUAUGUUACAGAGCUUUAGGGAUGCUUGUACAUUCCAAUUCUUCCUCAUAAGAUCGUCGGGAUCAGUUUACCACUUUCUUUCGCUGCCUAUCGUGUGUACAGAGCAAUACAUUACUUGUGAGAUCUAAAAUGGAUCAUGUUGAUGCUCCCAGAUUAACCGAUACGUCCGAGAUAGGGGAGAUAAUAAUGGACGACUCUCCUGAAAGUGAUGACUCACCGAUGGCCCCUCCUCUCACCAGAAGGCUUUCAUCUACCUCCCGUGCACAAGGUUAGUGAUUGUGGCAUGAGCUGUACUUAUGUACCUCUAAGAUUCUGACACUCAGGCUCUUGUGAGCUUAGGAAUUCAUUUGUGAGGAUAUGAAACUUGCAAUCAUGGAUUGAACCGAAUGUUAAGUAGGGAAUGUUGAAGCAGCUGGUGAUACGUCUCGGCCAUUUUGUUUCAUGCGAAGUUGUCUCUAGGGUUUUCUCCCUCUUACUUGAUAACCAAGCAUUGUGAGGCAUCCGCUCUCAUCUUGGUAGCUUUUGAUAUGAAGUACAUCAAGAGAGCGCAAAUUUGCGAGUUGAAUCUAGAUGCAUGAGUUUCUUCUCGUUCUCCUAUUCUUUUGAGUAUAAUUAGGUGUAAUGAAGCCAUUUUUUUUUUUUAAUUUCUAAUUUUAAUUUUUAAUAUAUAUAGUUGCGAUCUUGGACAGAGUCAACCUUGCAUCCGUUAUACCUUCCAACAAAUGAAGACGCUUGUGUUUGGUGCUGCAGAAAAUAUGAAGAAGUUUUUUACCAGCGCUUCGAGAACUAUAUCAAAUGCUGUACAAAGAAAUCAUGAAGAACUUAAGGAUUCAGAGGAUCUGAUAGAGGAAGAAAUUCCGAUUCUUGCCGAGUUGGGACCCGCUGCAUUAUUUAGAUACCACUUGAAUGAUUGGCUGCAGAUUGUGCUUGUCAUUCUACUUUGGCUUCUUUGCUUUUUGGUUCCUCCAUUCCAACGUCAUGUAGGAGAAAAGAACUUCGCAACUCCGGAGUUAAGAUAUCCGUUUAAAUCUAACACUAUUCCUUUCCAAGCUGUGCCGGUAAUGAUGCCGAUCUCCUCUUUUUUCCCCGCGGAUUUAUGUUGGUUUUCUUUAUCGCUCCCUCCAUAUACAUAUAGCUCACCCCCCUUUCUCUUCUUCACCCUUUUUUAUGUUUACUUUUAUUCUUUUUUCUUUCCCUUUGGAUGGGAUUAUAUUAUUUGCAGUAGAAUGAACCUAGUCGUUCUAAGCUCGGAGUGUUCUGAGCAGGUGAUUGCCGUAUUUGUACCUUUGGUUGUUAUCGUGGGAAUCUUCAUCAAAAGGAGGAAUUUUCGAGAUUUGCAUCAUGCUCUAUUGGGUUCGUCUCUUUAAGCUUAGACCUGGCAUGUCUAACACUAUACUUCUGAUAUUCAAUCCCAAUUAAUUUAAAAAAAAUAUAUAAUUUCUAUCUUUUUGUGUAAGUAUACUUAUCCUUCGCUUUCUGCGAGGAUGUGGACACUUGCCUGCUGGAAUGACAUUUUAAAUAUUUUUUUUUCCUUUUGCUCUUUUGGCUGUAGGUCUGUUAACCGCUGUUGCGCUCACAGCACUGAUAACAGAUGCCGUGAAAGUUGGGAUCGGACGACCUCGUCCUCACUUUUAUGCUCGAUGCUUUGGGGGCACUCUCGCCCAACCUGUAUGUUGGCUUUUACUCUUUACUUGAUCUCUCUAACCCAUCAUUAGCAGACAAUUUGGAUCCACCAGAUUCAGAGAAAGACAAGAACACUAAUAUCUGCUUCUACUAACUCGGGCUUGUUCUACACAAUCGCUCAUCAAUCUACUAACCACAAGAUGCUUCUGGAAGGUUUUUCAUUUAAUUUUUGGGUACCUUGUUAUAUUCUAAUGCCUCUCGUGAAUUGAUUGCAGAAUUACGAUCCAGUAACCGGGAACGUCAUCUGUGUUGCAACUGCUAAAGAAAUGAAGGAAGCAUACAAGAGUUUUCCAAGCGGACAUACCUCAUGUAAUCACUCCUCACUGACUGUGGUUGUUUUAGUGAAGUAACCUUGGUGGUGCUCGUAAUUGUGUGUUGAGGUGGAUACAUUUGACGCACUUCUGAACUUCCUACCUUGGUAUAGAAGUUUUAGAUAUGUCACUGCUUCAUACAUCUGACAAUUUAUAUCCUGUUGCAGGGACUUUUGCUGGUCUGAGUUACCUGGCAAUGUACAUGGCCGGUAAGCUCAGUAUCUUCGACCGGAAGGGUCACUCAUGGAAGGUUUUACCCAUAAUUGUGGUAAUGCUCUGCGCCACUUUUGUUGGCGUUACCCGAAUUGAUGACUACUGGCACCAUUGGACUGAUGUUUGCACUGGUGCCUCCAUUGGUAGGUGCCUUCAGCCAUUCAUGAACUCAUUACUGGCCCAUAUUAACCCUUAAUUUUAAUUUAUCGUAGGUCACAUAGUGGUUUUCUAAUCUCAAAUGGUCCGUCCCCCAAGUCGGUUUAUCCAAGAAGACGAGGUGACAUUGUUUUAGAUCCGUGUUUACGAUGAUUGCAACGAUCUUUCAUGCAUUCCUUACCUAUUCCAUGAAAUUAGCAGUUGAGCUCUGUGCACAUCCUCCUCCUACGAGAUUAGGGUUUUGUAAGUGGCAAUGGUUACUCAUAUUUUGAAGAGAGACAACAGUUUUUUAUUUUUUAUUUUUUAUUUUUUUACUUUGAGGUUUAGUAACUCAUCUAUGUGACGUGGACACGGUUUGGUACCCCACCCACGAAUAGUGGACAACCAGGAGUUGUAUGCUUUGAAAUGCUCUCUUUUCUCACCUCUUGCUUAUAUUUUCCUGCAGGAACUUUGACGGCUUACUUCUGCUAUCGCCAACACUUCCGAAGCUUAUUCGAUGAUUUACGUAAGCUUCUCUCAUGCUCUCUCUAGCUUGUUUGUUGCUGCUACAGGGAUAGCUCACAUUAGUGUGAGGGUCUAGACAACUUGGGUUUAUCGACAGACAUUUGAGGUGUUGCUUGAAUAUUGCAUGUAAAUCUCUAUCUUUAUUGGUUUUAGUGGUUGGUUUGGUCCAUGUCCAUAAAAGUUUUAACUUAAGAUAAUUUAGACUUUUCUACGUUUGCAUAAUUGGCCGUUCAAAUGCCAGAGGCUUUGGAGCAUUUUUCUGUGCCGCAAACUGUUUUCAAACAGUACUCACAUAGUUUUAUGGUUUUGUAGCUCACUCCACUUAUGACUACAUUCCUGUUGGCUCUGUUCCCCGUGCCACUCAAAUUAAAUCCAAGCGGUCAGUAUCAGCUCCUCCCGAGAAUUCUUCUUUCGACAAUUCUUCUUAUGACAAAACUUCUUACGACGUUGAGCAAGGUAGAGUGACAGAUUCAUUCGAUCAUAAGUAGGUGCUGCCAAUGAAACAAAGAGUUUCCUAGUGGCAAUGGCGGUGUGGUACAACGUAUUUUGCGGAGUCGAAUUGUUCCGUUUCAGUUGAGAUGUUCUUUUGAUUUCAUUUCUCCUUCAUGUAAGAGUGUGAACAUAUUUGAAGAAAAAACGGAGAUAUGUAAGUCACCAGUGGGGUUUGGACCCACACCCAACUGUACAGUACUGGUGACUAAACAUUGAGUUUAGCGUCUUAAAAUUUUCGGUAAUAUUCGUAAUGUUUUGCAUACCUGUCAGUAAUGUAGUGAAUUGAUGCAACAGAUGCUUCCUACAGAGGUUUUGUAGUGACGAUGUUGAAGUUACGUAUAAUGUUCUUCAGAUUGUUGUGACAAUGUUCCUUAGACUUUCUGUUUGAAACAUAUUCAUCUAGAUUUUUUGAGAAGAGUCUUGUAUCUGUUUGUUUGUUUGUUUUAUUUUUUGUUUUUUAAUAUAUAGGUUGAAAAUCAAAUAAUUGAAAAAAAAAGGGUAAAUCAUAGGAACAGAACUUGUGAUUUGAAUUUGGUGUAGUGUUAUGCACUUUUUUUUUAAGGAGUGUUGUGGACACUGGCAAUUCAAGUCAGCAUUUGAAAUAUUUUGUCAAUAAGAAGGUUUUAUUAACUCAUAAGUUAAUCAAACACGCUGUAAAUGUUUUUAUUUUAUUUUAUUUUUAUUUUUUGAUAAAUCUUAUCAACAGCAAUGUAAAGGUGUAUUUAUACUUUUCUAUGUUUUUAAGAACUAUUUGUAUAUAUGAAUUGUUAGCUUAGAAGAAAGCAAUGCAAGGUGUAGUUCAUUGGUAAUUGCCGAAAGGAGCAUUGACAGAAAUACAAUGCAGUAAACAGCUUUCAAGUAUUAUUUUCCAUGUAUUAUUCCCCUUCAUUUAACUAAAAUUCUAUACUUUUUGCAACAAUUUGUAAAUCACAACUAAUCCAAAUAAUCAAGCUGGAUAAUGUAUUUACCAUGGUUACUACCAAUGCCGACUAAAUUAGUACGUCUGGUAAGUUUUGGCUUUUAUUUUGUGCAAAAUAUUCUUUGUGUAAUCAACAAUUGACGGUAAACAUUAUACCUCUGUAAAUUUAAUUAUUCCAUAUUGUGUGCUUGAUAGAUCGCACACUUGUACUUCUUUCAAACUUAUUAAGCUUUGAGUAUGUCAGGAGAAUACAUUCUUGGACCGCUUGUGUAAGGUACCAAGUGAAUUCCUAAAUGCAAACAUGACUCCCCUAACUGAUAAUUACAGAUGCUGGUUUGUGUUCUGCCUGGUUAUGGUGAAAGAGUCUCUCGUUUGUCUCUAAAUUUCUGAUUGAUGUUUUUGUAGAUGUAUUUGUAGGAUGAAUGAAUCUUUGUCUUGGUUCAUUAUCGAUAAUACAAGUGAAUAAGGCUCACGUGAUACAAAUUUUCUCUCCAGUUGUACAGUUUAUUUUGGUGUUAUUUUUUCAAUGUUGUCUAUGUAUCCUGGGAUUCACGUAAUGAACAAGGUUAGUCAUUCAACAAACAUGCAUGUUUAGGUAGUUUCAUUAAAUGGGCACAGAUAACUUGGUCGAUCAUUUCCUCAGGAUUGAUUCUGGAAAUAAAAUGAUGAUUUAUGAAACUGGGACUUCAACGUUGGAACGAGAUAAUCCCAAAUACGUGCUAUUAUCGGAGAAAGCUUCGACCUAAUGAUUGAGACAACAAUAAAAUUAUCACACAACUUCCACUGAGACAAUUUCAUUUAUUAUCAGAAACGCUACUAACAAAUAUCGCCGAUUACAUCGGAAGGUUGGAAGCUUCACGUUCCAUUGACCCAUGUGUCUAGAUGAGCUGUCUGUACAUGAAGGAACACCCUCUGAGGAAUCUGAAAUAGUUGUGAAAACACAUGUACAGUAUUUUGUUAAACAGUCUGGUAUUAAUGCAAAUUGAUUAGGGACUUGAGACUUAGCCGGCUGGUUCCUAACUUAAAUUGGAAAUCCAAAUGCUGCAAAUAUCAAAAUUAGCUUCUCGACGACAAAAUGAAGUUCGUGUGUUCAUGUGUUCCUACAUUACCCGCUUGGCCUCCAAUGCAUAGUGCAACGCGCUCCAUGCUCUUUCUUUCUUUUCACUUGUAACCUUCUCAGUAGCCUCUACAGCUGCUUGCAUCGCAACUCUUUUGUCCAUUUCCUGCUCAGCCAUGACCUGAAGCCAGCCAUUUGACGAGAUUUGAGCUACCAUUAAUCUCUUUCCAGAAUUAUCUUGUAGCAACUUUUGUAAAAUACUGGGCUGCAACAUGAACUCAAAAAUAUGCCUGUUCAGAUGCUAGAUCUGUUUUCUCCUUAGCAGACAUAAGCUUAAUGUACACCCGCUUGAUGGCCUCCUAAGCUUCUUGUUGCACUUCCAGUGCUUCUGCAGGUACGAGCUUUGUCUAAAUCAGGCAAUUUAGCCAUGUAUCAGUAUGAGCAGAAAAAAACCCAGGAUUGUCCGAAUGAGGAGGAACAGUGACGAUAGGCUGUACAUGAGUAGGCAAUUGGGCAUUGGAACAAAUUCGAGCGUAGAGUUGAAAUGGAGCCUGACCUGUUCCUGCUCAGUGACGUAAACAUUUGAACCGUACGAUGGUUCUUGCAGAGCUUGCUGGGACAGCCCUUGAUUGGCUUGGCCACCCAACUCUGCGCUAUUCAGACCUGCGGAUUUGUAGACGUGGAAUCAGUGAAAGCACAAUAAUCUAUCUUCUUCAUCCAGACACUGCGGAAUGGCUACGGCGCUCAACAAAUUUGAUUAGUUUGAAGAACGUACUCAUAUUCAGCCGGCAAUUCCAGAGGACUAUGCAAGAGUCUUCUCAGGAUGAGAUGUCGGACACGCGGGUCAAUCGGUGAUUCUCGUACAGCUUCAACUAAGAAACGGAACAGAAGCGAACAGUAGCCCUUGAACAAACGAGUGACUAAAGUGAACAGAAUCAUGGCCUUCUACGGGACAUCAACACCAUUCCAUCCUAGUUCUUUGUUCUAACUCAUAGACCUCUGAGCCAACAAUUUCCGACACCCUAAUCGUAUUGCUGCAAGACAAAGUGAUCAGUUACGACCCAUUUCUCCCCGACAGGGACACUCUGCCUAUUGCCUCCAACGUUUGACGUUUGUGUUAAAAUGGGAAUCCGCAACCCUGGCAACAAAUGACACGAACACUGAGUACACCCUUCCUACAUCUCACGUGAAUAUGACAUAUAUGAAGCCCCAAAGGUGAAGAAGUACUCCCAAACAUGCAGCCUCGCAAUGUUCAUACGAUAAAACUACACACAUUAAGAACACAUAAUUCACGACCUAGCAUAACCCAACUCUAGGGCAUUCAACAAUCUAAAGCCUAGUCCACUCAUCCUUGAGCACAGGUACUAAGGUCUGUGUCGCGAUGAUCGCUCUCAAGCUAAAGAUCAAGAAACAAGUCGUUACACGAAAGUAACAAAAUCAGCAAGAGCCGGAAACCAGAUGCAGAAUUGUAAGGAAGACAUCACACCAAGUGCGAAUCCCACCUUCUGAAAUGAACUCUGAGGAGCAAUUCUACACAGGCAGCCCCCUAACGUUGACGAAACAGGAUUAUCGUUCAGGUGCAGGGCUAAACAGCUUCGGAAUCCUGGCAAUUCCUCGAGUACCUGAAGUAUGCGAAAAGCUCCCCGCAAAUUCUCUCCCCUGAGUGUCGAAGCCACUCCGAAGUCGAUCCUUAAGCUCUGCAGGAUCUCAACGGGCUGACAGGAUCGUCUUGCGCUUAGAUUUAAGGUCACAAAACUUAAAUUUCAAAACCUAAUCAGACCCGAAAAUGAGCAGAAACAUGAAAGUGGUGAACAGAUGGCUCUACGAGGAGGUUCCAUGCAAACAUCCACUUGGCAUGCGGAGUGGGGCAGUCCAAGUCCCGCUCCUCCGAUUGUGAAUAGUAAUUUUUUGGAGGGUUUUCUGCGUUUAUCCAAACCUUUGUCCACAGGGGCGAAGUACCUCACACCCUGACUACAUGAAAGUGUCUCCGCGUUUCUCAAUUAACAUCCAUAUUGAUAAAUCGUGUUAUUUAUUGGAAUGCAUAGAGACCACGUAAAGGCGAGGAACUAAGCGGAAGGAUUGUCCUCUGGGGGUUUCUCGCUUGUAGAGACGAUAGUGGAAGAGCUAAGAAUUGCAGAGGAGCAAGUACUACAGAGAUUCUAGGAUUUUACUUCUUCAGCUUUGCAUAAACUUGUGGAUUGGAAGGAACUCGGAAUUGGGUUCCUGCUGGGCUGCUUGAAGUGGUGUCAAGUUGGUUCAAUUAGACGCGUAAACACGUCCUAGCAAAUCCAUGUACCCGCCUUCUUUGCAUCGUGAGAGGGGUACAGUUGUUAAACGUGCACAAGGUGUCUUGAUCAUGCUGAUUAUUGUGAAGCACUCUGCAAGUGUUAACAAUAGAUACGACGUGUGAGAGGAAGCGUGGAUCGCGCGCCUCUGGAGUUCUUCAAGGUUGAGGACCCUGUGAGUUUCUCCCUCCUGUGUCGAGUUUGGAUCGUGAAUGUAUGCACUAUUCGUGAAAUUUCUUUUGUUACAAUCCACCUGCAAGGAUUUCCACAGCAACCUUCAUUUGCCUUCCAUUUGAGACAAAGAUAAAAGAACGAAAAUUUAGAGAAAGGUCUAGGUCUUCUGAGAGUCGCUUCUAAUUUAAGCAGGUUUACAAGGCUCAAAUUGUACGCGGAGCGAUAUGCAAGGAAGUCCUGCAGAUUCUUGUUGAAGAGAUUUUCACGAAGAUAGUAGAUUAACCCCGUUCGCUUUAGAAUCUGCAAUAGUACCAGCUAGAGUCUUGCAGUGAACAAAUUCUUUCAACUUUGAAACUGUCUAAUAUUUCACAUGGAUGUUAUUUGAGAUUGGACAUACUAAUGAAUCAGUGCACCUUGUGACAGGGAAUUUAAAUCCAAAUGUAUUCUUCAAACCCUAAUGCUGAACAAUACUCACAAUAUAGGCAACAGAAAUUGAUCAUCAAACCUCGACUGAAACGUUUGCAAACAAAUUAAAGGCGGGUCAUAAUAUCGAUCGGUCGGCAAGAUUUGUUGUUGCGAUACCUUCGAAGCUCCUGUCAUUGAACAUCCUUUUCCUGUAGGAUAAACAGCUCUGCUGCAAAUGGAUAAUCAAGAGCACUGUGUUGCUUUCAUGUCGUGACGUCUGUACAAAUCAAUAGAUCAUGUGCAGUUGCCAAUAUGAAGGAUCAACUAAUUAGAGUGAUUAAUUGUGGAGUCAACAAUAUAUCGAAGUUGAACAGAUGUAGCCAUUUGACUGUGUGAACGAUAUUGAGCGUCAUUGUGCUUGUGGCAGGUUGAAGGUUUGCAAAUUUGCGGAAAUUUUAUCAGUAGGUUAAUGUCUUUGAAUAGCCUCACAUAGGUUGGUGAGAUAGCAGACUUUUCUGCACAUGAUGGUUCUCUACGAUAUUCAGGUUUUGUACUAUCAACACCUGGAGAGUAGAGGAUUAGACGCCGAGAUCUGUUCUUGUUUGAUAUAUUUGUAUGAUACUCUGUCAACAUUGUAUAUCAGUACUUUAGCAUGUAAAAUUGGCUUCUGAGCCACAGAAAGUCUGGGUACUUUUAAUGAAGCGUGUUGCAUUUGCAUGGAUUCUUCCUCAAAGUUUCAGGGGCAGUGCUGCUAAGGCAAUAAGUGAGAAUGUUUAGAUAUACCAGAUUGAAGAAAGAUCAAACUAGAAGAAUGAUGUGCUGCCAUAAUGUUUUCUAUUUUGAUGUGGAAAAACCAAGUGUUUUACACUGCUCUUGAUAGAUAAUCAAAGUCUGACUGCUCUAGGGACAUUAUGUCAUUGGAGUAUCAGUCAAACGCCACCAAGGGUACUCAAUUCAUGCCCAUAAGCAGAAAAGUAUUGAACACUAGGGAUUUACACAACCAUAGAAUGUUGGGUAAAUCAGUUCACAAAUGUGACAAUGGAUUAGACAGCGAGUCAGAGUAAUAAACUAUGGAUCAAAGCCCGUUUUAGAAGCGACCCUUUCAAAUUUUGCUCUCGUGAAUUAAGAAUAUCUACGUGGUUGCUUCAUUUACCGCCUAACUUUGAAGGUCCAGUUGGACUCAGUGCUUUGUUGCCAAUCGAAAAGUAUAGCAAAUAUACCAUUACUCGCUCUACUCUUUACCUCUUGAACCUUUUUCGUCUUUGUAGUGGUUUGAAUGCAAAGAACCUUCAAAGACAAGGGGGUCCUCGAAAGCAUCGAACUGACCACGGAAUCAGUUAUCAAUUAAUCUCCAGUAUCGCGCACCCACAGCUCUUAACGAUUCAAUCGAAAAAUGUACACGGCAAAAUCUCAUAUUUUAGGGAAUGAGAUGAAUACCCGAUGCGGAAAGAAUGUAGACACUGGAGGUGAGGGGUCAUCGAGGUUCGCAUUGCACGCGUCCAAACACAGAUCUUUCGUGUCUUCUUACAGUGAGUAGAAACUAGCCUCCUGAAUUGGAUUCUAAAACAAGUUCCCUGAUGCGCUGAAAGAGCCCUCUGAAUCCGACAGAUUGCUCAAACAUCGUUGCACCUCACACAAAGUGUCAUUGGUAUAGGCAGAUGAAGCUUCGAUUGUCUUACUGCUUGUGGCGGCAGACCGGACUCUCAAAUUGUGAUCUAUUCCAGCAGGGGUCACUAGAUGAAGUGAGCUUGCUUCGCAUCAAGCAACCAGGUUCCAUGGCGCGCUUUCCUGGCGCAUGAUCAAGGUGUGCAACCUUCAACAUGAGGAGAAUCACGACCAAGGUUCAAUCAGUGACCCUUUCUAAUGAGGGCAUCAGCGUUUCUCUGAUCCUCGUUUCGCCGUUACUGGACGGGAUUUUUCGAGGCUGGUCUUGCUGACAGUAGUUCAAACUGUUCCGGGCCUUGUAAUUGGCAAUGAUGAACCGAAUCAGGUGGGCCUUGAGGCGGGGAUGUGGAAACAACUGCGCGAUGCCGCGUGUCGCAGCGCGGCGACGCUUUCGAAAUACUCCGAAACGCAGGCAGUCUAGCAUCAGUCACGCACAAGUGUCGGUAGUCCAUUCUGCGUCCACACUGACCCAACACGAGAUUUGGCCUACGUGAAUGGAUAAAUAUCUUCAUUCCAUCCAUGUGAAGGUGGAAUUUUGAGCCUAGUUCGUUCAUUUCUCACCUGUAUGCUCUGUUGAGUACAUGAAUUCAAGGUUUGAAGUGAUCGCAUUUCAAUGCUUCUUAUUUCCCUUUGGUAUUUGAAUUGAUUAAAAUGGGUAGUACUUUAUCCAUUAUUCAUUGCAGGCAGCUUGCAAGGGAUUGUGUGCACUUCAUAACAGAACAGAUUCUUUUUCACAUUUUUUCAAGUUUGAGGAAAUGACUGUUGAUUUCAGUUAUUUACUGUCAACGUUGUUUUACCGAUUUAAGUUUUUUGGGUUGCCGUUGUGAUUGUGUUGCAGAGUGAUGCAACAGGAACUUAUUUCCUUUUGAAAAGAAGAAAGCGGCGAUGAGUGAAAGAGAAAAUGAGUGUGGAUAGGGCUCUUCUGAAUACAAACUCCUUCAUCGAUGGACGUUUUCUCAACUUUGUCCACAACCACAUUAACAGAGAAUGUGGGUUCAACUGCAAGCAUCGACUAAAACAAGACCUACUUCAUCGUCGAUAUCAAGACGAAUCCUACAGUUGACAGUUGAAAGUGCGAUGCUCGAAAUCAAAUGAGUGACAAUCGUCCACUCAGCACAGCAAGAGUUCAAACCCAGAAUGGAGACCUCCAUAGUGGGCUGAUAGAGAUUUCAGUUUAUUUCUGUAAUUAUCUCAACCAGUCUAGGAUAUGCUCCAGUCCAUAAAGAAAUAUCUUCCUAGUGUCAUGAACACCCGACCUACAUGUUGAAUGGCUCUUGUAGCUUGUCCACCACAUGUCCAUCCACCUUGAAUGCGACCUUGUGCACUUUGUCGGGGAUGCCGCUGCCGAACAAGGUCGCUGGAAGUGACACAGUGCCAGGAUUAGAGCUGCUGAAGGAGAUGUAAGCCACCACAGGCUUACUGCCCAGGUUGAUCUGGUAGUGCACCAGUCCCUUGGGAAACACGAACACAUCGCCGACGCUAAGCACCUGGGUGAAGAGCUUGUUGGUGGUGUCCACCAGCCCCACAGUGAGCUUCCCUUCCAUCACGUACAGAACCUCGGUGCCUCUGGGGUGCGUGUGGUGGGGGUUGGUGCCGCCGGGCAGGUACUUGAUCAUAGCAACCGACACUCCCAGGCCAGUGAGCGAAGGAAGGCUGUCAGGCUCCGAAGUUAUCCUCUUCGUGAACACCGUAGCACCUUCUGGGAUGGUAAUACCUCCCCGAAAUACCUCGGAGGUGAAGUAAUCACUGGUGACAGUGGUCUUGUCGGUAGUGCUGUUGACGUAGUAAUCGGUGGUGAGCUCAGGGUCAGAUGCCUGUGUGAGGAUCAUUGCAGCCAAAGUGGUCACGGUGACGAGAGCUAUAGGAAUUGCCAUCUUGCAGGAGCUUCUGCCCAUGAGAAAGAGCUAGUUCUGUUAGUAUCAGAUGACAUGAGCCACACUUGAUUUAACAAUCUUGACGUCGUUCCGAGUCGGCAUUCAAAUUGAUUAUUGUUGAAACUAGCUCACAACUGUCGGAUUUGCGUGACCAAAUUUGUCGUCAAGUGCUGUGUUUGGACGGAUUCACUUGGUAUCCUAACAUUACAUCGCAGUAGCUUUGUGGCAAUUCUAGCAAACACAAA
rnacentral:lncRNA from 1 species